rnacentral:lncRNA from 1 species
UUGGAGUUUCUCUUCCAUGGACGGGGUAUUCAAUAAUGAAGGCCCUGGUGCUAGAUUAAUUGAGCUUGGCAAAAAGUUUCAGAAGGAAACCGAUCCAUUUUUGUCAAAUUCAGUUACAAAUACAGUUCCGUUUUCCAAUGAAAAUAUGUCAACAUCAAUGCAAACAGAAGCUGCUUCCAAUCCUUGGGUUGACCUGUUGUCUGGAGGGGACACAUUUUCUGAUCCUCUUUCAGAGCCGUUUUCUAGCCCUCUUUCCGAGCCGUUCUCUGAUCCUCUUUCUGAGCCGUUCUCUGAUCCUCUUUCUGAGCCAGUGACAAGAAAUGUUGCAUUUGGAGGGGCUGAUUUGCUUGAUUUCUUGGACCAGCCUAUAGUUGAAGAUCAUGGUGUGGAAACUUAUAAAAGAUCUUCAACACAGGAUGGCUGUUCUCUAGCUAGUGGUGCCCAGCAGUACAUAAGCUGUCUAAAAUCCCUUGCAGGGCCAUGCGAGGUAUAGUACUGCUCUCUUGUGUUUUUUGCAGCUCUACAUCUUAGCAACUUCAUCUUUUUAAAGGAGUAAAUUCUAGAAGUUCAACAAAUUUUGCUCUGCUAAAUGUAUAACUUAUUAAUCAGUGUCCUGUUAUUAUGGUUUGACACUACUGACAUAUUGUGUUGGUAUUUAUUUGUACUUCCCUUGGUUGAAUUAUUUGCUGUCUCCAUGCCAUUCGAUAUGGUGCUACUUGGUUUUUGAUCAUCCAUGACGCUAUAUAUAUGUAAAGGAUGAAUUGAUUGUUUUGGCUUGUAUUCUCACAUUUUAUGAUUGAUUGAUGGAAAGGUCUUCAUGUAUUAAAUUCAACCUCACAAGCGUAAGAUUGACAGAUUCUGGGCAAAUUUUCAGGAAAAGAAACUAGACUUCAUGGAAGCAAUGAAGCUUGAAAUUGAAUGUCCGCAGCUGAAUCUUUCUGCAGCUGAAAGGGAUAGAGCUUUAUUGUCAAUUGGAACUGAUCCUGCCUCUAUAAAUCCAAAUGUAUUGCUUGAUGAAUCUUACAUGGGAAGACUGUGUCGAGUAGCAACCACUCUUGCAUUACUUGGCCAAACUUCCCUAGAAGACAAAAUUGUUGGUGCAAUUGGCCUUGAGAAUAGUGAUGAUAGUGUUUUAGACUUCUGGAAUAUUACUAGAAUCGGAGAGAGUUGUUCUGGUGGCUGGUGGCGGGUGCAAGGUUCGUGCAGAAACUAAGGUGCCUGCUCUUGCUUCCUCAACUGCAACAUCUGUUGGAGCUUCACAAUCCCCUUUGUUGUGUUCUCAAUGUGAAAGAAAAGUUUGCAUAGUUUGUUGUGCAGGAAGAGGAGCUCUACUGUUUUCAAAUUAUAAAUCAAGGGAUGUGACCAACUACAAUGGCUUCUCAAGUCAGAGUGGAUCAAGCCAUGGAAGCCAAGUUGAUGUAUCUACCAGUCGUUCACUAACACUGGAUGGCGUUAUCUGUAAACACUGCUGCCAUGAGAUUGUGCUUGAUGCAUUGAUGUUGGACUAUGUUAGGGUCUUGAUUAGCUUGCGAAGAAGUUCCCGUGCAGACAACGCAGCAUACAAUGCUUUGAAUGAGGUUGUUGGAUCCUGCUUAAAGGAUAGUCUUUCUGAAAGGAUUCAGUCUUCCGAUAACGUGCAAGCUGCUGAAGUCCUUCACCAAUUAUGUGGUGGACAGGAAUCUCUUGCUGAAUUUCCAUUUGCUAGCGUUUUGCACUCGGUAUGUUCUUGGUUUGUAUUCAGUUCUCAUCAUGUUAUGUUUUCCUUUUAAAUUUCUUUUCUUGAUUAAAAUUUUUAGAAAUAUGUUUUAGUAUUUGUUCUUAUGAUAUAUGCCCAGAACAUUCAUCCCACUUAUCCAUGAGAAUCCUUGUCUGGUUUGAUUUUCAAUUGAGACAUUUUUGGGAACCCUGAGCAGGUUCCAUAUGCUAAUAAUCUUUGAGGUAAGGUGUUGUAGGAUGCCUUGAGAAGCUAAAAACCAAUUACAAGGAAAAGCUCUUGCAUUGUUUUGUGCAAUCUGUGUGCUAGCAAGUCAUGUCUCUAAUAAUUUCAUAGUUCGCUUGAUUGGAAUUUUUUAUUUUGAUAUGGAUUGUUUAUUCUAGAUUCCUUGCUGCCACUGUAGGUUGAAACAGCAAAAGAUUCAGCACCGAUUUUGUCACUGCUUGCUCCAUUAAAUUCUGGAUCAAGGCACUCAUAUUGGAGAGCUCCACCUAGUACUACUUCUGUUGAAUUUGUUAUUGUUCUCGGUUCUGUUUCUGAUGUCAGUGGGGUUAUCUUGCUUGUUAGUCCUUGCGGCUAUUCUGUGGCUGACACUCCGAUGGUAAGUGCCAUAUUUAUUCCCUUAUUUCCUUGUUGUUCAAUAAAUUUGGUGAUAAGCCAAGUGGCCUUAAUAAUGAAGCCCAGUACCAGGGGUGGUGGGUAAUCGAUAUUCAACUUGUGAAUAUUCCUAAGCAAACACUGAAUCAACAUAUACCUCGGCAAAAGUUCUCCAUGCUAUUAUAACAAAAGUCAUAUUUUGAAAUGAUUAAAACAGUCCCUGUGUAGUGCCAUUUCCAAAGAAAUUGCAGCUGGGGGUUUAGUUUCAUGUAGGUUAGUUUCCGAUAAUAAACUUUCCAUUUCAUUAAUUGCCGAUGGAAAAACCAAGUAAGAACAGUUUCGUUGCUCGUCAUUUAUGUAUAUUUUGGUAAACUGUAAUUUUAAAUUCUCAACGAUCUUCCCUUUGUAGGUAAGAAGAUGGUCCACUCACUUGAUAUUUAUGAUUGUAGAUCAGGUUUCUAUUGGUUUGCCUUUAUCAUUCGGAACCCAAGUUUGAUAUUAACAGAGAUCACGUCAAUAAUAUCCUAUUUGGGUAGAUGUGGGUGAGGAUUUAAAAUCAAAUUUGAAAUUGAGGGGAAAGAAGAGAAAAGGAACUACAAUAAUUAUUCUGAUGAGUUUUAAUCUCGAGAGGAGCAAUUUUCAAAUGCAAAUUUAACGGCUAGAGAAAUUGUAGCUUUUUGUCAUUAGUUAAGAGGAAAGAGAAUAAGAACUAUCCGGCCCUUUCCUUCAUGAAUGUGUGUUGAGGUUGCUGUAUUAUUUAGUCAGUAUUUGUAAUUUUCUUCCCUGCAGUGCUCUCUGCCUCCUGAAUUUGCUACUGAGUCCAUAUUUUUCUUUGAGCUGUUCCUUCCUAUUGCUGUUACAGUUACAAAUCUGGGCAAGCAAUAAGAUACACCGGGAGGAAAGGUCAUCAAGGGGAAAAUGGGAUGUCCAAUCCCUCAUCACAUCUUCUUCAGAUUUGUAUGGUCCAGAAAAGUCCGCUAGUGUUGAAAAAUUACCUAGGCAUGUACAAUUUACUUUUAAGAAUCCUGUUAGGUGCGCAUUGUUUGGAUCACAUUACGUCUUCAGAGACCUGGUUCGGCUUCAGUUAAUUUCGGGAAGGACUUCAGUCUUUUGUCUCUUGAUGAAGAUGAAAACCCCUUUGCACAAGUAGACAGACGUGCUUCAUUUGGAGGAGCAGUUGAAAAUGAACCAUGUAUUCAUGCCAAAAGAAUUCUUGUAGUCGGAAGCCAGUAAAAAGGGAGGGGCUUACCUCAUCACAGAGCUCUGAGCAGCUAAGUAUUAGAAACUGGUUGGAUAGAGCUCCACAAAUGAGUAGAUUCAAGGUAUUAGUUGCUUUCACUCUUUGUUCAUUCAUAAUUCCAGCUUUCUGCUUCACUGAUAAAACUCUUUUUUCUCUUCAGGUCCCAAUUGAGGCCGAGAGAUUGAUGGACUACGAUCUCGUCUUGGAACAGUAUCUACCUCCAGCAUCACCUUCGCUUGCCGGAUUCCGUCUAGACUCUUUCAGUGCAAUAAAACCUAGGGUUACCCAUUCACCUUCCUCAGAUUCAUUUACAUGAGAGAAAGAGUUUUGGGUUUGACUUUGAUUUUGAUUUGUAUUUGUUGUCAUUUCAUUGAAAUUUCUUUUUGUUGUAUAAAAAUCAGAAGGUAAAAGUAUUAAAUUCACUGAUGCGGUAAUAUCUGUGCUGGUUACAGGAUUUUAUGUUUAACUUGAAGUUAGUAAGCAAUGACUUAACAAUAGCACUUUGAAUUUAACGUGGAUCAUAUUGUAUUUGAAAUUAAAAAAUAAAGAGAGAGAAAUUAAUUGUUAAUUGAGUUGGACAAUUUUCCGUGGUUAAUUGCUCCCAGAAAAGAGAAGAAUGGGAUUGUGCUUCCUCACACGAAGAAAGACUCGAACGUCUUCGUGCUAAUUAAUCAAUGAAAGAUUUUGUCAAAUAUCUGGCCCUUUCUUUCUUGAAUGUCUGUGUACAAGUUGCUGUGUCAUUUAGUCAAUAUUUGCAAUUUUCUUCCCUGUAGUGCUCUCUGCUUCCUGAAUUUAUAUUAGUGAUCUGGUUUCUGAGUGCAUAUUUUUUCUUUCUCGUUGCUGCAGGUUUGUCGUUGUCAAACAGAAUCAAGUUAUAUUAUUAUUGUGAUCCUUAUGAGCUUGGAAAAUGGGCAAGCCUUUCUGGAGUUUGAUCGUUAUUUAUAUGUUAGAGAAAGAGUUCUGGGUUUGUUAAAACUCAUUAUUAUAAUUUGAAAUAUGUGUUAUUUCAGCUAAUGAUUAACACUAAAAAAAUUAUCACCCAUAUAAUUUUUUAAUUUGUGUAGGGUAAUAAUAAAAUUGAAAAUAAUUAAAAAAAUAGCACAAUAAUGAGUUUUAACAAUAAAACAAAUUAAAUGAAAAUUGAAAAUUUAGAAAAGUGUAUCUAAGAAAAUGGAUAUUUUCAGAAAUAAAAUGAAUAUAACUAAAAAUGGGGUUUUAUGAGGAGAUCAAAGGGGUGCCAAUAGUCCAACUCGUAAUUAAGAAUCUCCCAUUACAUUGUCAACCAAAAAGACACUUGCAUAAGAAAAAAAAUUUCUGUUUGAUUUUAUUUGUAGAUCCAACAUUUCUCAUAUCCUGGUCGCCUUUCCGUAUCAAAUUAAAAUAGUAUUAGCAAAAUCGUAGUGCAAAUUCAAUUAACCAACUAAUAGUCUAAGAAGCAAAGAGAGGAUUACAAGUUCACAACACCAUUACAAAGGAUUCAAAAUUCCCACACGAAAACAUCAAUGUACAGAUUAUAAACAAUCCGAAUUGGACACAAGAAAAACCCUUCAAUGGAUUGCUUGCCUUCCCAAUGCUAAAUACUGUGCAAACUGCGCAUUGGCCAAGAAAAUGUUUUCAAUUUAGUGUAUUUUCAAAAUGCUUAUUUUCUCAGAAUAUAAAAAAUGAAAAAAUAAAAAAAGAAUUCUUACAUGUUUCAUCAGCAUGAUUAAAAUCAAAGAAGAAAGCGAGACAUAAUGUCUCUGACAUAAUAAAAUUACAAAAAUUUCAAGAAAAAAAAAGGGUUAAAACAUGUAAUCUUCAGAAGCAUAUAAUAAAAGAAGACUUCCACAAGUUACUACAAUUACAUGCAGUAGAGAUUAACUGAUGCUUUGACUUAUUAGCAGGUUGCAAUGAAUUAUUAACUGAUGCUUUGACUUAUUAGUUCUGCAGCUAAGUUAAAUAAAAUAAGGUAUUUUCAAAAGCAAAAUGGAAUACAUAGACAAAACAUCAUCUUAAACAAAUCACAAUCUAGAAUUAGAGUGUUGAUUUGAGAUUCUAGAUUGUGAUUUGAUCGGCUCAUUUGUUAAGAAGUGUUGAUUUGAUCGGCUCUGCAAAUUCUCUUGGGACUCGGUUCCAAUUCCUCUUCAUCAAAACUGUAAUAUAAUUCCCCUUCAUCAGAACUCGAAUCAAAUUCACUUGCAGCAGUUCCACUCGCGCUUGGCAAAUCAUCUAAUUUCCAAACUUCGGUAGCAAAAUUGAGAGUAAAAGUGUUGGCUUUGAUCUCGCUGGGAUUUGCAUAUACUGGACAUACUCCGCAACGUUUUAUCUUCUGACCCUUUUGGACCUUUAGGUUUCGGCAACACUCAUUGAAGAACUUAAGUGAGACAGUUGUAUGAUGGUAACCAUCAGGAAAGCCAACAUUCAAGCAAGGUUUAAAACCAAGUAUGACAUGAUCUGAAUCAAUGAGGUCUUCAAUUGAGUGCGAAUCGAAACUCAGAUGAACAUGUUUGGUUUCAGAGAGAGUCUUUAUUUCUAAGUCGGAUCGACAGCCGACGUAAACAUUACGAAAACGAUCAGAAUAAAGUUGCUUAAAAUCAAGAACAGCACAAAAAGCAAACCCGAUUAAGUUUCUGCAAAAAGAGUGCGGUGGCAGUUGAAUACGUAUUGAAGAUCCUGAACUUUGAUUGCUGAACCAGUCAGGAAUUUUGCUCCCAGGUAAAACAAUUUGGGAUCGCCUGAGUUCAGAAAGUUUCUGUGAAACGACAUUUAAAAAAAGAAAAUUGUCAAAUGAAAACCAUGAUUUCAGAUAUAACAAAGAGGGACAGAGUAAACAAGAGAGGGAAUUUGAUACCUCGUCGAUUGUCUUUCCCCGUCUCAGUGAUGCUGCAAUUGCCAUACGUAGUGAAUCUGCCAAAAUCUUGUUGUUUGCUUUUCCAUCAAGUUUCAAGCAGUUAGUAAACCGAAAAUAAAUUGGUUGUGACAGUCGAUAUUCCGGAUGCCAUUCACAAAGGUCAGGAGAGGGUUUGGAUAGCUUUUCGAGUACGGAUGCAUCUAGUUCUUGUAGACAUGACGGAAUCUCUGGCAAAGAUUGAAGCCGGUUGCAGUUCGUUGCAUUUAGUGAAUGUAGACACAAUGGAAGUUCUGGUAAUGACCGAAGCAUGUUACAACCCGUCAAGUCAAGAGAUUCUAGACACAAUGGAAGUUCUGGUAAUGACUGAAGCAUCUUACAACCCUCCAAGUGAAGAGACCUCAGCUGCGACAGUUGCUUGAUACUUGCAGGUAAGCUCUCAAAGCUAUUUCCACUUAGAUUUAAUGUUGUCAGUGAGGAUAGACAGGCAAUCUCUUGUGGAAUUUCCAUUACAGCACAGUUCCUCAUAUCUAGAUGUCCCAAAUAAGCUAAACCUAAUAAAAACGAUCGAGGCAAUGAUACCAAACCUUUGCAGCGAGAGAAGUAAAGAACUCCAAGUCUGUUUGAAUAUGCAACAGAGGAUGAUGGUAGUUGACUAAUAGCUGAUCCAACUGCUGAGAUGAUAAACAAACAUUUUAAAUUGCCAAUGUUAUCCGGCAACUUAUCAAGCUUAGAGCAAUCUUCUACGAACAAUUCUUCAAGCCCCGGUAGAUUUUCAAAUGACGAUGGCAGCUCUGUAAUUGCCGUCUUGUUUAAAUUGAUGCGUUCUAAAUGUUCCAUUUUCUCCAAGAUUUCUGGGAAGCGCUCAAGGUUCACGCAGCCAUUAAGAAAAAGAUCAACCAAAGAUCUCAAUUUACAAAACCUAGUUGAAAUCCUCUUCAGCCGUUUGCAAUACUUCAAAUUCAACUUUUUAAGAUCAGUUAGGCACUCUAUUGAUGACGGAACUUCUUCUAUUGCAGACUUGCUCAAGUUUAGCGAUGUUACUUUCCCAGAAAUCAGUGGAAACUCUAUGAGAUUAACACAAUAGGAGAAAUUAAUAGUUACUGGACAAACAAAAUGAAGAUUGCUUGGAAAAGACCUAAGACUUUUGCAGCCCUCAAAAGACAACGCACUGAGAUACUUGAAAUUCUGGAUAGAUGAGGGAACACAAGCCAAGUUUGUAUAAUCCAAAAGAUAUGUUUCAACAUUUGGGGUUUCAAAUGGGCCUGGCAUCUUAAUGAAAUGUUGAGAAUGGCUGAGGUUAAUAGAUUUUAACUUGAAAGCUUCCUGCAAUAACAGAUAUAUAAAGACUAUAUUAAUUAAAAAGCAACAUUGAAUUCAACAAUUAAUUGCACGUAUAUUUAAAGAAAGAAAAAAUUAAUGUUUUAGUUUUAGUACAAAACUUACCUUUUCUCCUUCCCAAAGUUGCUCAACUUUACUACAACUCAAAUUCAGUGCAACAAGGUUCUUUGGCUUGAAAUUUGAUGGCAGUGUCCUUAAUGGAUAUGUGUCCCAAUGAAGAUAUCUCAAUUUUUUAGGAAGAUAAUCUAGGCCAUUUGGAAGCUGCACUUUAGAGUAUGAAAGAUGCUCUUCAAUGCUCAUACUUGGAAGCUUUUCAAUCCCAUAAAAUUUGAGCAAUCUCAUAUUAGACAUAUUUGUGAAGGCUCCGGGGUCUAAAUUGAUGCGUUUUAUUUUGGACAAAUCCAGAAAUAUGCCUUCAAUUGCAUCGGUCCCCUUAUUAAAAAAAAAAAAAAGAAUGAGUAAGCCUAAAACUCAAAAGAAACAUUCGUAAACUUUAUUAAUUAAGAGCUCCUUAAACAAAAAUAAAUUACGCAAUCUUUGAUUUUAUUUUUUUAAUAUAUUAAAUAUCUAUAUGCGAGAAAAGAAAAUUUUGGGGACCAUUGCAAAAUUAAACUAACUGAAAAAAAAUUCAAAAUUUCUCUAAUUUACAAACCUGUUAUCUUAAUAUCUAGAAGUUGAGAAGACAAGGCCUAUUUGAUUGGUAUAAGAUUUCGAUUUUUUUUUUUUUUAGUCCAUAGAAUCCAAAAUGUUAGUUCAAAAUUAGGGAAAAAGUCAUUUUUUUUCCACUAGCUGUAAUUGUAUCCAAGUCAAAUUGAGAUACGACCCUUUUCAAAAGGAUUUAACCAUCUUACAGCCUCCUUAAGGCACAUUUAAGCUAAAAGGAGUGAUUGGAGGCAGAACUAGGUGGGCCAAUCAGUCCAUUUUAUUAGUGACCGUUGCUUAAAAAAAAUUAUACUCUAAACCACACUUACUUUUUUGAAAAAAAAAUGUAAUUAUAUUGAAAUAAAAUCAGGUGGGCCAAUCCUCAUGGCACUCACUUUGUUCUAACACUCUUCACUAAAUUUGAAGAAAAAUAAAAUUAUACUCUUCACACUCGUAUUCAACAUUCCAAAAUUGAUAAAAUCGGGAGUUUUCUUUAAAAAUUUAAAAUUUGAAGACUUGUUCUCUUGACACCCUCAGUCAUUAAUUUUACCUAAUUAUGGUUUUUAUGAUUUUGGUUGUUUUGUUCAUAAAAAUGCUUUUACUAAAGGAUGUUCUGGUAAUAAUAAAAUUUAUAAAAAAAACAUGGGUGUGCUGAUAUAGUUGGAAAAAUAUGAGUGCAUAACUCCAAACAAAUAAAAGAUAUAUAUAUAUAUAUAUAAAUGGAGGAUUCUUACCUUAUUAUGCUUUAGUACGCGGCGGAUUUCCUUAGGAUCCCACAACCUGCUGCGUUUGCCUGGCUCUUUCUCAGAUUCUUGGCGAACAAUCUGUCGCCCCAUUUCUUGCAAUAUAUCAUGCAUCUGCAAGGAAUCACCUGAUAUUGAUAUGAGUGACUUAUCAAUAAGGACAUCCAGUCCAUCAGACUCAGAAUCAUCAAGAAUCCUUGCCAGAAAAUCUUUAUCCCCUCCCUCGAAGAAACACGCAAUAUCUAGAAAUAUGCUCUGCACCCUGGGCGUUAAUUCAUAAAAACUAAUCUUUAAUAUUUCAUAAAUAUUAUGAAUAUCAGAUUCACAAAUCCGAUUUAAGUCGUCCAAUACAUUUUCCCAAUGGCUUUUCCUCUUGAGAUACAGGGAGGAACCCAACACCUUAAGAACUAAUGGAUUGCCUUUGGCAUACUUUACAAACCUCCGUGAGUGCCGAUUGAGAUCUUCAGGACAAUGAUUUUCUUUAAAAGCGAAGUUACAAAAAUGCUCGAAAGCCUCAUCCAAUCUCAAUCCAUUGACCCUAUAUAUUUUCUCCACUCCAAAUUUUUCGAGGACUCGUUUAUCCCUGGUGGUUACAACAAUUCUACUUCCUGGACCAUAUUGAUCAAGCCCUCCAAUCAAACCCUCUAAUUGUUCAUCUUUAUUCACAUCAUCGAGUACAAUCAACACCUUCAUGCGUCGGACCCUCCCUUUAGUAAAUUGUGGAAUAUUGGGACCAGCUACUUCAAGUUUUUCACUUAAUAUUGUCGAAAGCAUUUCCUUUUGUAGGUCUUCUAGGCCACCCUCUGUUUCUGAUUUUCUCCUAACAUUUUUUGCAAAGUAUUUACCAUCAAACUCACCAGAGAAUUGAUCGAAAAUAGCUUCAGCAAGGGUAGUUUUGCCUAUACCACCCGUGCCCCAAAUUCCAACAAUUUGGACAGUAUCCCACAAAUCCAUACACAAAAAUGGUUUAAUCUGCUCAAUUCGUGAAUUUAAUCCAACUAGGCCGUUGGAUGAGUCCGUUGAGACUGUUAUUUUUUCCAACUUCUUCAAAACAUCUUCGACAAUUUUGUUUACAAGUUGCGCAUCAAGCCUAAUAUGAAGGUGCAAAGAUGCAAAAACAUUGAGUCAAAUCGGGCCAAGACAGAAACAGAGAAAAGAUGAAUUAGGAAAGAGAGUUACCUGAAUUUCGUGGAUUCAUGGCCGGCUAGAUGGGAUGUUUCUGUCAGUGCAUCCCUCCACUUCUGAACCAUUUCUGGUUUAUCUUUGAACUGUUUUUUGAGCUCAUCAAAACGGUCUCCAAAUGUUCCGUUUUGAUGCCGCACAUCAGAUGGACUUACUCCAUAGAAGACUGGAAUAAUAAUUUGGCCGUUUGUGUUCUUGCAUUCAAGAAUCUUGACAAGUUCAUUCAGGCACCAUUUUGAAGAAGCGUAGUCCUUUGAGAAAAUGACCACCGAAAUUUUUGAACCUUGGAUUGCGUACAAAAGGGCGGGUGAAAUCUCAUCUCCUCGCCUAAGCCCUUCAUCAUCAAUAAAUGUUUUGAUUUUCUUUCCUUCAUACAAUUUAUCAUAGAGAUAGCAAGUAAAGCUCUUACGAGUGUCCUCCCCUCUAAAGUUGAGGAAGACUUCAUAAUUGCCACAAGAAGAAGAGGAAGCCAUGAAGGAAAUUUUAGAAAAUUGGUGACAGAAACAGAGAAUUAAUCUUGAGAGUUGAGAGAGGAGAUGUAAGAAUGAACAUGUGUGAAGAUUCUUGCGAGUACAUAGUAAAUAAUUGAAUGGCUGGAGCUUUCUUAGUUUCCUGGAAAUUUCCUGGAGCUUUCGUAUACAUGAUUUGUCAAGUCAUGAAACAUAAUCAUGAUAAUGGGGCAGACCAAAAAGAAAAGCAACAAUUCAAAUAUUUGAUUCAACCAGUAUAAAAAGGAAGGAAAAGCAAAGAAAGGAAAUGUUGAAAGUAGAGUUAGGGAAUUAUAAAAAGCUGAAGGAAAUUGGAAUUUUGUACAAUUUCUCCAGCGAGGAACUUUCACAGUCGUUACCUCAUUGUUACAGUUUAGAUUAAGAUUUGAGGGUGCAAGCAUUUACCUAGAUUUUACCUCCGCACUAAAUUCUUAAGUUUGAAAAAUUAUGAGACCUUUAUAUUGGAAGAUAUUAUAAUCGAAUCAAAACUUAAAAUUUUAAUAUUGUUAAUCUUUAAUCUUUAAAAAAAAUUACCUUGCCGUUACAAUUUGGAUUAAGAUUUGAAUAAGCAUUUACCUAAAUUUUAUCUCCGCCUGUAAAUUCUUAUGUUUUAAAAAUUAUGAGACCUUUAUAUUGGGAGAUAUUAUAAUCGAAUCAAAAUUUUGAAUUUCAAUAUUAUUAUUCUUUUAAAAAAAUUUGAGAUAACAGAGUGAUUGAUAAUAGAGAACUUGUCUAGGCAAACACAUGCAUACACAAAAAUGUGAUGGAUUCAAAAAGAAAUUAAAGUGAUAAUGUACGUGGAUCCUUAAAACAAAAAGCGAAAUCGCUUGGUGGCCCAGUAAAAUUAAGACUGAAUAUUUUUUACACGAGAAGUCAAGCUCAUAAAUGGCAAAAGCCAUUUCAUUUCACUUUUACGCGUCAUUGACUUUUGUAACACGGUGUAUGCAUCGUCAAGUGGGGCAAAAGGGUUUCGAUUACAGUGGGAAAACAUGAACAAGAAUGCAUAAUGAAUAAUUCUUUCGAUAAAGCGAAAAUUAAACACAGAAUAAUCCUAAAAUUUAAACUCUAAUAUCUUAUAAUGUAUUGAUUAAAAAUAAUCCUAAGAGUUCCCAAUUGAAACUUUCAUAAGUAUUUUUAUUGUUUUGGAUAAACAAAUUGCACUAGGAAAACAAUUUGGCAAAUUCAGAGGAUAAUGAAAAAUAGCUAUGCUUCAAUAGGCCAAAGAUUAGAGAACAAAGAAGAAUUAGUUAUUGAUAUACGAAAGAGAAACACUCCAAAAUUUCAAGCAAAAUAUUUUCAUAUACCAUUUCGAUUUUGGAAGGGGUGUGGUUUUGAACUUCAAUAGUUUCCUCUAAAAUCAAAAGGCAGCAAUUAAGCUAGAAAGAGCAAAGAAGACUUUUUGGUACCUUAUUGAAGGUAAACAUUAUGGAACUUCCAAUGUCAUUACCUCACUGUUUAAUUUUUAUUGAGAUUUGUGCAAGCAUUUACCUAAAUCUUACCUCUGCCUGUAAAUUCAUAAGUUUUGAAAAUUAUGAGACCUUAUAUCGGGAGAUAUUAUAAUCGAACUAAAACUUAAAAUUUCUUUUCUUUUCUUUUUUUAUCAUAAAAGGGCUCUUAAGAGAGCUACGACAACACUAAGUGGGAGUGUGCAACCCCAUGAACAUCAUUAAUCAAUAUGUUUAGCGUAUUUGGAGGAAUAGAUUGAAAGCAAUGUAAACCCAAAGGAAACAAAAAGCUGUACGAAGUAAGGAAAUCUGCUGCUACAUUGGUUUCUCGGUAGAUAUGAUCCACUUUGAUCAGCCAAUCACGCCAAAGGAGUUCUUCGAUGGCCUGAAUGAGAAUAAAAUGCUCAUUGACGGGAGGGUUUUAGUUAGAGAUUAACUUCAUAACACACAUGCUGUCUACUUCCACGUAAAACUUAAAAUUUCAAUAUUAUUAUUCUUUAAAAAAAAAAUUGAGAUAUCAGAGUAAUAUCACAUAGAAAAACUUGCCCACGGACGGUAAGCCAAAUGUCUAGUCAACCACAUGCAUAAAGCUAAGUAGAACAAGAGAACAGAGAAACGCGUGGGUCCCUAAAGAAAAGGCAAGCACAUAAAUGAAAAAGCCAUUACAUUUCUAUUAACACGGUGUGGCAGCAUAUGCACAAUCAAGUGAGGCAAAAGGGAUUCGCUUAUCGUGGCAGAACAUGGACGAGGACGCGUGACGAAUAAUUCCUUCGAUAAAACGAAAAACAAACGCAGAGAAAAGAAUUUCUUAUAUGACAAGAAAUCAAAGAAAUGUGAAGGAACAUGAUGAAGAAAUUGCAGACUGAUCAAUUAUCCCCAUGGACUCCUAUAAAUUCAACCAAAAUAACAAUUCGAAUCUUACCAAAUUCUUGAGUUAAAUUUAUUCAAUGCUUUUAUUUUUUUAGAGAAAUUUUUUCCAUUGCUACUUUCCCUUUUUUGGGGAAAUUAGAACCGCGGCAUGUAUAGAAAACAUUGAGGUGUAAAGCAACAUUAAUUUCAUGGGAUAUGCGUUAUACGCAUAAUAUAUUUUCAGUCCAAAUUCAACUAUACAAAGAGGCUUGAGAACUUAAAAUUAAGCACAAACUAAACAGACGAAGUAAAUACAUGAUUAUGCAACAUAACAUUAAUUCUCUUAAUUUAUAACUGUUUUUGCCACAUGAAUCUUGCACAGUUAAUCCUAAUUGAAGACUAAAAAAGAGCAAUUGGAAGAAGGUUUUGGAAUAGAAUGGUAUACAAUCGAUAUGAUCCUUUUCCAGUAGUCAACGCUAAUUAACUGCAGUUUCUAGACUCCUAAUUAUACUAGCCAUAGAAAACUGGUGAUCAAAUUAGAUUUUGAAAGGAAAUAAUGUUCAUUUUCCCUUCGCUGCCUUUUUUUUUCUUUUCUUUUUAUAGCAAAGAAUUAUAUCAUGAAAAGAAUCAAUUUAAUCACCUUUUCCAGCAGCACAAUUUUUCUUUUAUAAAAUUUGACCACAGAGACAAAGAAGAAUUAUUCAUACCUUCAUCAGUGAGGAAAUACUUUUCGGUAUGGCUAGGGUGAGAAAAGGCUUUCCACAAACACUUGUACUUUGUAUUCCUGUAAAUUUUCUUUAAAGUCAAUAAAAACCAUAAGUUCUUUACAAUAACCACCUCUUUGAUAAAAAAGUGCCGUAUUCCUUUAGAAUUUAAAACCGGCAAAAUCGGAAUCAGUGUCUUUGAAGAGACAUAAUGGUCGUAAUUCUUUAAAUGAGUUGGCUAUGGAAAUCCUUAUCCAAGAUUCUUUUACGCCAUAUUCUUUCGUAAACCAAAAUUCAUUUUGGAAUACUCUGUUGAGAAUGUCAAAUAAAACGGCAUUGAAGGAAGUUUUCAAAGGUAGAAUCCGCACUUGUCAAAGGGAUGAUCUGCACUUGUCAAAGACACGAUCCGCGUCAAACGAAUCGACACAUUUCCUUUCGUAUUCGCAUAUGUAAUCUUUGAAAAAAUGUAGCUUCUGCAUCUAUAAAUAACGCUCAGUGUAUAAUGUUUUAUUCAAGAAAAAAAACAAGUUUCUUCAUACUCGUCGUCCGAACAUACAGAGACCGUCUCUCAUAACUUCAGCCGAAUACUUGUGAUGAUGAUCAUUUGUGAUUUCAUCAGGCAAAGGGUUGAUGGUGAAAAUUUUUGUAUGUGUGAAGAAUUGAGCUGUGGAUAUAGGGGACUUAAGUGUAAUCGAAAGAGAGUUAUUAGGUCAUAGUGCAGAUUGCAUUCAGUUUAUGGGUCGCUAUGCAGAUAAUUUGUUGACGUGGCGAAAUCUGUUAUGGUCGUUAGUAUUGUUUCUGGAAAUUUUCUAGAAACCUCAGCAUAAAAGGGGCUUUUGCAUAGCCUCUGGUGUGCGUGUGAUUUCUCUUUCGUUUCCUCAUCAAAUUCUGUAAUUCUUGCUUUGAUAAAAAGCUUGUAAUCUCUUCUGUAAUGUGUGAUCAGUGCGUAAUCAUUUUGAGCAAUAAACGCUUGUGGGUUUUUCCUUCAAACAGUGUCGUUUUGGUCAGUUUGUUAGUUUGAUCUGUUGGUGGAAUUUUCUUUGGUUAUUUGUUCUCAAAAUUCAACCGUAUAUAAAGUUUGAACUCUAAUGGCUUAUAAUGUAUUGAUUAAGAAUAAUCCUAAGAGUUCCCGAUUGAAAUUUUUAAUGACUAUUUUUAUUGUUUUGGAUAUACAAAUUGCAUUAAGAAAAAAUAUUGUCAAAUUCAGAGGAUAACGGGAAAUAAUUAUGCUUCAAAAGGCCAGAGAUUUGAGAACAAAGAAGCAUUCAUUACUGAUAUACAAAAGAGAAACACUCCAAAAUUGCAAGCAAACUAGUUUCAUAUACUGUUUGGAUUCUGGAAGGGGUGAAGUUUUGAACUUCAGUUGUUCCUCUAAAAUCAAAAGCAGCAAUUAAGCGUUCUCAAUUAGAAAUAGCAAAGAAGACUUAUUCGUACCUUACUGAAGCUAACAUUAUGGCACGGUUGUUCAUAUGUAAUGGCUGCUCUGUUAUGCUAUAUGCUCUGUUAUGCUAGCUUCUCUGUUUUUGCUUACAGUUUUGAACAUAAAUUCUUGCUCAAAUAACCCAUAAUUAAAUAACACUAAUAUGGCUCCUGAAAUCCCAUAAUAGCUAAUUACGCAACUUUCUCCUCCUCCUCAAUUAUGUCUUCCCCUGCUCGGACACUAACUUCAAAAUUCAAUGCCCCGAAAAACAACACAAGAAAUCUUUGAGUUAAAUCGUGACCAGUUUAUAUAUCGUAGCAAUUGAAAAAGAAAAAGAAGAAAAGAGUUAAUUAUUAUUCAGACCUUCACUUAUUAGGAAGUUUGUUCUGCUAUUGGGUGAGAUCAAGCUCUCAGCAUAUACUUCCACAUGAUACUUUCUAACAUUUUCUUGAAAGCCAUCAAUCAUAAAAUCUUCAUACUUUUUUCCAUCCUUUGGAUCAAUAAGUACAAAUUUCUCAUCUAAAACAGACAAAAUAAAAUCACUGUCCUUCAUGGAACAUAAUGGCUGCAAUGCCUGAACUGAAUUGGCUAAUGAAACAUAGUCUUCUUUUCUUUCUCGACAUGGAACAUAGUCUUCUUUUCUUUCUGGACAUAUGUCUCUGUACUUUUCUCUCUCUACUGAUCCACACUUUUUCAUACUUCUAACUAUCAUUUUGUUUUUUUUUUUGGUUAAGUUGUGAUUUAUUCAAUUAUUUUGUAUUUUUAAUGACAAUUAUUUAAUAUUUAGUUAGUUUUGAUAUUGAUUAGUGAUUGAAAGUGUAUUUUAGAAGACUUCCGGUCUCUUGGAAAAAGGAAAAAUGGAGACGAAGAAGAAGUGUUCUUGAUUUUUUUGUAGGCAUUAAAGUUAAACGGUUUGAAAUGAUAUUUUGUUUUAAUUUCACUCAUUAAUCUCAUUCAGGAUAAAAUUAUAAAUGCAAAUAAAUGGGGUUUCAUGAGUUUUUUUUAAUAGUGUUAAAAGGUCUACUCACUAAAUAAACAUGUUUUACCCAAACCAAUCCGAUUAAUAAAGUUAUUGGGUUGGGUUGAUCAGGUUAAAAAUCAAAAUUAAAAAUUAAAUAAAUAAAAAAGGCGUUAAAACUAUCUGUUACUUGAAAAUAAAAAGAAUUUCAAAUAGUUAGUUCUAAUGUCCCAUAUCCAAAACAUGCAUAUUAAAUAAAUAUUAUAAGUUAGAGAUAAAAUAUCCAAGAAAUAAUGAAUGAAUGAAAUACCAUAUUUUUGUUGAGAAUUAAGAGUGUGAUUUUAAUUUUGAUAUUGGAGUCUAAAGCAAUAGAUAGUACAAUGAAAUCAUGAAUGCCACAUUUAAAUAAUGUCUUUUAUAAAAUAAUAAAAAGAAGUUAAAAAUUAGGUUAGCCAUUUAGGCGUUUAGGGUUUAGCAGUUAAGGAUGAACAUAUUAUUAUUAUUGUUGUUGUUGUUGUUAUUAUAACAAUUAUUAUUUACAUAUUAAUUAAUCCAACCCAACCCAAUUAUUAACAAACUAGGAAAUAAAACCGCACUUCGUGCGGCUUUAAAAGAAAAUUAAUAUUAUUUUUUUAUUACUUUACAAUUGAUGAAACUAAUAAAAAAUAUGAAUUAUUUUUAAAAUGACGUAAUCUUAUAAAACUAAUGUUAUUUAUGAAAGUUAAUUAUUUUUUUGUUAACAUUAAAAAUAUAUAUUAAUGUGUAUAGUUAAGUGUACACAACUUUUUCAUCAAUAAAAAUUAUGUUCACAUUAAUCAACUCUCCAUUUUUCUUAGUAUUAACAGACUCUCACAUCUUACAAAGUCUGACCCUUAUUAUUCAACUAUCUUUAUCAUAGUUUAACUCAUGAAGAAAAUAGUACUCCAUGAAGCAUACAAUACUAAAAAUUUAAAUAAGUCAAAAAAUAAAAACACAAAAACAUUUCUAAAGAGAAUGUUGGUUAAAUAAUAAAAAAAACUCAAACAUAACAAAUCUUAAAUGCUUAAUAUUUAUAGAGCUUGAAGAAGCCAAAAGAUACUAAAUAAAAGGUUGCAUAAUUAAAUAUAGGAUUAUAACAUUAAAAUUAGGUCAUAAGGCAUUGGUGAGGGAAGAGGAAGGAACAUUCCUUCUUAUAUUAAUUAGUUGAUGUAUUUUAAACCACUAAAGUUUAUUUGUUGGCUUAAUAAAAUAAAUGAAUGUUUCAAAACUUAUAAUUAAUUUAUUAUUAAUGGUUAUAUAUUGUUGAAUUUAAAUAGAAAGAGAAAGAGACAUGUAAUCUUUUGUAAUCUAUUAAUUAUUUUAUAUUUUUAAUAUUUUGUAAUGUAAUUAUUUUUUAAUCUCAACCAAUAUGUUAGAUAAUAGAGAAUAUAAAAAGAUGAGAAAUAAUAAUGCCACAAAUCUUAACUACUUAAUAUUUAUAGAGUUUGAAGAAGUCAAAAGGUACUAAACAAAAGGUUGCAUAAUUAAAUAUGAGAUUAUAGCAUUAAAAUUAGACCCCACUGGCAUUAUUGAGAGAAGAUGAAGGAACAUUCCUUCCUAUAUUAAUUAAUUGAUAUAUUUAAGCUACUAAAAUUUAAUUGUUGGCAUAAUAAAAUAAAUAAAUGUUUCAAGAUUUAUAAUUAAUUAUUAUUAAUGGUUACAUAUUAUUGAAUUUAAAUAGAAAGAGGAAGAGACAUGUAAUCUUUUAUAAUCUAAUAAUUAUUUUUAUUUUUAAUAUUUUAUAAUGUAAUUAUUUUUUUAAUAUCAACUAAUUUAUUAGAUAAUAGAGAAUACAAGAAGAUGAGAAAUAGUGAUGUCACAUCACCUCCUCUAGUCCCAACUUUAUAUAUAUAUAUAUAUAUAUAUAUAAUAUUUUGUAAUGUAAUUAUUUUUUAAUCUCAGCCAAUAUAUUAGAUAAUAGAGAAUAAAAAAAGAUGAGAAAUAAUGAUACCACAAAUCUUAAAUAUUUAAUAUUUAUGGAGUUUGAAGAAGCCAAAAGGCACUAAACAAAAGAUUGAAUAAUUAAAUAUGAGAUUAUGACAUUAAAAUUAGACUCUAAUGGCAUUGUUGAGGGAAGAUGAAGGAACUUUCCUUCCUAUAUUAAUUAAUUAAUGUAUUUUAAGCCACUAAAAUUUAAUUGUUGGCAUAAUAAAAUAAAUGAAUGUUUCAAGACUUAUAAUUAAUUAUUAUUAAUGGUUACAUAUUGUUGAAUUUAAAUAGAAAGAGGAAAAGACAUGUAAUCAUUUAUAAUAUAAUAAUUAUUUUCUAUUUUCUAUUUUAAUAUUUUGUAAUGUAAUUAUUUUUUAAUUUCAACCAAUUUAUUAGAUAAUAGAGAAUAUGAAAUGAUGAGAAAUGGUGAUGCCACAUCACCUCUUGUAGUCUCAACUUUAUAUAUAUAUAUAUAUAUAUAUAUUAAUUCAUGUCUUUUAUACCACUAAAGUUUAAUUGCUAGCAUAAUAAAAUAAAUAAAUGUUUCAGAAGACUUAUAAUUAAUAUUAUUAAUGAUUACAUAUUGUUGAAUUUAAAUAGAAAGAGAAAAAAAUUACAAAGAAUAUCCACCAAUAUUUUAGAUAUUUUAGAUAAUAGAAAAUAUAAAAAGAUGAGGAAUGAUAUAUAUUAAUAAAGUUACUAUUUAUUAAAUGAGUUAAAUACAAUCAAAUUAAUUAUGAGAAGAUGAAAAGCCAAAUCUAAAAAAAAAAUCUCUAUUUAUUAGAUAAUAGAGAAUAUAUAAAGAAGUAAAAUGGUGAUGCCACAUCACCUACUCAAGUCCUAGCUUUAUAUAUACACUAGAAAAUAGAACCGCGUUUCACGCGGCUUUGAAAAAAAAUUUUAAUGUUAUCUUUUUUUUUUAUUUUGCACAUGAUGAAACUGAUAAAAAAUAUGAAUUGACUUUUUUUUAAGAUGAAGCAGCCUUAUUAAAAAAAAACUAUUAGCCAGCAAUACAAAUAAAGAAGUAAUGUAAGAUAAAAAAUAAAAUGAGAGAAUAUAUUAUAGAAUGAUUUUAUUCAUUCUAAUUGUGUGGUACAAAACAAAAAGAUGAGCUCUCAUUUUAUAGUUACAUAAUCACUCCAUGAAAUUAAUGAAAAAUUAUGGAUCAUAAUUCCUUGUGAGAUAGUGGGAGUUAUAGGGAAGCUAAAGGUUGCUAAUGGAAGAUAGUGGGGAGACUAAGAGAUAUAUGUUAUGAACAUCUACAUUUAUUUUAAUAAAUUCAUAACACUCCCCCUUUGAUGUUCAUUAUAAAAAAUAUGCCUCAUUAAAAUCUAUUAGCCAACAAUACAAAUAAAAAAGCCACACAAUAUAAAGAAUAAAAUGAGAGAAUAUAUUAUAGAGUGAUUUCAUUCAUUCCAAUUAUGUGUGUACAAAACAAAAAGAUGAGCUCUCCUUUUAUAGUUACAUAAUCACUCCAUGAAAUUAAUGAAAAAUUAUGGAUCAUAAUUCCUUGUGAGAUAGUAGAAGUUAUAGGAAAGCUAAAGGUUACUAAUGGGAGAUAGUGGAGAGAGUAAAAGAUAUAUGUUAUGAACAUCUACAUUUAUUUUAAUAAAUUCAUAACACUCCCCUUUGGAUGUUCAUUACAAAAAAUAUGUCUCAUUAAAACCUUUAUAUAAUUGUUAUUGUGUAAUAACAAUCAAAUUAAUUAUGAGAAGAUGAAAAGUCAAAUCUAAAAGAAAAUUUCUCUAUUUAUUAGAUAGAUAAUAGAGAAUAUACAAAGAUGAGAAAUAGUGAUGCCACAUCACUCUCUCAAGUCUCAACUUUAUAUAGAUAUAUAGAUUUGAAAUGAUUGACUCAAUUAAUCCACAAUAAUUCAUUCAACUCGUCUAAAUUAGAUUAUGUUGAAUUUGAUUUGCUACACCUACAUUGAGCAACAAACCUCAACGACAUUCUACGAGCUCUUUGAUUGUUUAUAAAAUUGAUUUAGAGUACAUAAAGUGUAUCGACAAUGAAAGUGCAAAACAAAUUAUUGUACAUAUUAAAAUGUGCAAAACAAUGAAUUAUAUGUACAAACGAGUGCAAACACAUUUUUCAAUAAGAAGUUAAAAGAUAUUUAUGCAUGAAAAAGCCUACGUUUGUAGUUAUUCUAAAUUUUAAAAACAAAAUUUACAUUUAGAUCCCUAAAAUUUACGUAUAAGUAUAAAAGUUUCAAAUAUUGUCUAUUAUUUUUUUAACAUGCCUAUUCCUUAUGGAUAAUUCUGUCUCAUCACUAAUGUUGUUUCUUGCUUAGAAAAAAUAAAUGUCAUCUCCUUUUACAAUUUUUAUAGCGUCUCGAAAUAGACAAUAGGGGAUUUUGAAUUUUUUAAGUCUCAAGAUAGUCUCUAAUCGUGUGAGAAAGAUUUUCUUUCAAUAAUUUGGAGCUAAACAUAACAUAUUUUUUAGACUAAAAUCUAACUCUGCUGGUUAGUAGUUGGUGGUAUCCUUUUCAAGACUUGAGUCUUUAGAUUCGAGUUUUAUAUAGUGUACAUGUGUAUUUAAUUAAUAAUUUUUUUCAAAAAAAAAAAUUACAUCAAAUACUAAUAUUCAUGACAUAAUUUAGUUCAUAAUUUUUUUAAAUACAUCGAAAAAUAUAAUUUUUUAACAACUUAUAGGCACGACAAAUUUCAAGAUAUAAAUAUCAGUCAAAAUAAAUGAAAGAAAUAAUGGUGUCAAUUCUAAUUUCUUAACUAAAUUAAUUAUUGCAUGAGCCCCGAAUACGACAUGAGAGUUUGAUGGGCUAACUUGGCACAAGAACGCGAAUAGUUAACUCAUUUAAGAAAUAAUUCAACAAAAAAUAUAAUUGAUAAGAAUUCAGUAUUGAAAUGAAUUUUUUACGAAACAUUGAAUUAAUGAUUAUUAAGCAAGAACAAUAAAAAAAUAAAAUAAAAAUAAAUAUUAACCAUUGAUAAGCUUCAACAAGAACUUAACACAACCCUCAAUCCUAAUUCAAAUCAUAAAUGUCAUUCAUAUAUUCAUUAUAAAUCAAUAACAAAGGUUAUAAAUGUUUAGAAAUUCUAGAGGGAAGGAAGCUAUCUCCGGGGAAUCAACAACUAAAUUUGAUGUAAUUGUGGCACACGAUGGAAUAUGGAAACUACACCAUAAUUUCAAAUGCCGCCAUAGACAUUGACUUAUCUACAAUAACAAUGAUCUAAUUAAAAUUAAAAUAAAGUUUAUGGGCAUUUAUUAUUUUGCCAUUUCUCAUUUGCAAACAGGGAUAUAAUUAUAAUUUUACUUAGUCAAAGCAAUCAGUAAUUUUCUUCAUUAUCGGAGUGAAGUAAAAACAUUUAGAUUUUAAUGAGUGUACGGAAAAUUUAUCUUUAAAAAUACUUUCUUAAUGUGUGUGUAUAUAUAUAUUGAAAUAUUAUGCUAUCAAAAGUUAAUUUUAGAAAUUCCAAAUCCAAUAGCUAACACAAUUCUUUAAAGAAAAAAAAAAAAAGGUUGAUAAUCAGCAAUUAGUAUUACUUUCUAAACUUACUUCAACUGGUCGUUAAUGAGGGGCCUUGGGCAAGAGUGAUGAAUGUUUAGUCGGUGCAUUUGAUUGAUAGAUAUAUAAAGGGCCGAAACUUGAGAUUAUAUUACUUUUACAAAUUUUAAUCCAAUCACAUAUUUACUGAAACACAAAAUGAGUUAGGAUACUUUAUUUAGAACCCACAUUUUAAUAAGGCUUCAUUUGAUGUAGUUUUUCAAACAGUGAUUAUUUGAGUAAAGUUUCCUCAAUAGAGUUUUUAUCAAAUAAAUUUUAUUUAUUUGGUUGUCGAUAAGAACUUUUAUUAAAAAUUAUAAAAUUAUUUAAAUAAACAUAUUUUUUUAAAAUUACAUUAUAAAAAGAAUUAAAUAAAGUUAUAAAAGUAAAAUAUAUUUUAGAUAUUUUAAUAUUUAAGAAAAAAAUUUUGAAUCUCUACUUUCAGAAGCUCAAAUUUUUAGUUUUUAGUUGUAGAGACAAAAUAUCUUAUUUAAUCUUUAAAAGUUCUGCUAAAAACAAUCAAAUAACUAUAAAAUUUUUAAUAAGAGUAUAUAAAAUUAAAUAAGCAUUUAUUAAUAAUCACUUUAGUGUACUUAUCUAAUGACCAUAAGUGUUUAUUUAAUCUCAUAAGUUCUUAUUUAAUCUCAUGAGCUCUUUUCAAUUUUUUUUGUUGUUUGCUUUUUUUAGUAGAGUUUUUGAAAAUUAAAUAAACUAUUUUGUCUCUAUUAGGAAAAACUCAAAUUUUAGGUUUUUGUGAGUAAAUGUUUAAAUUUUUUUAAAAAUAUUAAAAUAUUAAAGUAAAAGUUGUAGAGACAAAAUAUCUUAUUUAAUGUUUAAAAGUUCUGCUAAAAAUAAUCAAAUAACUACAAAAAUUUUAAUAAGAGCAUAUAAAAUUAAAUAAGCAUUUAUUAAUAGUCACUUUAGUAUACUUAUCUAAUGACCAUAAGUGUUUAUUUAAUCUAAUGAGCUCUUUUUAAUUUUGUUUGUUUGUUUUUUUAGUAGAGUUUUUGAAAAUUAAAUAAACUAUUUUGUCUCUAUUAGGAAAAACUUAAAAUUUAGGUUUUUGUGAGUAAAUGUUUAAAUUUUUUUUAAAAUAUUAAAAUAUCUUUUCUUUAUUUCAUAAUCUUAUUUCAUUCUUCACAACAUAACUUUAAAUAACUCACCUAUUAAAAUAAUUUCACAAUUUAUAAUAAAAAUUUUAAUUGACAAUCAAAUAACAAAUUUUUUUUUAUAAAAACUCUAAUAAUAAAAAUUCUACUUAAAUAAAUUAUAUUUGAAAAGGUAUACCAAACGAACCUAACAUAAAAACAAAAAUUUUUACAUCCACACAAUUAAGCUUAAAACAAUUUCAAAUGAAUUUUAGACUACUCAAAGUACAAUACGUACCAAGUUUGGUAACUUAUUGGGGUCCGCUUGUAAUACAGCUCAUGAGCUCUUUUUAAAAAAAUUUUGAAUCUCUACUUUCAGAAGCUCAAAUUUUUAGUUUUUAGUUAUAGAGACAAAAUAUCGUAUUUAAUGUUUAAAAGUUCUGCUAAAAACAAUCAAAUAAUUACAAAAAUUUUAACAAGAGCAUAUAAAAUUAAAUAAGCAUUUAUUAAUAAUCACUUUAGUGUACUUUAUCUAAUGACCAUAAGUGUUUAUUUAAUCUCAUGAGCUCUUUUUAAUUUUUUUGUUGUUUUUUUAGUAGAGUUUUUAAAAAUUAAAUAAAUUAUUUUGUCUCUACUAGGAAAAACUUAAAAUUUAGGUUUUUGUGAGUAAAUGUUUAAAUUUUUUUACAAAUAUUAAAAUAUUUUUUUCUUUAUUUCAUAAUCUUAUUUCAUUCUUCACAACAUAACUUUAAAUAACUCACCUAUUAAAAUAAUUUCACAAUUUAUAAUAAAAAUUCUAAUUGACAAUCAAAUAACAAUUUUUUUUUAAUAAAAAUUCUACUUAAAUAAAUUAUAUUUGAAAAAGUAUACUAAACAAACUUUUUUUAGACUAAUCAAAGUACAUCUUCUCAUAAAAUAAUUUCACAAUUUCUAAAAAAAACUCUAAUUGACAAUUAAGUAACAACUUUUUUUUUUUUGUAAAAACUUUAUUUAUAAAAAAUCUAAUAAUAAAAAUUCUAUUUAAAUAAAUUAUAUUUGAAAAUGUAUACUAAACCAACCUAACAUAAAAACAAAAAUUUUUACAUCCAGACAAUUAAGCUUAAAACAAUUUCAAAUGAAUUUUAGACUAAUCAAAGUACAAUACGUACCAAGUUUGGUAACUUAAUUGACAUCUUCUCAUAUAACCUUCGAUCAAGUCGAUUCUGACCUGACGACUAAUUGGUACAUCACCGUUGUUCUCUAUACUCGCAUGCAUCCGAUCACAAAUCUCACUCCAAUUGUCGUCUUUCUUCGGCGUUUUAGCGCAUCCUUCUUGAAUUUCCCGCAUUUCGUUCCCUCCUGUUACAAGUCUCCGGUCAGGUCAGUUCACUUGACGAUUAAUUCGGCAAAUCUCGAAUCUCUUCUCUAUCCCUCUCGUUUUCUCGUGUCUCCUUUCAGUUUAAGUGAUUGAAUCAAUUUUAUCGCAGUCUUAAGAGAAAUUAAGUAAUGCUCUUGGAUUUAAAAUUUUUUUGCUUUCGACUUUAGAUCUCGAAAGUCAAACUCUGCUACGAAUCCAUAGAUUCUCAAUGUUUAUAAUCUUAUUUGUGUUUGACCAGGUAACUGGAUCGUGAAAUUCGUCGUUUUGUAUCAAUUCAGGCUUUCGCGAGCUCAUGGAAUCACCUGGUGAGUUGUGGUGAAACGUUAUCGUUUCAAUUUUCGCUUAAUUCUUUAUUGCAUAUUUUUUCUCUAACAUUUCAGUUUAAUUUAGAAAAGAAAGAGGACCCAAAAAGAGAGAGAGAGAGAGAGACUCUACCAUACUCAAUUCCUUGCUCAUUCUGAUUUGGCCUGAAUGUUGGCAUUGACUAUUAUUUGUUUUCAUUUCGAUUUAAUUCUCAUUUAGACAGUCUUUACUAACGGUCAAUAAUAGUUUAAGGAAAAUGAUAAUAGGGAUUCUGCAAUAAUCUUUCUGCAUUGUUCAAGUUAGUAGACGAUGAAUAGGAUGUUUAUGUUUACCUCAUUUUGAACCCUGAGGGCUUCGUUGAGUAGUUGAUUCAACAUAUCCAGCAACGGUUGAUGUGAGAACAGGAUGCCACUUAGAUAGGCUUAAACUGAUUUUGGAGGUUUGUAUUGGUUCUAUUGUACGUCUUGCUUACAAAUUUUUUAUUUUUUAUUUUUAAUUUUGUAUAAUAUGCUCUUUGUUGGUAAAUCUCAUUUGACUUAGAAGAGAUAGUUUUAUCCCAACAGUGGGAUAAAUCAUUGAGAUGCAUGGCAGUGUGAAUAUAGUAGACAAAAUCAUUGAGACACAUGGUGGUGUGAACAUAGUAAACUUCAUGGAAGCAAUGAAGCUUGAAAUUGAACGUCUGCAGCUGAAUCUUUCUGCAGCUGAAAGGGAUAGAGCUUUAUUGUCAAUCGGAACUGAUCGUGCCUCUAUAAAUCCAAAUGUAUUGCUUGAUGAAUCUUACAUGGGAAGACUGUGUCGAGUAGCAACCACUCUUGCAUUACUUGGCCAAACUUCCCUAGAAGACAAAAUUGUUGGUGCAAUUGGCCUUGAGAAUAGUGAUGAUAGUGUUUUAGACUUCUGGAAUAUUACUAGAAUCGGAGAGAGUUGUUCUGGUGGCUGGUGGCGGGUGCAAGGUUCGUGCAGAAACUAAGGUGCCUGCUCUUGCUUCCUCAACUGCAACAUCUGUUGGAGCUUCACAAUCCCCUUUGUUGUGUUCUCAAUGUGAAAGAAAAGUUUGCAAAGUUUGUUGUGCAGGAAGAGGAGCUCUACUGUUUUCAAAUUAUAAAUCAAGGGAUGUGACCAACUACAAUGGCUUCUCAAGUCAGAGUGGAUCAAGCCAUGGAAGCCAAGUUGAUGUACCUACCAGUCGUUCACUAACACUGGAUGGCGUUGUCUGUAAACACUGCUGCCAUGAGAUUGUGCUUGAUGCAUUGAUGUUGGACCAUGUUAGGGUCUUGAUUAGCUUGCGAAGAAGUUCCCGUGCAGACAACACAGCAUACAAUGCUUUGAAUGAGGUUGUUGGAUCCUGCUUAAAGGAUAGUCUUUCUGAAAGGAUUCAGUCUUCCGAUAACGUGCAAGCUGCUGAAGUCCUUCACCAAUUAUGUGGUGGACAGGAAUCAGUUGCUGAAUUUCCAUUUGCUAGCUUUUUGCACUAGGUAUGUUCUUGGUUUGUAUUCAGUUCUCAUCAUGUUAUGUUUUCCUUUUAAAUUUCUUUUCUUGAUUAAAAUUUUUAGAAAUAUGUUUUAGUAUUUGUUCUUAUGAUAUAUGCCCAGAACAUUCAUCCCACUUAUCCAUGAGAAUCCUUGUCUGGUUUGAUUUUCAAUUGAGACAUUUUUGGGAACCCUGAGCAGGUUCCAUAUGCUAAUAAUCUUUGAGGUAAGGUGUUGUAGGAUGCCUUGAGAAGCUAAAAACCAAUUACAAGGAAAAGCUCUUGCAUUGUUUUGUGCAAUCUGUGUGCUAGCAAGUCAUGUCUCUAAUAAUUUCAUAGUUCGCUUGAUUGGAAUUUUUUAUCUUGAUAUGGAUUGUUUAUUCUAGAUUCCUUGGUGCCACUGUAGGUUGAAACAGCAAAAGAUUCAGCACCGAUUUUGUCACUGCUUGCUCCAUUAAAUUCUGGAUCAAGGCACUCAUAUUGGAGAGCUCCACCUAGUACUACUUCUGUUGAAUUUGUUAUUGUUCUCGGUUCUGUUUCUGAUGUCAGUGGGGUUAUCUUGCUUGUUAGUCCUUGCGGCUAUCUGUGGCUGACACUCCGAUGGUAAGUGCCAUAUUUAUUCCCUUAUUUCCUUGUUGUUCAAUAAAUUUGGUGAUAAGCCAAGUGGCCUUAAUAAUGAAGCCCAGUACCAGGGGUGGUGGGUAAUCGAUAUUCAACUUGUGAAUAUUCCUAAGCAAGCACGGAAUCAACAUAGACGUCGGCAAAAAUUCUCCAUGCUAUUAUAACGAAAGUCAUAUUUUGAAAUGAUUAAAAGAGUCCCUUUGUAGUGCCAUUGCCAAAGAAAUUGCAGCUGGGGGUUUAGUUUCAUGUAGGUUAGUUUCCGAUAAUAAACUUUCCAUUUCAUUAAUUGCUGAUGAAAAAACCAAGUAAGAACAGUUUCGUUGCUCGUCAUUUAUGUAUAUUUUGGUAAACUGUAAUUUUAAAUUCUCAACGAUCUUCCCUUGGUAGGUAAGAAGAUGGUCCACUCACUUUAUAUUUAUGAUUGUAGAUCAGGUUUCUAUUGGUUUGCCUUUAUCAUUGGGAACCCAAGUUUGAUAUUAACAGAGAUCACGUCAAUAAUAUCCUAUUUGGGUAGAUGUGGGUGAGGAUUUAAAAUCAAAUUUGAAAUUGGGGGAAAGAAGAGAAAAGGAACCACAAUAAUUAAACAAAAUAUUAGGAACUAUUCUGAUGAGUUUUAAUCUCGAGAGGAACAAUUUUCAAAUGCAAAUUUAACUGCUAGAGAAAUUGUAGCUUUUUGUCAUUAGUUAAGAGGAAAGAGAAUAAGAACUAUCCAGCCCUUUCCUUCAUGAAUGUGUGUUGAGGUUGCUGUAUUAUUUAGUCAGUAUUUGUAAUUUUCUUCCCUGCAGUGCUCUCUGCCUCCUGAAUUUGCUACUGAGUCCAUAUUUUUCUUUGAGCUGUUGCUUCCUAUUGCUGUUACAAGUACAAAUCUGGGCAAGCAAUAAGAUACACCGGGAGGAAAGGUCAUCAAUGGGAAAAUGGGAUGUCCAAUCCCUCAUCACAUCUUCUUCAGACUUGUAUGGUCCAGAAAAGACAGCUAGUGUUGAAAAAUUACCUAGGCAUGUAAAAUUUACUUUUAAGAAUCCUGUUAGGUGCCGCAUUGUUUGGAUCACAUUACGUCUUCAGAGACCUGGUUCGGCUUCAGUUAAUUUCGGGAAGGACUUCAGUCUUUUGUCUCUUGAUGAAGAUGAAAACCCCUUUGCGCAAGUAGACAGACGUGCUUCAUUUGGAGGAGCAGUUGAAAAUGAACCAUGUAUUCAUGCCAAAAGAAUUCUUGUAGUCGGAAGCCCAGUAAAAAGGGAGGGGCUUACCUCAUCACAGAGCUCUGAGCAGCUAAGUAUUAGAAACUGGUUGGAUAGAGCUCCACAAAUGAGUAGAUUCAAGGUAUUAGUUGCUUUCACUCUUUGUUCAUUCAUAAUUCCAGCUUUCUGCUUGAUGCCCUGCCUCUGAUAAACCUCUUUUUUUCUCUUCAGGUCCCAAUUGAGGCCAAGAGAUUGAUGGACUACGAUCUCGUCUUGGAACAAUAUCUACCUCCAGCGUCACCUUUGCUUGCCGGAUUCCAUCUAGACGCUUUCAGUGCAAUAAAACCUAGGGUUACCCAUUCACCUUCCUCAGAUUCAGAUAUCUGGGACAAAUCAGUAACAUUUUUAGAAGACAGGUACAUCUCUCAAGCUGUGUUGUAUUUACAAGUAUCCGCACUCCAGGAACCACAUAACAUGGUAACUAUUGCGGAAUAUCGACUGCCGGAGGCUAGAGCCGGAACGCCAAUGUACUUUGAUUUCCCAUGACCGAUACAGUCCCGACGAGUUUCAUUCAAGCUUCUUGGAGAUGUUACAGCAUUUGCAGAUGAACCUUCAGAACAAGAUGAUUCAGGAUUGAGAGCUCCACUUGUGGCCACAGGUUUGUCUUUGUCAAACAGAAUCAAGUUAUAUUAUUAUUGUGAUCCUUAUGAGCUCGGAAAAUGGGCAAGCCUUUCUGGAGUUUGAUCGUUAUUUAUAUGUCAGAGAAAGGGUUUUGGGUUUGAUUUUGAUUUUGAUUUGUAAUUUUUGUCAGUUUAUUGAAAUUUUUUGUUGUAUAAAAGCAGAAUGUAAAGGUAUAAAAAUUCAUUGAUGCUGCAAUGUCUGUGCUUUUGAGAAAGAAGAAUUAAUUGUCUUUUCUAUGCCAUUGGAGUUUCCCACUGCUUGUAUACUUGGGCUGUCGAAUGCUCUGUGAACCUUAAGGGCUAUAAAGUAAUUUUCAAGACUGAAGGAUUUAUUAAUCGAGUUCAAAAGAUUGUAAGUUGGUGACUGGUGAGCGUUGGCAUUUAAAAAUCAAUUGUUAUUCUCUCAAUAAUCUCUCUCUUCUCCUCGUGAAGUGUUUUCUUUUUCGAGUGAAGGUGGUUUUCCACUUGCAUACGUCGGGGGUCUUAUGAUAUGUAAUGUGUGAAAUUUCUUUCUCAUUUUACCAUAAAGAAAAAUGUUGUAAUAAUCUAAAGCUCGAGUCUUAAAUUAUCUUAAAUUUAUAUUUAGAGUGGAGCUAUUCGCAACCCUAUAUUAAAAUUACAAUUAAAAACAAUUGAAAAUUAAACACUUAUAGAUUCUUUUUACAGCAAAUUACUUAAUUCAUAAUCAAUCCUUUAAAAAAAAAAUACAUAUGUUAUUUCUUAUCUAACUAAAAUAAAUUGUACAAAUUUAGAAUAAUCUAUUGUUCUCUUUUGAUUUCUUAUUAUUUAAAUAUUUUUAUACAUAAAGUUACUUUGAAAUUAUAAUUUGAAAUAUGUGUUAUUUCAGCCAAUGAUUAACACUAAAAAAUUUAUCACCCAUAUAACUUUUUAAUUUGUGUGUAGGGUAAUAAUAAAAUCGAAAAUAAUUAAAAAAAUAGUACAAUAAUGAUUUUUAACAAUAAAACAAAUCAAAUGAAAAUUGAAAAUUUAGAAAAGUGUAUCUAAAAAAAGGAACGUUUUCAAAAAUAAAAUGAAUAUAACUAAAAAGAGAUUUUAUGAGGAGAUCACUGGGGUGCCAAUAGUCCAACUUGUAAUUAAGAAUCUCCCAUUAUAUUGUCAACCAAAAAGACACUUGAAUAAGAAGAAGAAUUUAUCAGUUUGAUUUUAUUUGUAGAUCCAACAUUUCUCAUAUCCUGAACGCCUUUUCGUAUCAAAUUAAAACAGUAGUAGCAAAAUCGUAGUAUUAAAAUCGUAGUGCACAUUCAAUUAACCAACUAAUAGUCUUUGGUAUAAGAUUUUAUAUUAGGUAGCCAAGUAGGUUGUCCAUCCCACUCAGACAUGCACGAAAGCUAAAUUCAUCAAAUGAAUUACUUAAGAAGUAUUUGAUAAUUUUGAAAUUAUCAAAAGGUGUUAUACUAUUAAAUAUUUUUAUACUUAAAAUUGUUUUGAAAUUAUAAGUUCAAAUUAAAAUAAUAGUAGCAAAAUCGUAGUGCACAUUCAAUUAACCAACUAAUAGUCUAAGAAGCAAAGAGAGGAUUACAAGUUCACAACACCAUUACAAAGGAUUCAAAAUUCCCACACGAAUACAUCAAUGUACAGAUUAUAAACAAUCCGAAUUGGACACAAGAAAAACCCUUCAAUAGAUUGCUUGCCUUCCCAAUGCUAUAUACUGUGCAAACUGCGCAUUGGCCAAGAAAAUGUUUUCAAUUUAGUGUAUUUUCAAAAUGCUUAUUUUCUCAUAGUAUAAAAAAUAAAAAAAAUAAGAAAGAAUUCUCACAUGUUUCAUCAGCAUGAUUAAAAUCAAAGAAGAAAGCGAGACAUAAUGUCUCUGACAUAAUAAAAUUACAAAAAUUUCAAGGAAAAAAAAAGGUUAAAACAUGUAAUCUUCAGAAGCAUAUAAUAAAAGAACACUUCCACAAAUUACUACAAUUUCAUGCAGUAGAGAUUGAAGAGUUGAAUUCCACUAAUUUUAAUAAUGAAAACAACAACAGAGGAUUAACUGAUGCUUUGACUUAUUAGUUCUGCAGAGCAUCUCCAAAAGCCUAUAUAAAUUUUACUCUUCAAAUACUUAUUUGCUUACCUAUGUGGCAAAUAAAAGGGUGAAAAAAUAUGAUAUUCUCCAAAAGACUCUUCAAAUAGAAAAAAGUUAAUAUUAUUUUAAUCAUAUAAUUAAUUUUUUAAAGAAAAAGUCAAUAGCAAUUAAAGCACUUCUCUCUCUUUCUUCAAUGAAAAGUAAUAAAAUAUAAAUUGAAGAGGGAGAAAUUAACUCUCCAAAUUUGAAGAGAGAGAAUUAAUUCUUAUUUAAAGAAUCUUAAUUGAAGUGUCUUUUGGAGCUUUAAAUAUUGAUGUGGCUCUUCAAAUAAGUAAUAAAAUCUUAUUUGAAGAGCCUUUAAAUAAGGUGCUUUCAAAAGCAAAAUGGAAUACAUAGAUAAAAACAUCAUCUUAAACAAAUCACAAUCUAGAAUUAGAGCAUUUUCGACAUACCUAAGGAAAACGAAUACGUGAAAACGGGUGAUUCAUUUGUUAAGGAGUGUUGAUUUGGUCGUCUCUGCAAAUUCUUUAGGGACUCGGUUCCAAUUCCUCAUCAUCAAAACUGUAAUAUAAUUCCCCUUCAUCAGAACUCGAAUCGAUGCAAUAUAAUUCCCCUUCAUCAGAACUCGAAUCAAAUUCACUUGCAGCAGUUCCACUCGCGCUUGGCAAAUCAUCCAAUUUCCAAACUUCGGUAGCAAAAUUGAGAGUAAAAGUGUUGGCUUUGAUCUCGCUGGGAUUUGCAUAUACUGGACAUACUCCGCAACGUUUUAUCUUCUGACCCUUUUGGACCUUUAUUAUGUUUCGGUAACGCUCAUUGAAGAACUUAAGUGAGACAGUUGUAUGAUGGUAACCAUCAGGAAAGCCAACAUUCAAGCAAGGUUUAAAACCAAGUAUGACAUGAUCUGAAUCAUGGGGGUCUUUAAUAGAGUCCCAAUAGAAACUCAGAUCAACAUGUUUGGUUUCAGAGAGAGUCUUUAUUUCUAAGUCGGAUCGACAGUAAACGUAAAAAUAACGAGAACGAUCAGAAUAAAGUUGCUUAAAAUCAAGAACAGCACAAAAAGCAAACCCGAUUAAGUUUCUGCAAAAAGAGUGCGGUGGCAGUUGAAUACGUAUCGAAGAUCCUGAACUUUGAUUGCUGAACCAGUCAGGAAUUUCGCUCCCAGGUAAAACAAUUUGGGAUUCCCUGAGUUCAGAAAGUUUCUGUGAAACGACAUUUAAAAAAAGAAAAUUGUAAAAUGAAAACCAUGAUUUCAGAUAUAACAAAGAGGGACAGAGUAAACAAGAGAGGGAAUUUGAUACCUCGUUGUAUGCAUUUUCAUAGCCCAGUCUCAGUGAUGCUGCAAUUGCCAUACGUAGUGAAUCUGCCAAAAUCUUGUUGUUUGCUUUUCCAUCAAGUUUCAAGCAGUUAGUAAACCCAAAAUAAAUUGGUUGUGGCGUCACAUAUUCCGGAUGCCAUUGACGAAGGUCAGGAGAGGGUUUGGAUAGCUUUUCGAGUACGGAUGCAUCUAGUUCUUGUACACAUGACGGAAUCUCUGGCAAAGAUUGAAGCCGGUUGCAGUUCAUUGCAAUUAGUGACUGUAGACACAAUGGAAGUUCAGGUAAUGACCGAAGCAUGUUACAAUCCUCCAAGUGAAGAGUUUCUAAACCCAAUGGAAGUGCUGGUAAUGACUGAAGCAUGUUACAACGCCACAAGUGAAGAGUUUCUAGACCCAAUGGAAGUUCUGGUAAUGACUGAAGUAUCUUACAAUCCCUCAAUUCAAGAAAUUUUAGGCCCAAUGGAAGUUCUGGUAAUGACUGAAGCAUAUUACAAUCCUCCAAGUAAAGAUAACUUAGCCACGACAGUUGCUUGAUACUUGCAGGUAAACUCUCAAAGUUAUUUCCAUUUAAAUUGCCAAUGUUAUCCGGCAACUUAUCAAGUACAGAGCAACCACUUACGGACAAAAGUACAAGCCCCGUUUGCAAUGCCUCAAAUCCAACUUUUCAAGAUCAGUUAGGCACUCUACUGAUGAUGGAACUUCUUCUAUUGCAGUCUGGCCCAAGUUUAGCGAUGUUACUUUCCCAGAAAUCUGUGGAAACUCUAUGAGAUUAACACAAUAGGAGAAAUCAAUAGUUACUGGACAAACAAAAUGAAGAUUGCUAGGAAAAGACCUAAGACUUUUGCAGCCCAUAAAAUCCAACCUACUGAGAUACUUGAAAUUCUGGAUAUAUGAGGGAACACAAGCCAAGUUUGUAUAAUCCAAAAGAUAUGUUUCAACAUUUGGGGUUUCUAAUGGGCCUGGCAUCUUAAUGAAAUGUCGAGAAUGGCUGAGGUUAAUAGAUUUUAACUUGAAAGCUUCCUGCAAUAACAGAUAUAUAAAGACUAUAUUAAUUAAAAAGCAACAUUGAAUUCAACAAUUAAUUGCACGUAUAUUUAAAGAAAGAAAAAAUUAAUGUUUUAGUUUUAGUACAGAACUUACCUUUUCUCCUUCCCAAAGUUGCUCAACUUUACUAAAACGCAAAUUCAGUUCAACAAGGUUCUUUGGCUUGAAAUUUGAUGGCAGUGUCCUUAAGGGAUAUGUGUCCCAAUGAAGAUAUCUCAAUUUUUUAGGAAGAUAAUCUAGGCCAUUUGGAAGCUGCACUUUAGAGUAUGAAAGUUGCUCUUCAAUGCUCAUACUUAGAAACUUUUCAAUCUCAGGUACAUAAAAUUUGAGCAAUCUUAGAUUAGACAUUUUUGUGAAGGCUCCAGGGUCUAAAUUGAUGCCUUUUAUUUUGGACAAAUCCAGAAAUAUGCCUUCAAUUGCAUCGGUCCCCUUAUUAAAAAAAAAAACAAAGAAUGAGUAACCCUAAAACAGAAAAGAAACAUUCGCAAACUUUAUUAACUAAGAACUCCUUAAACAAAAACAAAUUCUGCAAUCUUUGAUUUUAUUUUUUAAAAAUAUUAAAUAUCUAUAUAUGAGAAAAGAAAAUUUUGGGGACCAUUGCAAAAUUAAACUAACCAAAAAAAAAAUUCAAAAUUUCUCUAAUUUACAAACCUGUUAUCUUAAUAUCUAGAAGUUGAGAAGACAAGGCGUAUUUGAUUGGUAUAAGAUUUCGAUUUUUUUUUUAGUCCAUAGAAUCCAAAAUGUUUGUUCAAAAUCAGGGAAAAAAACGAAAGUUAUUUUUUUUUCCACUAGCUGUAAUUGUAUCCAAGUCAAAUUGAGAUACGACCCUUUUCGAAAGGAUUUAAUCAUCUUAUAGCCUCCUUAAGAUACAUUUAAGCUAAAAGGAGUGAUUGGAGGCAGAACUUAGUGGGCCAAUCAGUUCAUUUUAUUAGCGACUGUUGCUUAAAAAAAAUUAUACUCUAAAACACACUUACUUUUUUGAAAAAAAAUAUAAUUAUAUUUAAGUAGAACCAGGUGGGCCAAUCCUCAUGGCACUCACUUUGUUCUGACACUCUUCACUAAAUUUGAAGAAAAAUAAAAUUAUACUCUUCACACUCUUAUUCAACAUUCCAAAAUUGAUAAAAUCUGGAGUUUUCUUUAAAAUUUUAAAAUUUGAAGACUUGUUCUCUUGACACCCUCAGUCAUUAAUUUUACCUAAUUAUGGUUUUGGUUGUUUUGUUCAUAAAAAUGCUUUUACUAAAGGAUGUUCUGGUAAUGAAAAAAUUUAUAAAAAAACAAACAUGGGUGUGCUGAUAUAGUUGGAAAAAUAUGAGUGCAUAACUCCAAACAAAUAAAAGAUACAUAAAAAAAAAAAAGGAGGAUUCUUACCAUAUUAUGCUUUAGUACGCGGCGGAUUUCCUUAGGAUCCCACAACCUACUGCGUCUGCCUGGCUCUUCCUCAGAUUCUUGGCGAACAAUCUCUCGGCCCAUUUCUUGCAAUAAAUCAUGCAUUUGCAAGCAGUUAUCUGACACUGUUAUAAGUGACUUGUCCACGAGGACAUCCAGUCUGUGAGACCCAGAAUCAUCAAGUAUCCUUAACACAAAAUCUUUAUCCUCUCCCUCAAGGAAACACGCAAUAUCUAGAAACAUACUCUUCACCCUGGGCGUUAAUUCUUUAAAACUAAUCUUUAAUGUAUCAUAAAUACCAUGAAUAUCAGAUUCACAAAUCCGAUUUAAGUCGUCCAAUACAUUUUCCCAAUGGCUUUUCCCCUUGAGAUACAGGGAGGAACCCAACACUUUAAGAACUAAUGGAUUGCCAUCGGCAUACCAUACAACCCUCCAUGAGUGCCGGUAGAGAUCUUCAGGACAAUGAUUUUCUUUAACAGCGAAGUUACAAAAAUGCUCGAAAGCCUCAUCAAAUUUCAAUCCAUUGACCCUAUAUAUUUUCUCCACUCCAAAUUUUUCGAGGACUCGUUUAUCCCUGGUGGUUACAACAAUUCUACUUCCUGGACCAUAUUGAUCAAGCCCUCCAAUCAAACCCUCUAAUUGUUCAUCUUUAUUCACAUCAUCGAGUACAAUCAACACCUUCAUGCGUCGGACCCUCCCUUUAGUAAAUUGUGGAAUAUUGGGACCAGCUACUUCAAGUUUUUCACUUAAUAUUGUCGAAAGCAUUUCCUUUUGUAGGUCUUCUAGGCCACCCUCUGUUUCUGAUUUUCUCCUAACAUUUUUUGCAAAGUAUUUACCAUCAAACUCACCAGAGAAUUGAUCGAAAAUAGCUUCAGCAAGGGUAGUUUUGCCUAUACCACCCGUGCCCCAAAUUCCAACAAUAUGGACAGUAUCCCACAAAUCCAUACACAGAAAUGGUUUAAUCUGCUCAAUUCGUGAAUUUAAUCCAACUAGGCCAUUGGAUGAGUCCGUUGAGACUGUUAUUUUUUCCAACUUCUUCAAAACAUCAUCGACAAUUUUGUUUACAAGUUCCGCAUCGUGCCUAAUAUAAAGGUGCAAAGAUGCAAAAACAUUGAGUCAAAUCGGGCCAAGACAGAAACAGAGAAAAGAUGAAUUAGGAAAGAGAGUUACCUGAAUUUCGUGGAUUCAUGGCCGGCUAGAUGGGAUGUUUCUGUCAGUGCAUCCCUCCACUUCUGAACCAUUUCUGGUUUAUCUUCGAACUGUUUUUUGAGCUCAUCAAAACGGUCUCCAAAUGUUCCGUUUUGAUGCCGCACAUCAGAUGGACUUACUCCAUAGAAGACUGGAAUAAUAAUUUGGCCGUUUGUGUUCUUGCAUUCAAGAAUCUUGACAAGUUCAUUCAGGCACCAUUUUGAAGAAGCGUAGUCCUUUGAGAAAAUGACCACCGAAAUUUUUGAACCUUGGAUUGCGUUCAAAAGGGCGGGUGAAAUCUCAUCUCCUCGCCUAAGCUCUUCAUCAUCAAUAAAUGUUUUGAUUUUUUUUCCUUCAUACAAUUUAUCAUAAAGAUAGCAAGUAAAGCUCUUACGAGUGUCCUCCCCUCUAAAGUUGAGGAAGACUUCAUAAUUGCAAGAAGAAGAAGAGGAAGCCAUGAAGGAAAUUCUAGAAAUUUGAAAGUAGAUUUAGGGAAUUAUAAAAAGCUGAAGGAAAUUGGAAUUUUGUACAGUUUCUCCAGCGAGGAACUUUCACCUCCGCACUAGAUUCUUAAGUUUUGAAAAUUAUGAGACCUUUAUAUUGGAAGAUAUUAUAAUCGAAUCAAAACUUAAAAUUUUAAUAUUGUUAAUCUUUAAUCUUUAAAAAAAAAUUACCUCGCCGUUACAGUUUGGAUUAAGAUUUGAGCAAGCAUUUACCUAAAUUUUAUCUCCGCCUGUAAAUUCUUAUGUUUUAAAAAUUAUGAGACCUUUAUAUUGGGAGAUAUUAUAAUCGAAUCAAAAUUUUGAAUUUCAAUAUUAUUAUUCUUUUAAAAAAAAAAUUGAGAUAACAGAGUGAUUGAUAAUAUAGGAGAACUUGUCUAGGCAAGCACAUGCAUACACAGAAAUGUGAUGGAUUCAAAAAGAAAUUAAAGUGAUAAUGUACGUGGAUCCUUAAAAUAAAAAGCGAAAUCGCUUGGUGGCCCAGUAAAAUUAGAGAACAAAGAAGAAUUAGUUAUUGAUAUACAAAAGAGAAACACUCCAAAAUUUCAAGCAAAAAUAGUUUCAUAUACCAUUUCAAUUUUGUAAGGGGUGAGGUUUUGAAUUUCAAUAGUUUCCUCUAAAAUCAAAAGGCAACAAUUAAGUUAGAAAGAGCAAAGAAGACUUAUUAGUACCUUAUUAAAGGUAACAUUAUGGAACUUUCAAUUUCAUUACCUCACUCUUCAAUUUUUAUUGAGAUUUGUGCAAGAAUUUACCUAAAUAUUACCUAAAAUUGAGAUAUCAGAGUAAUAUCAAAUAGAAAAACUUGCCACGGUAAGCCAAAAGUCUAGUCAACCACAUGCAUAAAGCUAAAUAGAACAACUAACAAGAGAACAGAGAAACGCGUGGGUCCCUAAAAGAAAAGGCAAGCACAUAGAUGAAAAAGCCAUUACAUUUCGAUUUUACAUGUCAUUAAUUUCUGUAACACGGUGUGUGGCAGCAUAUGCACAAUCAAGUGAGGCAAAAGGGAUUCGAUUAUCGUGGCAGAACAUGAACGAGGACGCGUGAUGAAUAAUUCCUUCGAUAAAACGAAAAACAAACGCAGAGAAAAGAAUUUCUUAUAUGACAAGAAAUCAAAGAAAUCAAAGUAAUGUUUCAUUUUCCCUUCCCUACCUUUUUUUUGUUUUAUUUUUAUAGCAAAGAAUUAUAUCAUGAAAAGAAUCAAUUUAAUCACCUUUUCUAGCAGCACAAUUUUUCUUUUAUAAAAUUUGACCAGGGAGACAAAGAAUAAUUAUUCAUACCUUCAUCACUAAGGAAAUACUUUUCGGUAUGGCUAAGGUGAGAAAAGGCUUUCCACAAAAACUUGUACUUUGUAUUCCUGUAAAUUUUCUUUAAAGUCAAUAAAAACCAUAAGUUCUUUACAAUAACCAUCUCUUUGAUAAAAAAGUGCCGUAUUCCUUUAGAAUUUAAAACCGGCAAAACUGAAUCAGUGUCUUUGAAGAGACAUAAUGGUCGUAAUUCUUUAAAUGAGUUGGCUAUGGAAAUCGUUAUCCAAGAUUCUUUUACGCCAUAUUCUUUCGUAAACCAAAAUUCAUUUUGGAAUACUCUGUUGAGAAUGUCAAAUAAAACGGCAUUGAAGGAAGUUUUCAAAGGCAGAAUCUGCACUUGUCAGAUGGAUGAUCUGCACUUGUCAAAGACACAAUCCGCGUCGAACGAAUCGACACAUUUCCUUUCGUAUUCACAUAUGCAAUUUUUGAAAAAAUGUAGCUUUUACAUCUAUAAAUAACACUCAGUGUAUAAUGUUUUAUUCAAGAAAAGAAAACAAGUUUCUUCAUGGUAUCAGAGCCAUGAAUACGCUCAAGUUUCUUCAAGUUUCGCUGCUCUGUUUGUAACAAAAACAGAGAAAACCAAAAUCUUCCCACAACCAUUUUUUCCACCAUUUUCUUCCUUAAAAUCAUUCCUACCAUUAUAGAAAUCCAUGCCGAUCAAAAAACAAGCCACCCAUACGUAAAAAACUUGAGUUUACAAAUUUAUCAACAAUCUCAUAAAUUAGAUACAAAACAACGUGAUGUUAAAUCUCCAGAACUGCAGCAGUCUUAAAACGACAUGUCGUUUCUAUUCCAUCAGAACCGACAUAUCAUUUCUUUAAGCAGAGGCCAAACGACUUGUCGUUUUUUUUUUUAUCUAAAAAAGUUAUUUUUUCUUAUUUCAAUCUAGACGCCAAAAAAAAAACAAAAAAAUGGAGAAAACUCCAACUGAAUCUGAUCCUGUUGUCAUUCAAUCUGUUCAAUCUGAUGAGUAUUUAAUGUUGGAAUUAUCUUCACUGAGACAAACUACGAUAUUUGGUCUUAAAUAAUGGAGUUGCAUCUCGCAGAAAGAGAAAAACUCUCAUAUAUUUGUAGCAACACAAAGUCAUCUGAGGAAUCUUCAAAGGAAUAUGAGAAAUGGUAUAGUGAGAAUGAAAAGGUAAAAAAAUGGUUACUCAUAUCCAUGUCUCUGGAUAUCAUGAAGUGAUAUUUACGAAUUCCUACAGCCUACGAAAUAUGGGAUGCAUUAUCAAAAGCCUUCUAUGAUGGAAUCGAUGAAUUACAAGUUUUCACUCUAAACCAGAAGGCGUCUCUACCAAGAAAAAUUGACAGCCACUAUCUAAAUUCUACGGAGAAUUGAUCGAAAUAUUUUGAGAACUUGAUCACCGAGAUAAAGUGAUCAUGAAGGAUCCAGAAGAUGUUGUAAUAUACAAAAGGUCUGUUGAAAGAUUGAGAGUUCACAUUUUUCUUGUUGGGCUAGAUGAAGAAUUUAACCAAGUUCGUGGAGAAAUUCUAUGAAAAGAUAUUAUCCCAGACUUAGAAGAAUGUUAUUCUUUGAUCUGAAGAGAAGAUGUACGGCAAAACAAACUAAACAAGAAGGUCGACUCAGAAACGUUUGCUAUGAUAGCACGACAACAGCCUCAAAGGAAGCUUGUUGACAAGUCAUCACUCCAUUGCACUCAUUGUAGGAAGAAGGGUCAUAUGAAAGCACAAUAUUUUGAAAUCAUUUGAUAUCCUGACUGGUGGGAUACUUGAAAGAAAAACAUCAAGCAGGGAUAAAAAACUGCAGUAGCUGAAUCCACAUCCACUACAGAUCUUAGAAAAGAAUCUUCAGUGCAAAUCGCAACCUCUGUUAGUCCAGGUAAGGCCCUUAAAACUCUUAUACUUGUUAUUAAUAGUACAUGGAUAAUUGAUUCUGGGGCAACUGAUCAUAUGACUUUUGAUUCUCGACAAGUUUCUCAAUUGAUACCAUCUUCACAAAAACAUGUUUCCACUCCAAAUGGAACCACAACCUUAGUUAUUGGGGAAGGAUCUUUACGACUCACAUAUAAAUUAAAUUUAGACUCUGUGUUAAUUGUUCCAUCUUUAGAUUAUAAUCUUUUAUCUGUGUCUCAAUUAACCACUUACUUAUCAUGUGUUGUAAUUUUUUGGCCUGAUCAUUGUGUGUUUAAAGACAUCCAAACGAAGCAAACGAUUGGUUAUGGUAUUAGACGGGGCCACUUGUACUAUUUGGAGAUGACAUCAACAAACACUGGAAAGCUAAGCCCUGCACUAGUCGCAGAUAGUUCCAUAAAAAAAAGGAAAUCAGAAAUUUGGUUAUGGCAUAGACGUUUAGGGCAUGUGUCAUUUGGUUACUUAAAAAAAUUAUUUCCUAGUUUAUUUCUGAAAUUUGAUAUUUGUAACUUUAAAUGUGAUGUUUGUGAACUUUUAAAAAGUCAUCGAACUACUUUUCCAUUGUCCUUAAAUAAGAAUCAAGUUCCUUUUAUGGUAGUACAUUCUGAUGUAUGGGGGCCAUCGAAAGUUUCUACAAUUGGAGGUGCUCGUUGGUUUGUUACAUUUAUUGAUGAUUGUAGCAGAAUGACAUAGAUUUUUCUGAUGAAAUCGAAAGACGAAGUAAACUCUUUAUUUUAAAGAUUUCAUAAGAUGGUGACGACUCAAUUUCAGACACAAAUUCGAGUUCUACAUACUGAUAAUGGAGGCGAGUAUAUGAGCACAACAAUUCAACAGUUUCUGAAAUCACAAGGAACUGUCCAUCAAACCACUUGUGUGGGGACACCCCAACAAAAUGGCAUUGUUGAACGAAAAAACAGACAUUUACUAGAAGUUGUUCGAGCAUCACUAAUCCAGGCCCACAUGCCACUAUCUUAUUAGGGAGAAGCACUGGCAUCCGCAGCAUACUUGAUCAAUCGAACACCUUCAAGCUCCCUUGGAUUCCAGACUCUUUUCCAGGUUCUAAAUGAUGCAAUUAUGUCACCAAAUGUGCCGAAUUUACCCCCACAUGUGUUUGGCUGUGUUGCCUUCGUUCAUUUGCCGCAACAAGACAAAUUAUCUCCUCGAGCACUACGUUGUGUGUUUGUAGGGUAUGCCUUACAGCAAAAGGGAUACCGAUGAUAUGAUCCACCAUCAAGAAAAAUAUACAUCACCAUGGAUGUCGUCUUUCAUGAAGAUAUCAUAUACUACUUGUCAAAGCCUGAAUUUCAGGGGGAGUAUAAUGAAGAGGAAAUUCAUAAUCUUAUAUAUCUUCCACCUAAAGAAGAUCAAUCUUCCAUUGAGGUUGUAAACCUUCAAGAUACUGGAAAAGAAAAUGGUGGUGAUUCUCAGGCUGAGAUAAGUGAAGACACAUUUGGGGAGCAAAAUAACUUAGACACAACUGCAAUCGAGAAUGAGUCACAUGAAGAAAUACCUAACUAAUCGUCUGCAGAGGAUGUUCCUACCACAAGUCCUAGUCUAGUCAGAAGAAUUCUUCCUCAGCGUCAAAAUAGAGGUAUCCCUAAACCCACAUAUGAGCCCGACCUUUCUAGUAGAGUCAAAUACCCUAUGAUUUAUUUUGUGUCUAACCAUCGCUUGUCAGAAUCAAAUCAGUCAUUUGUGAAUCAAUUAUCUACUGUAUCUAUUCCUAAUAGUGUGCAGGAAGCCUUAAAAGACCCAAAGUGGAAAGCGACUAUGAAUGACGAAAUGUGAUCUCUUCAAAAAAAUCAAACAUGGGAACUAGUUGAUCUUCCACCUGGAAAGAAACCAGUGGGUUUCCGAUGGAUCUACACUAUAAAGUACAAAGCAGAUGGCUCUAUUGAACGAUACAAAGCAAGGCUCGUAGCUAAGGGUUACACCCAAACCUACGGGAUAGAUUAUGCCAAUAUGUUUGCACCGGUAGCAAAAAUUAAUACUAUUCGUAUCUUAUUAUCAUUAGCAGUCAACUUGGAUUGGCCAGUGUAACAGUUCGAUGUAAAGAAUGCUUUCCUCCAUGGAGACCUGUCUGAAAAAAUUUAUAUGGAUAUGCCACCAGGAUGUAGUGGACCAGAACGACUCAAUCAGAAAGUAUGCAAAUUGAAGAAAUCAUUGUAUGGGUUGAAGCAACCCCUAAGAGCAUGGUUCGGGAAAUUCACAAAGGCUAUGGUUCUUUUUGGGUAUAACCAAAGCAAUUCAGAUCAUACCUUGUUCAUUAAAAAAUGACAAGGUAAAAUCACUGCCCUCAUUUUCUAUGUGGAUGAUAUGGUAGUCAUAGGUAACGACGGGGAAGCAAGAGAGGCUCUUCAGAAGUACUUGUCGAGAGAGUUUGAGAUGAAGGAUUUAUGAGCCUUAAAAUACUUUCUUGGAAUUGAGGUUUCUCGAUCUAAGGGAGGAAUUUUCCUGUCUCAAAGGAAAUAUGCUUUAGAUCUAUUAAACGAAACGUGAAUGACAGCUUGUCAGCCUAUUGACACCCCAAUAGAAGAAGGACUGAAGUUUUGUAUUACCUCAGACUAAGUUCCAGUAGACAAAGGAAGAUAUCAAAGGCUGAUUGGAAGAUUGAUGUACUUGUCCCACACAAGGCCAGCUCUUGCUUAUGCAUUGAGUGUUGUAAGUCAGCUUAUUCAUAAUCCCGGAGAACAACACAUGAAAGCAGUAAUGCGGAUCCUAAGGUACCUGAAGUCAAAUCCAGGAAAAGGAAUCCUAUGUUCCAAAAAUGGAGAUUACAGCAACAUAGAAGUUUAUACUGAUGCAGAUUGGGCCCGGUCAGUUAGUGAUAGACGCUCUACCUCAGGAUACUUUACCUUAGUGGGAGGCAACCUUGUCACAUGCUGCUUCACUUGCUGCCAAUCCAGUUCAUCAUUCAAGAACAAAACAUAUAGAGAUUGAUGUUCACUUUGUGAGAGAUAUAAUUUCCAACGGCGGAGUGGAAGUAAGAUAUGUCCCUACUGAAUAUCAGCCUGCAAACAUCUUCACAAAAGCUCUUCCUGCUGAUAUGUUUCAACAGUUGCGAGACAAGCUACAUAUUCUUCCUAGAACAUUGCGCUUGAGGGGGCAUUAUGAAAAUAUUGUAGCAGAGCUACCAAACUUGAGUAAUACGAAUUCAAAGUUGUUAGAUGACAUGGCAGCACACUUGGCAUUCAUUGGUGUUUUGGAAAGUUAAAGUGAUCAACCUUAUCUCUUAGCUUAUCAUUAAUUCAAGCUGCACUUUUGUAUUUAUCAAGAUCAAGAUAAAGAUAACAAUUGUGCUAGGCUUGAUCUUAUUCUUGGCAUUAUCGUGUUUCCUGUAGAGCAUUAUAAAUGUAAUGAUUAUGAGAUGAAUAAAAUAACGAAAAUGUGUUUUGUUUCUUCUUUAAGCUCAUCUUUAUAAUUUAAGUUGGUAUCAGAGCAUGGCGAGCUCCAAUUCUGCGAAAUUAGUCAAUAUGAAUACUGUAAACCAAACACCACAAAUUUCUAAUUUUUUGACUCCUGUCAAAUUGGAUAGGCAAAAUUUUAUGAUAUGGAAGUCUCAAGUGCUACCUUCCAUUCGUGGUAACAAUCUUGAAAGCUUGAUCAAUGGAGCAAAACUUGUACCCACUAAAUUCUUGGUGCAAGUAGAAGAGGAUCAAACAGUAACGACUGUGGAAAAUCCAGAAUAUAUACAAUGGCUGAGACAAGAUCAGCUUUUACUUAGUUGGCUUUUGUCCACUAUGACUGAAUCAGUUUUAAGCAUAGUGGUGCAGUAUACAACCUCUUUUGAGGUUUGGAAUGCCUUGAAGACAUUGUUUGCAUCUCAGUCAAAGGCUAGAAUUUUGUAGCUCAAGAUGCAACUCCAAACCACGAAAAAGAAUGCUAUGACCAUGAGUGACUAUGUCAACAAAAUGAAAAAUUUAGCUAAUAGCCUGGCAAUGGCUGGAAAAUAUGUUACUGAAGAUGAUUUAAUUUCUUAUAUUCUUGCAGGUUUAGGAACUAAAUACGACCCUGUGGUUGUAAAUAUUACAGCAAGAACAAAUGAUUUAUCUCUGCCUGAAGUAUCCUCUCUUUUGCUCAAUCAUGAAAGUCGAAUGGAACAACUCUCAGCUGCUGCAAAUCUUGAGUCUAAAGGCAGUUUUAAUGCAAAUUUUGCAGGAGCUUCUUUUCACAAAAGGAAAGUUAUAAGAAAAGGCUUUAUGUCAGGAAGUUUAUGAGGCAAUGAACGUGGUAGAGGCAAAGGAAGAACCAAUUUUAGCCGUGGUGGAAAUAGGCCAACCUGUCAGAUAUGUGGCAAAUAUGGACAUUCAGGAUAUCAAUGUUUCUUCCGCUUUGAUCGGGGGUUCUCUGCAAGACAAGAGGCAACACAAGCAGGUCAAGCCUCUGCCUAUAUGGCACUCCCUGCUGAAGAAAUAGAUAAUGGAUGGUAUUUGGACAGCGGAGCAACACACCAUGUUACAAAUGAUUUAAACAAUCUGCAGAUUAAGUUAGAAUUUAAGGGAGGUGAGAAGCUGGUAGUAGGUAAUGGUAAAACUUUAGCAAUAUCUCACAUUGGCAGUGCACUUAUUUAUAUUCCAAACCAUGAACCAUUGUUGCUUAAUGACAUUUUAUAUGUGCCCAAAAUCACCAAGAACUUAAUUAGCAUUUCAAAAUUACUUUCUGAUAAUAAACUAAUGCUUGAUUUCUGUGACAAUGUUUGUACUCUUAAGGACAAAGUUCUGGGGAAGAAGCUGCUGCAGCGAAAAAUUGAAAGAGGCUUAUAUCGGCUACCAGUGCUUUCAAGACAAGCCAUUCUAUCUGAUUCAAAAAUUAUUUCCAAUAAAUCUUAUUAGUCUUCUCUUCCAUUUAGCUGUUUCAAUUCUAGCUCAACAAUAAGUUCUGUAAAUGAACAAGAAUUUAUUUCCAAUUCCAAGCCUAGCAGUUUUAUAAAUCUUUUGCACAGAAGGAUGAGACAUCAUCAUCUUGCUGUACUAAAACAAAUUCUACCUUUGUGUAACAAAACAAGUCAGUUAAAUAAAAAUCUCAUUCCUCAAUUCUGUGAUGCAUGUCAACAAGGAAAAAGUCAUAGGCAAACUAUCAAAGCAUCAAAUAGUAGAGCUUCAGAACCUUUAGAAUUAUUGCAUCUUGACUUGUGGGGGCCUGCACCUUUAAUGUCUAGAAAUGGCUACAAAUAUUAUUUGAGUAUUGUAGAUGACAACACACGUUUUACAUGGAUAUUUCCACUUAAAGUUAAAUUACAAGCGUUUGAAGCUUUUAAGUAUUUCAAAGUUCAAGCCGAAAAACAAUUAGGAAAGAAAAUCAAAAGUUUACAAACUGACGGUGGAGGAGAGUUUCAAGCAUUUACAAUUUUUUAAAAGAACAGGGUAUUAUUCACUGACUUUCUUGCCCACACACGCAUCAUCAAAAUGGUAGAGUGGAGCGAAAACACCAACAAAUUGUAGACACUGGUUUAACACUUUUGGCAUAGGCUGGCAUGCCACUCACUUUUUGGUGGGAUGCUUUUCAAACAUCUGUUUAUUUAAUUAAUAGAAUGCCUACUUCCAUCUUAGAAAACAAAUCACCAUUUCAAAUACUUUAUGAUGAAGAAUAGGAAUCAAUAUUAUACUAGGAUUAGUUUCCUUAUUAACUAAAGUUUAAGACUUUUAAAUUCCUUUCUAAUUUAGAAUUUUGUUUCCCUUUCAAUUUAGGAUUUUGUUUUACUUCAUGAAUUAGGAUAAUUAUUACUACUAUAAAUAGCUCCCUCUUGUAGCCUUUAAAGGCAGAGAAUUUUGAGUUUAAUAAUAUUUCAAUUUUCAAAUCUCUUUGUGAGUAUUUGAACAGUUAAUUCUCGGUAUUCUGCGAAAUCAACGAGUCUUAAAUCCCUAAGUUCGCGGUAUUCUUUUGAAUCAACAUGAAUUUAGUUGUUCUUUUAUUCUGGUAUUCUCUAGAAUCAACGGAAUAUUUUGAAUAUUAAACUUCCACUGCAUCACUUUACAAGAAAAUACCUGAUUAUUCUUUUCUAAAAGUUUUUGGAUGUGCUGUAUUUCCUCAUCUUCGAGAUUACAACAAACAUAAAUUAGAUUUUUGAUCAGAUAAAUGUAUAUUUUUAGGCUAUAGUACAGCUCAUAACGGGUAUAAGUGUCUCCACAAGUCAGGAAAAAUUUUUGUAAUGCGACAUGUUGUCUUUAAUGAAUAUGAUUUUCCUUUUAAAAGUGAUCCCUCCUUCAAAAUCUCAAAGAGUUAUCCAAAUCAUGAUUCUAGUACUCUCUUUCAGUCUCCUAUGUUUGCAGGUUUUGAAAGUCCUAGAGCCUAUAAGACUCUCUCGGUUAUUCAUGCAACAGACUCUCUACUAGAGUUGGUUCAUAACACAAUAGUUAUAGAUCAGGCAUCAAGUCAAGAUGAGGAAACCAAUUUUGAAUCCAACACCAAAAGCCCACCUGGAAAAGCCAACCUUGAAUCAAGCACUGAAAUCCAAGCAACUGAAAACACCACACAAUCUUUAUCUAUCCCCGCGUUUAUCAAUCAAGAAGCCGAUCACACAAUCUCUCAACCACCUAGUUCAACUCCUCAUUCUCAACAGCCAACACAUACACAAUCCACUCAUCCAAUGAUCACUCGUGCCAAGGCCGGCAUCUUUAAACCCAAACCUAGACUUUACCUAACAACCUCUCAUACCAAAAUAAGUGUACAUGCCAGUGUUAGUGAAGCUUUGGAAGAUCACAAUUGGCGUAAUGCUAUGACAGAAGAAAUGAAUGCUUUGGCUAGGAAUAACACACGGUGUUUAGUUCAACCUACUUCUGACAUGAAGAUUGUGGGAAAUAAAUGGGUUUUUCGGAUAAAACAAAAGGCUGAUGGUUAGAUAGAGCGAUAUAAGGCUCGGUUGGUUGCAAAAGGAUUUCAUCAGACCCCAGGAAUCGAUUUCAACGAGACUUUUAGUCCUGUUGUUAAAGUUGCAACAAUUCGAUUGGUGUUAAGUAUUGCUGUGAUGAAAAAUUAGGGUGUAAUACAACUGGAUGUGAACAACGCCUUUUUAAAUGGAGACUUAGUAGAAGAUGUUUACAUGAUGCAGCCUGAAGGCUUUAUCAACAAAGCACAACCAAAUCAUGUGUGUAAAUUGAGAAAAGCAUUGUAUGGGCUUAAGCAGGCUCCAAGAGCUUGGUUUGAAAAACUCAAGAGAGCAUUGAGUGACUGGGGUUUCACAAAUUCUAAAUUAGACACAUCACUAUUUAUUUUGCAGCAAGGAAGGGAUAUAAUAUUUGUCCUUAUUUAUGUGGACGAUAUUUUAAUAACAGGAAGUAAAGAAAGUUUGGUGCAAGAAGUUAUUGAACGACUUAAUUGUCAGUUUGCUUUAAAAGUGCUCGGACCAUUAAGCUAUUUCCUUGGUCUUGAAGCUCAUCGCACAGAGAAUGGCCUACAUCUUAGCCAACACAAAUAUAUUUGUGAUCUCUUGAAGCGCACAGAUAUGGAUGGCUGCAAGGAAACAUCUACUCCUAUGAGUGUAGUACCGAAACUUUCAGCUGAAGGUGGUAAGCAAUUUUCUGAUCCUACACUUUAUCGUAGCAUCGUUGGAGCCUUAUUAUACGUAACUAUUACUCGGCCUGAAAUUUCUUAUGCUGUUCAUCGUUUAAGUCAGUAUAUGCAAAAUCCUUUACAGCCGCAUUGGCUUGGGUGUAAAAGAAUCCUUAGAUAUUUACAAGGAACAGCUGAUUAUGGAAUUUAUUAUACUACCAAAGGAAGAAUGACGCUCACAGGCUAUACAGAUGCAGAUUGGGCAAACAAUAUUGAUGAUAGAAAAUCAACUGGAGGCUACUGUAUUUAUCUUGGCAAUAACUUAAUCUCAUGGAGUUCAAAGAAACAAAAUGCAGUAGCAAGGUCUUCAACUGAGUCAGAGUAUCAAGCACUUGCAAAUACCACAGCAGAAAUUUUAUGGCUUCAAUCUGUGCUUAAAGAGUUGCAGGUGCCACUAACUGAAAUUCCAAUUAUUUGGUGUGACAACACUGAAGCUGCUUCACUUGCUGCCAAUCCAGUUCAUCAUUCAAGAACAAAACAUAUAGAGAUUGAUGUUCACUUUGUGAGAGAUAUAAUUUCCAAAGGUGGAGUGGAAGUGAGAUAUGUCCCUACUGAAUAUCAGCCUGCAGACAUCUUCACAAAAGCUCUUCCUGGUGAUAGGUUUCAACAGUUGCGAGACAAGCUACAUAUUCUUCCCAGAACAUUGCGCUUGAGGGGGCAUCAUGAAAAUAUUGUAGUAGAGCUACCAAACUUGAGUAAUACGAAUUCAAAGUUGUUAGAUGACAUGGCAGUACACUUGGUAUUCAUUGGUGUUUUGGAAAGUUAAAGUGAUCAACCUUAUCUCUUAGCUUAUCAUUAAUUCAAGCUGCACUUUUGUAUUUAUCAAGAUCAAGAUAAAGAUUACAAUUGUGCUAGGCUUGAUCUUAUUCUUGGCAUUAUCGUGUUUCCUGUAGAGCACUAUAAAUGUAAUGAUUAUGAGAUGAAUAAAAUAACGAAAAGGUGUUUUGUUUCUUCUUUAAGCUCAUCUUUAUAAUUUAAGUAAAGGGACUUUUGCAUAGCCUCUGGUGUGUGUGUGAUUUCUCUUUCGUUUCCUCAUCAAAUUCUGUAAUUCUUGCUUCGAUAAAAAGCUUUUAAUCUCUUCUGUAGUGUGUGAUCAGUGCGUAAUCAUUUUGAGCAAUAACAGCUUGUGGGUUUUUCCUUCAAACAGUGUCGUUUUGGUCAGUUUGUUAGUUUCUGUGUUCGUCUGAUUCCAUUGCUCUUGUUCUCUGUUCUUGAUCUGUUCGUGGAAUUUUUCUUUGGUUAUUUGUUCUCAAAUUUCAACUGUAUAUAAAGUUUGAACUCUGAUUGCUUAUAAUGUAUUGAUUAAGAAUAAUCCUAAGAGUUCCCGAUUGAAAUUUUUAAUGACUAUUUUUAUUGUUUUGGAUAUACAAAUUGAAUUAAGAAAAAAUAUUGUCAAAUUCAGAGGAUAAGGGGAAAUAAUUAUGCUUCAAAAGGCCAGAGAUUAGAGAAUAAAGAAGCAUUCAUUACUCUAUCAAAAAAAAAAAAAAAAAAAAAGCAUUCAUUACUGAUAUACAAACUGCUUUUAUUUGGAUUUUGGAAGGGGUGAAGUUUUGAACUUCAGUUGUUCCUCUAAAAUCAAAAGCAGCAAUUAAGCGUUCUCAAUUAGAAAGAGCUAAGAAGACUUAUUGGUACCUUACUGAAGCUAACAUUAUGGCACAGUUGUUCAUAUAUAAUGGCUGCUCUGUUAUGCUAGCUUCUCUGUUUUUGCUUCUAUUUUUGCUUACAGUUUUGAACAUAAAUUCUUGCUCAAAUAACCCAUAAUUAAAUAACACUAAUAUGGCUCGUGAAAUCCCAUAAUAGCUAAUUACGCAACUUUCUCCUCCUCCUCAAUUCUGUCUUCCCCUGCUCGUACACUAAAUUCAAAAUUCAAUGCCCCGAAAAACAACACAAGAAAUCUUUGAGUUAAUUCGCGACCAGUUUAUAUAUAGUAGCAAUUGAAAAAGGAAAAAGAAUAAAAGAGUUCAUUAUUAUUCAGACCUUCACUUAUUAGGAAGUUUGUUCUGCUGUUGGGUGAGAUCAAGCUCUCAGCAUAUACUUCCACAUUAUACUUUCUAACAUUUUCUUGAAAGCCAUCAAUCAUAAAAUCUUCAUACUUUUUUCCAUCCUUUGGAUCAAUAAGUACAAAUUUCUCAUCUAAAACAGACAAAAUAAAAUCACUGUCCUUCAUGGAACAUAAUGGCUGCAAUGCCUGAACUGAAUUGGCUAAUGAAAUUUGAGUCCAGGAUUCUCUCAGCCCAUAUUCUUUCAUAAUCCAAAAUUCUUUUCUUUCUCGACAUGGAACAUAGUCUUCUUUUCUUUCUGGACAUAUGUCUCUGUACUUUUCUCUCUCUACUGAUCCACACUUUUUCAUACUUCUAACUAUCAUUUUGUUUUUUUUUUGUUAAGUUGUGAUUUAUUCAAUUAUUUUGUAUUUUUAAUGAAAAUUAUUUAAUAUUUAGUUAGUUUUGAUAUUGAUUAGUGAUUGAAAGUGUAUUUUAGAAGACUUCCGGUCUCUUGGAAAAAGGAAAAAUGGAGACGAAGAAGAAGUGUUCUUGAUUUUUUUGUAGGCAUUAAAGUUAAACGGUUUGAAAUGAUAUUUUGUUUUAAUUUCACUCAUUAAUCUCAUUCAGGAUAAAAUUAUAAAUGCAAAUAAAUGGGGUUUCAUGAGUUUUUUUUAAUAGUGUUAAAAGGUCUACUCACUAAAUAAAUAUGUUUAACCCAAACCAAUGCGAUUAGUAAGUUAUUGGGUUGGGUUGAUCAGGUUAAAAAUUAAAAUUAAAAAUUAAAUAAUUAAAAAAGGCAUAAAAACUAUCUGUUACUUGAAAAUAAAAAGAAUUUCUAAUAGUUAGUUCUAAUGUCCCAUAUCCAAAACAUCCAUAUUAAAUAAAUAUUAUAAGUUAGAAAUACAAUAUCCAAGAAAGAAUGAAUGAAAUACCAUAUUUUUGUUGAGAAUUAAGAGUGUGAUUUUAAUUUUGAUAUUGGAGUCUAAAGUGCCACGUUUAAAUAAUCUCUUUUAUAAAAUAAUAAAAAGAGAUUAAAAAUUAGGUUAGCCAUUUAGGCAUUCAGGGUUUAGCAAUUAAGGAUGAACAUAUUAUUGUUGUUGUUUUUUGUUGUUGUUGUUGUUGUUGUUGUUGUUAUUAUUAUUAUUUAUAUGUUUACUAAUCCAAUUUACGUAUAAGUACAAAAGUUUCAAAUAUUGUCUAUUAUUUUUUUAACAUGCCUAUUCCUUGUGGAUAAUUCUGUCUCAUCACUAAUGUUGUUUCUUGCUUACAAUUUGUAUAGCGUCUCAAAAUAGACAAUAGGGGGAUUUUGAAUUUUUUAAGUCUCAAUAUAGUCUCUUAUCUUGUGAGACAGAUUUUCUUUCAAUAAUUUGGAGGUAAACAUAACAUAACUUUUUGGACUAAAGCCUAGCUCUGCUAAUUAGUAAUUGGUGGUAUCCUUUUCAAGACCUGAGUCUUUAAAUUCGAGUUUUAUAUAGUGCGCAUGUGUAUUUAAUUAAUAUUUUUUUAAAAAAAUUACAUCAAAUACUAAUAUUCAUGACAUAAUUUAGUUCAUAAUGUUUUUUUAAAUACAUCGAAAAUAUAAUUUUUUAACAACUUAUAGGCAUGACAAAUUUCAAGAUAUAAAUAUCAGUCAAAAUAAGUGAAAGAAAUAAUGGUGCCAAUUCUAAUUUCUUAACUAAAUUAAUUACUGCAUGAGCCCCCAAUACGGCACGAGAGUUUGAUGGGCUAACUUGGCACAAGAACAAUAGUUAAUUGAUUUAAGAAAUAAUUCAAUGAAAAAUAUAAUUGAUAAGAAUUUAGUAUUGAAAUGAGUUUUUUUCGAAACACUGAAUUAAUGAUUAUUAAGCAAGAACAAUAAAAAAAAUAAAAUAAAAAAUAAAGAUUAACCAUUGAUAAGCUUCAACAAGAACUUAACACAACCCUCAAUCCUAAUUCAAAUUAUAAAUGUCAUUCAUAUAUUCAUUAUAAAUCAAUAACAAAGGUUAUAAAUGUUUAGAAAUUCUAGAGGGAAGGAAGCUAUCGCCGGGCAAUCAACAACUAAAUUUGAUGUAAUUGUGGCACAAGAUGGAAUAUGAAAACUACACCAUAAUUUCAAAUGCCGCCAUAGACAUUGACUUAUCUACAGUAACAAUGAUCUAAUUAAAAUUAAAAUAAAGUUUAUGGGCAUUUAUUAUAUUUGCCAUUCCUCAUUUGCAAAUAGGGAUAUAAUUAUAAUUUUACUUAGUCAAAGCAAUCAGUAAUUUUUAGGGGUGUUCAAAAUUCAAUCCGAUCCGCUCAAUCCGUCUGAUCCGUAGAAAUCCGAUCCGUAAAAAUCUGAUCUGUGGAUUGGUAGAUUGGAUUGAAUUGAAAAUUUGAUAAUCCGCAAUCGGUGGAUUGGGUAUGGAUCUACUUCUGUAAAUUCGUAAAAAUCCGUGAAUCGGCAAAAAAUAAAAAGUAUUUAUUUAUUAAAAAAUAAAACUUGUAAAUAUGGCAAUAGUACUUACUAGUAAAUAAAUAAGUUAAAAUAUAGUUACAUUAACACUAUAUUAUAUCUUAUCCGAUAAUAAUAAAAAAUAAAAAAUAAUUAAAUAAACAAAUAUAACUUUCUAAAUAGUUAAUUUUCAUGUACUGAUCUAAACGAAUGAGAUUUUUUUUUUUUCAUUUUGGUGUGUUAUGUUUUGAACUUUAAAUGUAAUUUUUAGUUUUAUUUAAACAAGUAAUUUAUUUAAAUCUUAUUUAAUUUUAAAUUUGAUCGGCAAUAAAAUUAUUUAUAUUAAUUUUUUUUUAUUUAGUUAGUUCGUAGAUUGGACAGUAUUAAAAAUUUUCAGUCCGUAAACCAAUUCGCAAAAUGGUGGAUUGGAUAUGGAUUGGGUCAAAUCCGCAUCCAAUCCGCAGAUGUAUGAAUUGAAUUUCACCAAUCCAUGAAUUGGAUUGGAUUAAAAAUUUAUAAUCCGCAAAAUCGUGGAUCAGAUAUGGAUUGAGGUCCAAUCCGUAAAAUUUGAUCCGGAAACACCCCUAGUAAUUUUCUUCAUUAUAGGAGUGAAGUAAAAACAUUUAGAUUUUAAUGUAUGUACGGAAAAAUUUAUCUUUAAAAAUACUUUCUUAAUGUGUGUAUAUAUAUUGAAAUACUCAAACCAAUUUUGGUUAUUAUAUAAUUAAACAAAUUUUAAAAUAUGAAAAAUAUAAUGUAGUUAUAGUGGAUAAACAAUAAGUGAGCGCAAUAUAAUUAAUCAAAUAUCAUGCCAUCAAAAGUUAAUUUUAGAAAUUCCAAAUCCAACAGCCAACACAAUUCUUUUAAAAAAAAGCUGACACAAUUAAUAAAAUUAGUGACAUGAAUUUCACACCAUUGAUAAUAAGCAAUUAGUAUUACUUUCUAAACUUGCUUCAACUGGUCGUUGAUGUCCGGGGUCACCAAAAGUAUAAGCAAUAAUAAGGGGCAUUGGGCAAGAGUGAUGAAUGUUUAGUCGGUGCAUUUGAUUGCUAGAUAUAUAAAGGGCCGAAACUUGAGAUUAUAUUACUUUUACAAAUUUUAAUCCAAUCACAUAUUUAAUGAAAACAAAAUGAGUUAGGAUACUUUAUUUAGAACCCACAUUUUAAUAAGGCUUCAUUUGAUGUAGUUUUUUAAACAGUGAUUAUUUAAGUAAAUUUUCCUCAAUAGAGUUUUUAUCAAACAAAUUUAUUUAUUUAGUUGUCGAUAAGAGUUUUUAUUAAAAAUUAUAAAAUUAUUUAAAUAAACAUGUUUUUUAAAAUUACAUUAUAAAAAUAAUUAAAUAAAAUUAUAAAAGUAAAAUAUAUUUUAGAUAUUUUAAUAUUUAAGAAAAAUUUUCAAUCUCUACUUUCAAAAGCUCAAAUUUUUAGCUUUUAGUUGUAGAGACAAAAUAUUUUAUUUAAUCUUUAAAAGUUAUGCUAAAAACAAUCAAAUAACUACAAAAAUUUUAAUAAGAGUAUAUAAAAUUAAAUGGUAAUUUUUAAAAACCUCCCCUGAGGUUUGGGCUUGUUGCAAGUAGAUGGCGAGAAUCCAUUUAUUUGUAACAAACCCCCUACCGUCAGUUAAUUUUUGCAUUAACCGUUAGUUGACUGUGCAAAGACAAUAUUGUCCCUAAUGACAGUUUGUAGACUGACAUAGCUAAAAAAAAUGCUGAGAUUGUCGGCACGAAAAUCACAAAUAAUUUUUUUUUGACAAUUUUGUCCUUGUUAAUUCCAAGAUUUACAAUGUCAUAAGUAAGGAUUAUGACUAUUUUACCCUCUUAAAAUUAUUGAUAAUUCCUUAAAAUUUCUACAAAAAAGAUAAAAUUAAAAACUUGAAGAAAAAUAAAGUUCUCAAGCCGGCUAACCAAACACAUAGAAUAAAAAAUCCAUCGUUUGACAACAAAAACAACUUUCCAUAAACCCAAACAAAAAUAAACAAGUCCCCAUUACUCUAAUUGGCUUUGCUUGGAGCUGUUACUAUUGUGCAUACAUUUCUAGGCAAAGCAAAAUGACCCCAUGAUAUAAACCUUAUAAAACAUGCCUCCACUAUUCUUAAUUUUGGUAUAAUAAUAAUAAUAAUCACAAAAAAUUAAUUGAAAACUUGACUAAUUAUCUUUGGUGGAGAAUUUUAAACCGAAACCGAUUCAGGAACCUUAAAUUGAUCAAAAGGAAGCUAAUAAUGACAAAAAAGUAACCGAUCAAAAAUCAUUAAGCAUAAAAAAAUAUUGAAUUUAAAUAACUAAAAAUGCCAUCGGAAAUUGAAAUUAAUUAUUUAACAUAUAGCAUGAAAACAAAUCUUCACUAUUGGUGCUAGGCGGCUGUCGUUUAGCUUGGUUCUAAGAGGUGGCAGUCAGUCAACUUCGAGACGGUGCGUUCGAAGUCAACUAAGCUGCAGCAGAGGUUGCAGGGGGCAGAUUGCAGCGAAGUCGCGGUGGAGCAGAGGUCGCGUCGCGGUGGAGAAGAGGUCGCGUUGCGCUGGCUUGGCUUCACGGUGGUGGGAUGGCUGGGCGGGCUGGCCAGCUGUGUGCGCAUUGUAUAUGAUUGUUUUUCACUUUUUUAAUAUUUUCUUGUGCAUUAGUUCAGAUUAGAUUAGUGAGUUUGUGUGUGUGUUUGCAGUUGAUUUGGUUAAGAUAUUUAGGUUAAAAUAAUUUUUUUUAAUAAAUUUUUUUUUUCAAAAUGUCAACAAUGCCCACAACUACCCAAAUGGCAACUAAGCAGAGUAAAAACGUAGGGGUUUUUUUUUAUAAAUAAAUAGAUUCUCGUCAUCUAUUUGCAACAAACUCAAAUCUCGGGGGAGGUUUUUAAAAAUUACCCUAAAAUUAAAUAAGCAUUUAUUAAUAAUCACUUUGGUAUACUUAUCUAAUGACCAUAAGUGUUUAUUUAAUCUCAUAAGUUCUUAUUUAAUCUCAUGAGCUCUUUUCAAUUUUUUUUGUUGUUUGUUUUUUAGUAGAGUUUUUGAAAAUUAAAUAAACUAUUUUGUCUCUACUAGAAAAAACUCAAAUUUUAGAUUUUUGUGAGUAAAUGUUUAAUUUUUUAAAAAAAUAUUAAAAUAUCUAAGAUAUCUUUCCUUUAUUUCAUAAUCUUAUUUCAUUUUUUCAUAACAUAACUUUCAAUAACUUACCUAUUAAAAUAAUUUCACAAUUUCUAAUAAAAACUCUAAUUGACAAUUAACAAUUUUUUUUUGUUUGUAAAAACUCUAUUUAUAAAAAAUCUAAUAAAAAUUCUAUUUAAAUAAAUUAUAUUUGAAAAGGUGUACUAAACCAACCUAAGAUAAAAACAAAAAUUUUUACAUCCAGACAAUUAAGCUUAAAACAAUUUCAAAUGAAUUUUAGACUAAUCAAAGUACAAUACGUACCAAGUUUGGUAACUUAUUGACAUCUUCUCAUAUAACCUUCGAUCAAGUCGAUUCUCACCUGACGACUAAUUGGUACAUCACCGUUGUUCUCUAUACUCGCAUGCAUCCGAUCACAAAUCUCACUCCAAUUGUCGUCUUUCUUCGGCGUUUUAGCACAUCCUUCUUGAAUUUCCCGCAUUUCGUUCCCUCCUGUUACAAGUCUCCGGUCAGGUCAGUUCUCUUGACGAUUAAUUCGGCAAAUCUCGAAUCUCUUCUCGCGUCGUUUCACUUCAAUUUUUUGUGUCUCCUUUCAGUUUUAGUGAUUGAAUCAAUUUUAUUGCAGUCUGAGAGAAAUUAAGUAAUGCUCUUGGAUUUAAAUUUUUUUUGCUUUCGACUUUAGAUCUCGAAAGUCAAACUCUGCUACGAAUCCUUAGAUUCUCAAUGUUUAUAAUCUUAUUUGUGUUUGACCAGGUAACUGGAUCGUGAAAUUCGUCGUUUUGUAUCAAUUCAAGCUUUCGCGAGCUCAUGGAAUCACCUGGUGAGUUGUGGUGAAACGUUAUCGUUUCAAUUUUCGCUUAAUUCUUUAUUGCAUAUUUUUUCUCUAACAUUUCAGUUUAAUUUAGAAAAGAAAGAGGACCCAAAAAGAGAGAGAGAGAGAGAGACUCUACCAUACUCAAUUCCUUGCUCAUUCUGAUUUGGCCUGAAUGUUGGCAUUGACUAUUAUUUGUUUUCAUUUCGAUUUAAUUCUCAUUUAGACAGUCUUUACUAACGGUCAAUAAUAGUUUAAGGAAAAUGAUAAUAGGGAUUCUGCAAUAAUCUUUUUAAGGAAAAUGAUAAUAGGGAUUCUGCAAUAAUCUUUUUAAGGGAUGUAUAACUUAUUAAUCAGAGUCCUGUUAUUAUGGUUUGACACUACUGACAUAUUGUGUUGGUAUUUAUUUGUACUUCCCUUGGUUGAAUUAUUUGCUGUCCCCAUGCCAUUCGAUAUGGUGCUACUUGGUUUUUGAUCAUCCAUGACGCUAUAUAUAUGUAAAGGAUGAAUUGAUUGUUUUGGCUUGUAUUCUCACAUUUUAUGAUUGAUCGAUGGAAAGGUCUUCAUGUAUUAAAUUCAACCUCACAAGCGUAAGAUUGACAGAUUCUGGGCAAAUUUUCAGGAAAAGAAACUAGACUUCAUGGAAGCAAUGAAGCUUGAAAUUGAACGUCUGCAGCUGAAAGGGAUAGAGCUUUAUUGUCAAUUGGAACUGAUCCUGCCUCUAUAAAUCCAAAUGUAUUGCUUGAUGAAUCUUACAUGGGAAGACUGUCGAGUAGCAACCACUCUUGCAUUACUUGGCCAAACUUCCCUAGAAGACAAAAUUGUUGGUGCAAUGGCCUUGAGAAUAGUGAUGAUAGUGUUUUAGACUUCUGGAAUAUUACUAGAAUCGGAGAGAGUUGUUCUGGUGGCGCGUGCAAGGUUCGUGCAGAAACUAAGGUGCCUGCUCUUGCUUCCUCAACUGCAGCAUCUGUUGGAGCUUCACAAUCCCCUUUGUUGUGUUCUCUGUUGUGUUCUCUGUUGUGUUCUCAAUGUGAAAGAAAAGUUUGCAAAGUUUGUUGUGCAGGAAGAGGAGCUCUACUGUUUUCAAAUUAUAAAUCAAGGGAUGUGACCAACUACAAUGGCUUCUCAAGUCAGAGUGGAUCAAGCCAUGGAAGCCAAGUUGAUGUAUCUACCAGUCGUUCACUAACACUGGAUGGCGUUAUCUGUAAACACUGCUGCCAUGAGAUUGUGCUUGAUACAAGUUCACAACACCAUUACAAAGGAUUCAAAAUUCCCACACGAAAACAUCAAUGUACAGAUUAUAAACAAUCCGAAUUGGACACAAGAAAAACCCUUCAAUGGAUUGCUUGCCUUCCCAAUGCUAUAUACUGUGCAAACUGCGCACUGUCCAAGAAAAUGUUUUCAAUUUAGUGUAUUUUCAAAAUGCUUAUUUUCUCAGAAUAUAUAAAAAAAAAAAAAGAAUUCUUACAUGUUUCAUCAGCAUGAUUAAAAUCAAAGAAGAAAGCGAGACAUAAUGUCUCUGACAUAAUAAAAUUACAAAAAUUUAAAAAAAAAAAAGUUAAAACAUGUAAUCUUCAUAAGCAUAUAAUAAAAUAACACUUCCACAAAUUACUACAAUUUCAUGCAGUAGAGAUUGAAGAGUUGAAUUCCACUUAUAGACACCGACCUCUUAUUUUGUCUAAUGUUAACAAUGAAAAUAACAACAGUAAUGAAAACAACAACAGAAUACAACAACAGAAAACAACAAUCCGCUCUGCAAAUUCUCUUGGGACUUGGUUCCAAUUCCUCUUCAUCCGAAGUUCCACUCGAAUCAAAUUCACUUGCAGCAGUUCCACUCGCGCUUGGCAAAUCAUCCAAUUUCCAAACUUCGGUAGCAAAAUUGAGAGUAAAAGUGUUGGCUUUGGUCUCGCUGGGAUUUGCAUAUACUGGACAUACUCCGUAACGUUUUACCUUGUGACCCUUUUGGUUUUGGUAACAAUUAUUGAAGAACUUAAGUGAGACAGUUGUAUGAUGGUAACCAUCAGGAAAGCCAACAUUCAAGCAAGGUUUAAAACCAAGUAUGACAUGAUCUGAAUCAAGGGAGUAUUUAUUUCUAACACUUGUGGUUGCGGGCCCACUGAAACCUAGAUCAACAUGUUUGGUUUCAGAGAGAGUCUUUAUUUCUAAGUCGAGUUGAGAGCGGCCGAAAACAUUGCAGCAAUAACAAGAACCAACUUUCUUAAAAUUAAGAACCGCACAAAAAGCAAACCCGAUUAAGUUUCUGCAAGAAGAGUGCGGUGGCAGUUGAAUACCUAUCGAAGAUCCUGAACUUUGAUUGUUGAACCAGUCAGGAAUUUCGCUCCCAGGUAAAACAAUUAGGGAUGUCCUGAGUUCAGAAAGUUUCUGUGAAAUGACAUUUAAAAAAAGAAAAUUGUAAAAUGAAAACCAUGAUUUCAGAUAUAACAAAGAGGGACAGAGUAAACAAGAGAGGGAACUUGAUGCGUUCUAAAUGUUCCAUUUUCUCCAAGAUUUCUGGGAAACGCUCAAGGUUCAAGCAGCCAUGAAGAAAAAGCUCAACCAAAGAUUUCAAUUUACAAAACCUAGUUGAAAUCCUCUUCAGCCGUUCGCAAUCCCUCAAAUCCAACUUUUCAAGAUCAGUUAGGCACUCUAUUGAUGAUGGAACUUCUUCUAUUGCAGACUGGCUUAAGUAUAGCCGUGUAAUUUUCCCAGAAAUCUGUGGAAACUCUACGAGAUUAACACAAUAGGAGAAAUUAAUAGUUACUGGACAAACAAAAUGAAGAUUGCUUGGAAAAGACCUAAGACUUUUGCAGCCCACAAAAUCCAACCUACUGAGAUACUUGAAAUUCUGGAUAGAUGAGGGAACACAAGCCAUUUCUCCUUCCCAAAUUUGCUCAACUUUACUAAAACGCAAAUUCAGUCCAACAAGGUUCUUUGGCUUGAAAUUUGAUGGCAGUGUCCUUAAUGGAUAUGUGUCCCAAUGAAGAUAUCUCAAUUUUUUAGGAAGAUAAUCUAGGCCAUUUGGAAGCUGCACUUUAGAGUACGAAAGUUGCUCUUCAAUGCUCAUACUUAGAAGCUUUUCAAUCUCAUACUUAGGUACAUAAAAUUUGAGCAAUCUCAGAUUAGACAUAUUUGUGAAGGCUCCGGGGUCUAAAUUGAUGCCUUUUAUUUUGGACAAAUCCAAAAAUAUGCCUUCAAUUGCAUCGGUCCCCUUAUUAAAAAAAAAAAAAAAACAAAGAAUGGGUAAGCCUAAAACAGAAAAGAAACAUUCGUAAACUUUAUUAACUAAGAGCUCCUAAAACAAAACAAAUUCUACGAUCUUUGAUCUUAUUUUUUUAAUAUAUUAAAUAUCUAUAUGCGAGAAAAGAAAAUUUUGGGAACCAUUGCAAAAUUAAACUAACCGAAAAAAAAAAUCAAAAUUUCUCUAAUUUACAAACCUGUUAUCUUACUAUCUAGAAGUUGAGAAGACAGGGCCUAUUUGAUUGGUAUAAGAUUUCGAUUUUUUUUUUAGUCCAUAGAAUCCAAAAUGUUAGUUCAAAAUUAGGGAAAAAAAUGAAAGUUAUUUUUUUUCCACUAGUUGUAAUUGUAUCCAAGUCAAAUUGAGAUAUGACCCUUUUCGAAAGGAUUUAAUCAUCUUAUAGCCUCCUUAAAGGAGUGAUUGGAGGCCUAACUAGGUAGGCCAAUCAGUCCAUUUUAUUAGCGACUAUUGCUUAAAAACAUUUAUACUCUAAAACACACUUACUUUUUUGAAAAAAAAAUAUAAUUAUAUUGAAGUAGAACCAGGUGGGCCAAUCCUCAUGGCACUCACUUUGUUCUGACACUCUUCACUAAAUUUGAAAAAAAAUAAAAUUAUACUCUUCACACUCUUAUUCAACAUUCCAAAAUUGAUAAAAUCUGGAGUUUUCAUUAAAAAUUUAAAAUUUGAAGACUUGUUCUCUUGACACCCUCAGUCAUUAAUUUUACCUAAUUAUGGUUUUUAUGAUUUUGGUUGUUUUGUUCAUAAAAAUGAUUUUACUAAAGGAUGUUCUGGUAAUAAUAAAAUUUAUAAAAAAAAACAUGGUUGUGCUGGUAUGAUUGGAAAAAUAUGAGUGCAUAACUCCAAACAAAUAAAAGAUAUAUAAAAAAAAAUGGAGGAUUCUUACCAUAUUAUGCUUUAGUACGCGGCGGAUUUCCUUAGGAUCCCACAACCUCUUGCGUUUGCCUGGCUCUUUCUCAGAUUCUUGGCGUCGCCCCAUUUCUUGCAAUAUAUCAUGCAUUUGCAAGCGGUUAUAUGACACUGUUAUGAGUGACUUAUCAACAAGGACAUCCAGUCCAACAGACUCAGAAUCAUCAAGAAUCCUUGCCACAAAAUCUUUAUCCUCUCCCUCAAAGAAACACGCAAUAUCUAGAAAUAUGCUCUGCACCCUGGGCGUUAAUUCAUCAAAACUAAUCUUUAAUUUCUUAUAAAUAGCAUGAAUAUCAGAUUCACAAAUCCGAUUUAAGUCGUGCAAUACUUUUCCCCAAUGGCUUUUCCCCUUGAGGGAGGAACCCAACACUUUAAGAACUAAUGGAUUGCCAUCAGCAUACUUUACAACUCUCCGUGAGUCAGGUUUGAAAUCUUCAGGACAAUGCUUUUCUUUAAAAGCGAAGUUACAAAAAUGCUCGAAAGCCUCAUGAAAAUCCAUUCCAUUAACCCUAUAUAUUUUCUUCUCCUCCACUCCAAAUUUUUCGAGGACUCCUUUAUCCCUAGUGGUUACAACAAUUCUACUUCCUGGAACAAAUUGAUCAAGCUCUCCAAUCAGACCCUCUAAUUGUCCAACUUCAUUCACAUCAUCGAGUACUAUCAACACCUUCAUACGCCGGACCCUCUCUUUAGUAAAAUGUGGAAUAUUGGCACCAGCUACUUCAAGUUUUUCGCUUAAUAUUGUUGAAAGCAUUUCCUUUUGUAGGUCUUCUAGGCCACCCUCUGUUUCUGAUUUUCUCCUAACAUUUUUUGCAAAGUAUUUACCAUCAAACUCACCAGAGAAUUGAUUGAAAAUAGCUUCAGCAAGGGUGGUUUUGCCGAUACCACCCAUGCCCCAAAUUCCAACAAUUUGGACAGUAUCCGACAAAUCCAUACACAAAAAUGGUUUAAUCUGCUCAAUUCGUGAAUUUAAUCCAACUAGGCCGUUGGAUGAGUCCGUUGAGACUGUUAUUUUUUCCAACUUCUUCAAAACAUCUUCGACAAUUUUGUUUACAAGUUCCGCAUCGUGCCUAAUAUAAAGGUGCAAAGAUGCAAAAACAUUGAGUCAAAUCGGGCCAACACAGAAACAGAGAUAAGAUGAAUUAGGAAAGAGAGUUACCUGAAUUUCGUGGAUUCGUGGCCAGCAAGACCGGAUGUUUCUCUCAGUGCAUCCCUCCACCUCUGAACCAUUUCUGGCUUCUCUUUGAACUGUUGUUCGAGCUUACCAAAGCCGACCCCAAAAAUCCCAGUUUGAUGCCGCACAUCGGACGGACUUACGCCAUAGAAAACCGGAAUAAUGAUUUGGCCGUUUGUGUGCUUGCAUUCAAGAAUCUCGACAAGUUCAUACAGGCACCAUUUUGAAGAAGCGUAGUCCGUUGAGAAAAUGACCACCGAAAUUUUUGAACCUUGGAUUGCGUUCAAAAGGGCAGGUGAAAUCUCAUCUCCGCGCCUAAGCUCUUCAUCAUCAAUAAAUGUUCUGAUUUUCUUUCUUUUAGACAAAGCAUCAUAGAGAUGGCAAGUAAAGAUCGCACGAGUGUCCUCCCCUCUAAAAUUGAGGAAGACUUCAUAAAUGCAAGGAGAAGAAGCCAUGAAGGAAAUAUUAGAAAUUUGGUGACAGAAACAGAGAAUUAAUCUUGAGAGCUGAGAGAGGAGAUGUAAGAAUGAACAUGUGUGAAUAUUCUUGCGAGUACAUAGUAAAUAAUUGAAUGGCUCGAGCUUUCUUAGUUUCCUGGAAAUUUCCUGGAGCUUUCGUAUACAUGAUUUGUCAAGUCAAGAAACAUAGUCAUGAUAAUGGGGCAGACCAGGAAGAAAAGGAAAUUGGAAUUUUGUACAAUUUCUCCAGCGAGGAACUUUCACUGUCAUUACCUCACCGUUACAGUUUGGAUUAGGGUAAUUUUUACCCCGCACCCAAAUGUUUUGACAUACAGCACAACGCACCCAAUUCUUUUGCCCAUGAGCACCGCGCACCCAUUUCCGUUUAUUUUUCAGUUAACUGUAACAGAUCAGGGUAAAAUUGGAAUAACGCAUCAAAAUUUAAAAAUAAAAAAAUAGGUAAACUCGAUGUUUGCGCCAAAAUAAUUUCACAUCACUGUGCUUAUGUUCACUGCGUUUGCGUGUGAGACCAAGAAGCAUGGCCACACCUCCAUUGAUGCCAAAAUCGAGGAGGUGGGUGAAGAAGAAUUGGCGCCAAAAUCAUUCACAUAUGAUGUGCAAGGAAAUUAUUUCAGCCUUUAAAUACUUUUUUAUUACAGCAGCAUCAGCUAUUGCUCUGUUUCGAAGAUCUGCUCAAUUUCUAAGACAAUAGUUGGUUUGAGAGUUUAAGGGAAGUGAAUCCACUGAGCGUGCUAUUGAAGAAGUGGAGGUCAGUUUCAUUUCUUGCUCAAUUGUUUUAAUUUAUUCCAUUUUGUUUGCAUGUCAAUUAUUUACACAUUUUUAGCUGGAUUUUGCUUAUCUAUAAAACUUGAAUCAUUGUUAAUCAAAUCAGCUAUAAUUUACGCCUCAAUGUGGUUUGUAAGUUUAAGUUAUGUUGGAUUAUACCUGAAUAAUGUGGUGUUUGCGUUAUUGAUUUCAAUUUCUAUUGAUGAUUUUGAGUAUACAUAUUAGUGGAUGAAAGUUUUUAAUUAGGAUGAUUGGUCACGCAUAUAUGUCAUAGCAACUGUGUUUUUUUGGGUUAUGGUUGUACUGUAGAUCAGUAGUAGUAGUGAUUUGGAUAUAAACGCUAGUGCUUUUAUUGUAAAUGAUAGUGAUGAAGAUCCAGUGUUACAGAAUUUGAUGUAAAAGUUAUUGGUUUUUGGCUAAAUAUCUUAGAUAAAUAUGAUGCUCAUGCAAUCAAAUCCAAUGCUUAUGCAAUUUACACCAUGUUUAUGAUAAGUAAUUAAAAAAAUAAAUGACUAUUCCAGGUGAAAAUGGAUGAUGAUGAUAUUACAACUGUUCUUUGUACAUUCAAGGGCAAGACAUAUAAUGUUGGUGUAAUUGAUCCAGAUAAGUUUAGUAGAGUUUCUGUAAUUAACAAGGUUUUAGUUAGAGUCUAUGGAAGAAAGAUGAGGCCUGAUGAGAAGUUUACACUAAGUGUUUGGGUACCAUGGGUCUAUAAGGAAGUAGAGAUUAUGUCUGAUCAUGACUUAAUAUUCCAGCUGAGAGAGCAUAAUAAGAUGUUGUUCUACUGCAUGCAAUUGUAUAUUGAAGAAAUCCAUGUACCUCAUGAGUUUGUACCUAGAAGGGCUUUGUUUCAGCACUCAGCAGAAGAAAGCUUACAAGGGUAUGCUGAAACAAACUUUCCAGCCACUACUGACCUGCACAAACCUUAUACACAUGCUACAUCCACCAACACAAAUCCUUAUGAAAAUGACAGUAAUGACCAUUCGAACCAUGAACCCCCUGUCAAGAACUCCAGCAGCAUAAUGAUGCAUAAUGUUGCACUUGAUAGCAUCCAAUCACAGACCAAACCAGAUACCAACCCUGACCUAUAUCAAGACUUUUUGGAUACCUAUUUCAGAUCAUCACCACAACAGAAAACACCAUCAGCUGCCCAAACUAAUGCCGAAAAUAGUGAUAGUGAUAACACAUCUUCAUUUGGUACAAAUAAGACUCCUACUGAGCAGCUUCAACAAAACUUUGCCAUCUCUUCUGAGUUGUCCCCUUUAUUGCAGCAACAUGGACAUCAUGCAUCCCAAAAUGAACCUAUACCUUUUCACCAACCUGAGUUCUCAUCUCAACCAAUAACUCAAAACCCUCAGUCACAAGUUGUACAAGCAGAAAACUUCCAGCAACCAGAAGCCACUACACCAGCACUAGUAGAUUAUAACUCAGAUGAUAGCCAUUAUAGUGUAACUGAUAGUGAGGAAGAUCCAGAUCAUCCAUUAGGUGCUCCAAACAUUAAUAAUACUCCUAGGAAACCUUCUGUUAAUGUUGACUUAGGCUCUAUGCCUUCUGAUGAUAGUGAUGAAGAUUGUAUGCUAUCUGAUUGUGAGAGUGAUGACAAUGAGUUUGGGGAAGAAUCUGAUGAAGAGAUUGAUCAAGUGCUGGUCAGAAUGGAUGCUGUUAUGAGAGAGAACAUGUACAUUCCUAGUGAUACACCUGUUCAAUUCUUUAUUGGGCAGUGUUUUAGGAACUUCAGGCAGCUGGCAUGGGCAAUAAGGACUUAUGCUGUGGAAAACAAGUUCAAGGUUUAUAAGCACAAGUUUGAAAAAUCCAGAGUAACUGUUGGAUGUAAUUAUUUCAGGUGCCCAUGGUUUUUACAUGUUGCAAAAACUAGAUUUGGACAAACCUUUAUUGUUAGGAGGCUUCACAACGUACAUACAUGUCAGAGAGACUUAAAGAAUCCUGAAUGCACUGCAGAGUUCAUUGUUGCCAAGUUUGCUGCAACUAUAAUUGAGCAUCCAGAUACAAAGGUUGGGUGGAUUCAAAGUGAACUUAGAAGGAUGUAUGGAGCUAAGAUACACAAGUAUAAAAUUUAUAGAGCAAAGAAGAAGGUUUUACAGAGACAAUGAGCUGAUUAUGAGUCUAGUUACAUGUUGAUCAGAAAUUAUGCUCAGGCCAUACUUACUAAGAUGCCACAGGCCUUGGCAUUGGUUAAGGUUUUCAGGAUGCAUGGUCAACAACCUCAAACUCACUUUGACAGCACUGUUAUAUCUUUCCAUGCCCUCAGAGAUGGCUUCAACCAAGGUUGUAGACCCUUCAUUGGUAUUGAUGGAUGCCAUUUGAAGGGUCCAUAUAAGGGUGUUCUUUUAUCAGCAGUUGCUAUUGAUGCCAACAAUGGAAUCUUCCCACUUGCAUUUUGUGUAUGUAGUGUCGAGAGUACAACCAGCUGGACAUGGUUUCUAAGCCACUUUAGGGAAUUUUUACAAGAUACAAGACAACUGACCUUUAUGUGUGAUAGGCAGAAAGGAAUUCAGAAUGCUCUUGCCUUAGAGUUUCCUAAUGCACAUGUUAGAUUCUGUGCUAGACACAUCUUAGCAAAUAUUAAGUUAAAACAUCCUCAAUCUGACUUUAAAGCAUAUUUCUGGGCAGCAGCAAGAGCAUCAAACAGAAGGGCAUUUGAUGAUGCUAUGCAAAACAUAAGAGCAGCACAUGAGGGUGUAUAUGAGACUCUUAGGAGGAUACCACCAAAUUUCUGGUCAAGGCAUGCCUUUGACAAUAAUUGCAAGUCUGAUCAUUGCACUAACAACGUAACUGAAUCUUUUAAUGCAUGGAUUGGGAUUCAAAGAAAGUUGCCAAUAAUCUCAAUGCUGGAGUGGAUUAGGAAGAAGCUGAUGAAAAGAAUGAUUGGAAGAAGAAAUAAGGCAGAGUCUUGGGACAGUGAUAUACCAAGAAGAAUUUAUGCACAAAUGAUGAAGAAUUUACAGAUUGGCAGUGCAAACCCUAUCUGUAGAGCUAGUAAAUGGCUUUAUGAAGUGGAUGAAAAUACCAAGACUUAUAUCGUUGAUCUUGAACACCAUAUGUGUGACUGCGGACAAUGGCAAGUUAGUGGGAUUCCAUGUGUACAUGCAAUGCCUUGUAUUGUGAAUAGUCAAAAAGAUCAAGCUCAGUUCAUUAGCCAAUGGUUGAAGAAAGAUACUUACCUAAGGUGUUAUUCUGGAUUGAUUAAACCAAUUCCAGAUAGAACGUCAUGGGUAGAUGCUGGUGGUGAUGAAAUACUGCCCCCUUUAGUGAGAAGACCACCUGGACGACCUAAGAUGACAAGAAGAAGAGAAGCUGAUGAGGUACCAGCACAUAAUAAACGAUACAAGAUGCAAUGCACUAUUUGCAAGGGAUUUGGACACAACAGAAGGGGUUGUCCUGUUAACCCUCAUAAUGCUCACAAGACAACAAGACAAUAUAAGGUGAGUGUGUAUGCUUGUAAGAGAAUAUUCAAUUAUUUUUUGAACCAUGUUCCUCCCAUGUGAUGACAGCUAAUGUGCCUUGUUUGUUUGUGCUUUUUUAUAGAAUAACCUGAAGAAGCACGUGACAAGGACAAAUGGGGAGCAAAGUGAAGGUAUAAGAGUAAUUUACUAAGUUAUAUUACUAUAUUACUUUACAGCUGUAUUAGAUAAUUAUAUAGUUGUGUAUCACCAAACUAUAUUAAAUUAACUUAUUUAUUUAACGUUGCUUUAUUGGUAAUUUAUAAGGCCAAGUUCACGGAAUUACCUCAACUAUUUUGGAAAGCCAAGACAAUGACAUGGUCCAAGUAACUGUCUCAGGCCAAAACAUAACAAAGAACCAGCAGACUGCAUCUAACAAACGCAAGAUUGGCAAUCAAGCAGGGCCAUCAAAAGCAAAUGAAGUCAUUGGCAAGAGCAUGAAUGGGGUCAUAUCUGUAGCUCCAUGGGUAGGUGAACAGGGAAGAAAAGUAAUGUCAGCCGCUGGAUUAACCUUCAGCAAAGAGGAUGAAGUCGGCAACUAUACUGAAAUGAAGCAUUUGGACAAAGGGAAGGCACCAGCCUUCCCUUCGUAAAGGGUAAAACCAUAGUUUUCUAUUGAUAUAAAUUAAUAUUGGUUUUGGAAAUGAUAUUUAUAAUUUGUAACUUGUUUUGUAGUGAUUCUUUGGCUAUGAUGGAGACAUUGGCAGCAAACUUAUUAACAAACAGUGGAGGCAACAUUAUCAUUUUUUGACACCUUCCACAAUGCCACAUCAACCCACCAGGCACAAGGUUAAGGUUAUCUGGAUGCUGAUUUCAUUAGGAUCAAGUGGCCAAGUAAUGACCAGGCAUGUCAUUGUUUUCUUUUUCUUUUUUAUUUUGGAGCUGAAAUUGGUGGAAGUUGUUGGACAUUAAGCUUAAGCAUUAUAGAGCUGGAAGCUGUGAUGACCUACUAUAAGUAUGAUUGGAAGGGUUUAUGGCAUUUUGAAAGUUUUUGGGAUUAAGAUACAUAUAGGACUGAUAUCAACCAAACCAACACUUUUUUUUUUUGUUUUUUGGUCACAUGUAUGUAAACACCAGAUUGGAUGUGACUAACAUUGUAAGUUGCUGCCAAUAUGCAUUUAUAGAUAAAAUAACUUAUUGCUAUUAUUGAUAUCAUAUUUGAUUAAAUGGUAUAUGUCAAGAAACGAAUGCAUUUUAUUGAUCAUAAGAUUUCAUUUUACACAUUGUUCUAGCAUUCCUUACAGUACAAUACAAGCAAUACAAGUAUAGUUAUCACUAUAAUCGUGAUUUGAUACUUCUUAUUUUUAUGAAGUAAACCUUCAAUAUUGAUGAACCUGUUGUGGAAGUCCUCAAUGUUAAAUUGUUGAAUCUCACUUGCCCUGUCUGCAGCUUCUUCUUCAAACCUUUGUAACGCUGCUUCAAUUUCUAUAGCCUCACCUGUAGAUGGUUUCCACCAUCUAAAGAAACCACAAGAUGGGUCAUUAGGGCAUGUGUAAUAUAGUUUGUUGGGGUUUGUUUUUGAUUCUGACACUUUGAUUUCUGCCCUUCUUCGACAGUAGCAUACUGUGUUAUAGAACUUGAUGAUGCCCCCAUUGAUUUUAGGUAAAUCCCUUCUUCUGUUAUAAGUUGAUGAACUUGAUGCAUUCCUUGAAGUGGACAUUUUCUUCAAAUUUCCAAUGUCGUGUCUGUUAUAUUCUUUUUGAAAUACAGCACAACGUAUCUGAACUUCAAGUUGUUGUGCUUGUUUUGUGUGUGAAUGAAGCUGCUGUUGAAGUUGUAUUGUUUCGGUGGGUAAAACCAAAUGUUGUACUACUGUAAGUUGUUGCUGAGUAAAAAAAAUGGUGGAGUUUCCAGGUGAGUCAAUGAAAAUCACUGAGGUGUGAAGAGGGUAGGAAUUUAUAUGUGUUAAACAUCACAGCUUGUGGUGAUGCAUCAGCUCAAAUUUAUCAAUUUCUUUUACUGUUCUUGUAACCAUAUAGCCGUUAUUACUGUUGCUCAGAUUUUAUAGCCGUUGGAUUUUUGAUGCGCAUGGUAAUAAACCAAUAUGCUAAGGGCAAUAUAGUCAAUAUAAUUUAACAGUUAUAGUUGGUCUUCGUGUGUAAAUACACCUUUAAAUAAUGGCCAGUGGUAAAUUCCUUAGUUCAAUGACUCACCUGGAUGCAUUUGAAUUCAACGCAAGGGUAUAUUUGUCAUUUAAUCAAAAUAUAGACUGAUCCGUUACAAUUAACUAAAAAAUAAACAGAAAUGGGUGCGCGGUGCUCAUAGGCAAAAGAAUUGGGUGCGUUGUGCUGUAUGUCAAAACAUUUGGGUGCGGGGUAAAAAUUACCCUUUGGAUUAUGAUUUGAGGGUGCAAGUAUUUACCUAGAGUUUACCUCCGCACUAAAUUCUUAAGUUUUGAAAAUUAUGAGACCUUUAUAUUGGGAGAUAUUGUAAUCGAAUCAAAACUUAAAUUUUUUAUAAUGUUAAUAUUUAAUCUUUUAAAAAACAAUAACCUCGCCGUUACAGUUUGGAUUAAGAUUUGAGUAAGUAUUUACCUAAAUUUUACCUCCGUCUGUAAAUUCUUAAGUUUUGAAAAUUAUGAGACCUUUAUAAUCGAAUCAAAAUUUUGAAUUUCAAUAUUAUUAUUCUUUAAAAAAAAUUUUGAGAUAACAGAGUGAUUGAUAAUAUAGGAGAACUUGUCUAGGCAAGCACAUGUAUACACAGAAACGUGAUGGAUUCAAAAAGAAAUUAAAGUGAUAAUGCGAAAUCGCUUGGUGGCCCAGUAAAAUUACGACUGAAUUUUUUUUUUUUUUUUUACAAAAUUCAAGCUCAUAAAUGACAAAUUUCAUUUCCCUUUCACACGUCAUUAACUUUUGUAACAUGGUGUGUGCAUCGUCAAGUGAGGCAAAAGGGUUUCAAUUACAGUUGGAAAACAUGAACAAGAAUGCAUAAUGAAUAAUUCCUUCGAUAAACCGAAAAUUAAGCACAGAAUAAUCCUAAAAUUUAAACUCUAAUAUCUUAUAAUGUAUUGAUUAAAAAUAAUCCUAAGAGCUCCCAAUUGAAACUUUCAUAAGUAUUUUAAUUGUUUUGGAUAAACAAAUUGCACUAGGAUAAAAAUUUGGCAAAUUCAGAGGAUAAUGGAAAAUAGUUAUGCUUCAAUAGGCCAAAGAUUAGAGAACAAAUAAGAAUUAUUUAUUGAUAUACAAAAGAGAAACACUCCAAAAUUUCAAGCAAAAAUAGUUUCAUAUAUCAUUUCGAUUUUGAAAGGGAUGAGAUUUUGAACUUCAAUAGUUUCCUCUAAAAUUAAAAGGUAGCAAUUAAGCUAAAAAGAGCAAUGAAGACUUAUUGGUACCUUAUUAAAGGUAAACAUUAUGGAACUUUCAAUGUCAUUAUCUCACUGUUCAAUUUUUAUUGAGAUUUGUGUAAGCAUUUACCUAAAUCUUACCUCCGCCUUUAAAUUCAUAAGUUUUGAUUAAUUAUGAGACCUUAUAUUGGGAGAUAUUAUAAUCAAACUAAAACUUAAAAUUUCAAUAUCAUUAUUCUUUAAAAAGAAAUUGAGAUAUCAGAGUAAUAUCACAUAGAAAAACUUGCCCACGGACGGUAAGCCAAAAGUCUAGUCAACCACACGCAUAAAGCUAACUAGAACAAGAGAACAGAGAAACGCGUGGGUCCCUAAAAGAAAAGGCAAGCACAUAAAUAACUUUCAAAAUGCCCAAGCAAAUACCGAUGAAAAUCACUGUUUAAGAAUAAUUUAUUAUGUGGUUGAAGCUUUCUUUUUAUCAAUCUUCUUUCUACCCAUUAAUUUUCCCACGACUUUCCCGUUUCAUUUCUUGAAUCUCCAUGGAUUAACUUUCAAUAAACCAUAAAAUAAACUAAGGAAUCAUUUUCUCGAAUACAGCUAUGAUUUUAAUAAAUGGGCGGACCAUCUAGAAUAGUAUAUAUAAUUCUGUUUAAUUAAUAAGUUGAAAAAACCAUCAAGAGAAAUUCUAAUAUUAUGAGCUUGACACGAAUUCUUCACUAAUUCCAAAACAAGGAGCUGUUUUAUAAGAACUGUGGUUGGAUUAUUAAGUUUUACAAUUUGAAUAUAAAUAAGAAAAUAAAAUCAGUCGCGUUGAUGUUUUCGAUACAUUUCGCUGCUAACUUUUUUUUUUUUUUUAUUACAUGAGACUAUUGCUCAAAUUACAACUCAUAUUACAUGAGAAUAUAACUGAUAUUUACAAAUCAGACUAUAACUGGGACCAAUAUACAUCAAUACUAAUGGAGCGCUGCCCAGAUUUUAACCCUCUCAAAUAUUCAAGGGAUGUCUACACCUCACACUUGGGUAAGGAAACAGACUGUCUUCACUUAAAUUUACUUGAGGAAUGAAGACCCCCACAAUACAUUGUGGGGGUUCACCACUCGACCAAAGGCCGAGUGGCUCAUUUCGCUGCUAACUUAAUUAAUUACUUUACUUCAACUUUAUUUCCUUAGGGGCACUUUAUGGUGGGUCCAAGAUGGGACCUACAAUAAUCAAUCCUAAAAUUUAGUAUGGUUACCAAAUAGCUAGUAGCUAGUGUUAUUUUGUGUUUGGUGGAAGAGAUUGAAUAUUUAGUUUUAACUUAACCAUUCAACUAAUUAGAAAAUAAAUAAAAUUAAAUGAAAUGUUUAGAUAUCAAUUUAAAUAUUAAUAUCGGGGAUAUAAAUUAGUUAUAAUAUAGUUCAUUACAUAAAAUUGAUUAAAUUAAUAAUUACCCGUGAACAUAGAUGUAUAUGCUUUCCAAUUUCCAAAGUGCUCAAAGCACUUUUCUCACCAAACUUUCCUCUGAAUUUCCCGUAGCUGACUCCUUUGUUUGCGUUUUGUGAAAUUUCUAGGAACUUUUUUCGAUUUAGAAUAUUGUACAUUUUUCUUUUCAGCUGAGAUUAAUUUAACUUAUAGAAAAUCUUAUCCUUUUUUAAUAUUAUUUAAAUAAAAUUUGUCUAUCUUUUAUUUUAUUAGUCUACUUUUUACCCAUUAAUUAAGACUUUUCAAUUUCUUUUUUACCUGAGGUUUUCAGUGACUAUCUUUCAAUAAACCAUAAAAAUUACUUAGUCAUUUAUCGAACAAUUAGAUGACCAUAUUUCAAAAUAUCAACUAGAAGUUGUCCUGAAAUAUUUAAUUAAUAGUUGAAGAAUUGUGAUUAGUGUGGGCAUCUACAUAAAAAUUAUAUUAAAACACCGCUAAAAGAUAAAAAUAAAAUAAAAUAGUACAAACAUACACCCAUAGGUUAAAACAAAGAAAAAACACGAACCAAUACACUAAAAUGUUUUAGCUGUAGUUAGUUUUCAGUUUCAUUACUUAAGUCCCACGUGCAUGUCACGUGACUGAGGUCAAAAAAUGAUUGUCACAUUAAAGUUCAAAAUACGGAGCAGGGUAAUUAAGGAGUGGAGCUAUUGGCACCCCUCCAUUAUUCUUACAAAACUCCACUUUAAAUCAAAAUAUAAUUAAGAAUAAUUGAAAAUUAAACACUUAUAGAUUUCUUUACAACAUGUUGAGUGAUAAAAAAGCACCAGUCGGGCAUGUCCCCAUUUCUUACCCGGUGCCGAAUCUCCACGGUCGAAUGGUAUGAGUAGACUCUUGGUGAUGUCUUCUAUGUGGAGCACGUAACAACAGACCAGGAACUAGUACCAACCAAAAACGAGUACUGAUCGAAACAAGCAUGACCAGAAACGCAUACCGACCAGAGACUUGUGGGUCCGUAAAAGAAAAGGCAAGCACACAAAUGAAAAAGCCAUUACAUUUCUAUUUUACAUGUCAUUCCUAAUUUUUGUAACACGAUGUGGCAGCAUAUGCACAAUCAAAUGAGGCAAAAGGGAUUCGACUAUCGUGGCAGAACAUGGACGAGGACGCGUGAUGAAUAAUUCCUUCGAUAAAACGAAAAACAAACGCAGAGAAAAGAAUUUCUUAUAUGACAAGAAAUUAAAGUAAUGUGACGGAACAUGAUGAAGAAAUUGCAGAUCGAUCAAUUAUCCCCAUGGACUCCUAUAAAUUCAACCAAAAUAACAAUUCCAAUAUUACCAAAUUCUUGAGUUAAAUUUAUUCAAUGCUUUUUUUUAAGAGAAAUUUUUUCCAAUGCUACUUUCCCUUUUUUGGGGAAAUUAGAACUGCGGCAUGUAUAGAAGACAUUGAGGUAUAAAGCAACAUUAAUUUCAUGGGUUAUGCGUUAUACGCAUAAUAUAUUUUCAGUCCAAAUUCAACUAUGCAAAGAGGCUUGAGAACUUAAAAUUAAGCACAAACUAAACAGACGAAGUAAAUACAUGAUUAUGCAACAUAACAUUAAUUCUCUUAAUUUAUAACCGUUUUGCCACAUGAAUCUUGCACAGUUAAUCCUAAUUGAAGACUAAAAAAGAACAAUUGGAACAAGGUUUUGAAAUAGAAUGAUAGACAAUCGAUAUGAUCCAUUUCCAGUCGUCAACGCUAAUUAACUGCAGUUUCUAGACUCCUAAUUAUACUAGCCAUAAGAAACUGUUUAGAAAACUGGUGAUCAGAUUAGAUUUUGAAAUGAAAUAAUGUUCAUUUUCCCUUCGUUACCCUUUUAUUUAUUUAUUAUUUUUAUACCAAAGAAUUCUAUCAUGAAACGAAUCAAUUUAAUCACCUUUUCCAGCAGCACAAUUUUUCUUUUAUAAAAUUUGACCACAGAGACAAAGAAGAAUUAUUCAUACCUUCAUCAGUAAGGAAAUACUUUUCGGUAUGGCUAGGGUGAGAAAAGGCUUUCCACAAACACUUGUACUUUGUAUUCCUGUAAAUUUUCUUUAAAGUCAAUAAAAAUCAUAAGUUCUUUACAAUAACCAUCUCUUUGAUAAAAAAAGUGCCGUAUUCCUUUAGAAUUUAAAACCGGCAAAAUCGAAUCAGUGUCUUUGAAGAGACAUAAUGGUCAUAAUUCUUUAAAGAGUUGGCUAUGGAAAUCCUUAUCCAAGAUUCUUUUACGCCAUAUUCUUUCGUAAACCAAAAUUCAUUUUGGAAUACUCUGUUGAGAAUGUCAAAUAAAACGGUAUUGAAGGAAGUUUUCAAAGGCAGAAUCCGCACUUGUCAAAGGGAUGAUCUGCAUUUGUCAGAGACACAAUCUGCGUCGAAUGAAUCGACACAUUUCCUUUUGUAUUCGCAUAUGUAAUUUUUGAAAAAAUGUAGCUUCUGCAUCUAUAAAUAACGCUCAGUGUAUAAUGUUUUAUUCAAAAAAAGAAAACAAGUUUCUUCAUACUCGUCGUCCGAACAUACAGAGACCGUCUCUCAUAACUUCAGCCGAAUACUUAUGAUGAUGAUCAUUUGUGAUUUCAUCAGGCAUAGGGUUGAUGGUGAAAAAUUUUGUAUGUGUGAAGAAUUGAGCUGUGGAUAUAGGGGACUUAAGUGUAAUCGAAAGAGAGUUAUUAGGCCAUAGUGUAGAUUGCAUUCAGUUUAUGAGUCGAUAUGCAAAUAAUUUGUUGACGUGGCGAAAUUUGUUAUGGUCGUUACUAUUGUUUCUGGAAAUUUUCUAGAAACCUCAGCAUAAAAGGGGCUUUUGGAUAGCCUCUGGUGUGCGUGUGAUUUCUCUUUCGUUUCCUCAUCAAAUUCUGUAAUUCUUGCUUUGAUAAAAAGCUUGUAAUCUCUUCUGUAAUUGUGAUCAGUGCGUAAUCAUUUUGAGCGAUAAAAGCUUGUAGGUUUUUCCUUCAAACAAUGUCGUUUUGGUCAGUUUGUUAGUUUGAUCUGUUGGUGGAAUUUUCUUUGGUUAUUUGUUCUCAAAUUUCAACCUUAUAUAAAGUUUGAACUCUAAUGGCUUAUAAUGUAUUGAUUAAGAAUAAUCCUAAGAGUUUCCGAUUGAAAUUUUUAAUGACUAUUUUUAUUGUUUUGGAUGCACAAAUUGCAUUAAGAAAAAAUAUUGUCAAAUUCAGAGGAUAACGGGAAAUAAUUAUGCUUCAAAAGGCCAGAGAUUAGAGAAUAAAGAAGCAUUCAUUACUGAUAUAAAAACUGCUUCUAUUUGGAUUUUGAAAGGGGUGAAGUUUUGAACUUCAGUUGUUCCUCUAAAAUCAAAAGCAAUAAUUAAGCAUUCUCAAUUAGAAAGAGCAAAGAAGACUUAUUGGUACCUUACUGAAGCUAACAUUAUGGCACGGUUGUUCAUAUGUAAUGGCUGCUCUGUUAUGCUAGCUUCUCUGUUUUUGCUUCUAUUUUUGCUUACAGUUUUGAAGAUAAAUUCUUGCUCAAAUAACACAUAAUUAAAUAACACUAAUAUGGCUCAUGAAAUCCUAUAAUAGCUAAUUACGCAACUUUCUCCUCCUCCUCAAUUCUGUCUUCCCCUGCUCGGACACUAACUUCAAAAUUCAAUGCCCCGAAAAACAACACAAGAAAUCUUUGAGUUAGUUCGUGACCAGUUUAUAUAUAGUAGCAAUUGAAAAAAGAAAAAGAAGAAAAGAGUUAAUUAUUUUUCAGACCUUCACUUAUUAGGAAGUUUGUUCUGCUAUUGGGUGAGAUCAAGCUCUCAGCAUAUACUUCCACAUGAUACUUUCUAACAUUUUCUUGAAAGCCAUCAAUCAUUAAAUCUUCAUACUUUUUUCCAUCCUUUGGAUCAAUAAGUACAAAUUUCUCAUCUAAAAAAGACAAAAUAAAAUCACUGUCCUUCAUGGAAUCAGAAUUGAGCUUACAAAAACCGAAGUGGACAGUUCCAUUCAGAUUGGUCGCCCGAGAACAAUGAUGAGAAGACUUAAAAUCAGUUUCAAAGGUUUUCCAAGUAUUGUUCCUCUAAACCACUUGUAUAUUUUACCAGAACUCUUGGUUAAGAAAAUCCUAGUCCAUGGAGUAUGAUAUAUCAAUCAUGCAACAAUGACCUACAACAUCUAUGUGGAUUGAUUUUUGCAAAAUAAAGAACAAUGCUGACUGAGGAAUAAGGUGCAUACCCGAUUAGCAAUAUCUCAGCAAGUAACCAACAAUUUUUUAUCUGAUAAGAAAAAAUUACAAUUUCUUGAAUAUACAUGAAACAUUUUGCAGAAAGAACCAUGUCAUAAUUAUUAGUCCAACUGAAGAAUUAUCAAUACUUAUCACAUGAAACGAAAGAUACCCGAGUUCACUUAAUGAAAUUCUCUUUUUUUUUUCUCUAACAUUGAGAUAAGCAAAAACUUUUAACUAAAGACAAUCAUCUAGUGAUCUCAAACAAAUGAGGUUAGUAUGAAACCAUCAUAAUUUGUUCGCUCAUUGCCUAAUUUUAUUAAUGCAAGAGCCUGGAAGCAACUCAAAAAGAAAAUAACCGACAUAGGAAGUGUCAUCUCAUAUCUCACCAAUGAAUGGGAACAGCUUGAUGUGGCUGAGCAAACUGGCAGAAUUGUCAUUUUAACACACGUUCAAGAAACUCAGCAAAUUCUCAUAUCUGUUUAAAUUCCACAGCAAAGAUAGUUACAAGAAAUCUAAUCAAAAUUUAAAAUGUCAGAAGGCAAAUCUUCCAAUUAGGAUCAAAAGAAGAUAAUUAUAAUUUGUCAUUUCAAUUCUGAAUGUACAAUUUUAUUUUUUUAUGUGUGCAUUAAUUAAGAUUCUACCUUCUCUGCAAAAUUGUGAUGGACUUGGUAAAUAAUGAAUUGUAUCGACUUGAAUUUUAUACAACUUAUUGAGAUAAUAAUACGCCAAAUUCAACACCGUCCAUCCCAAAUCACAACAAGAAACUCAAACUUUUAUCCCCUCAAGUGGGUUCUUGAAACUGAAGCUUUAGUGCCAGUACAAUUUUGAAAGAUUGUGAUCAAACUAAAACAUCAAAUAAAAUAAGACGUAACAAAAACACGUCUUCAGAAAAUUAGUAUAGGAAUAAGAUAAGCUACACAGACCUACUUCAAUGAAUUAGAAAAAUUAUGAUAAACUUGAUGCAUUUCGAAAAACAACAAACAAAUAUUCCCAGGAAAACAAAAAAAAGACAACUUUGUUUAAGCUUAGACAAAAAUAACUAAGGACAUAUGAAUGCAUCAUAAUAGUAUCUCUAUGGGUAAUUUUCAGAAAUCUCCCCUAAGGUAUGGUGUAUUCUUAGUUUGAUAGAAAAUAUCUAAGUAUUCUUAUAGACCUCCCCUACUGUUAGUAUUCCAUUUCGUAUAUGUUAGGUAGAUGAGGGUAAGAUCGUAAUUUGAAUAAGUUAAUGAUAAAAAAUCCAGAAAUUUUAAGAUUUUCACAUUGGCCUCUGGGCUUUAUUCAUCUCUUUCAUCCACCAAAACCAGAAAUACAACUCACCUCUCUCCUCCACCUAAAUCGAAGCAAGGUAGCUCAAAACUCAUUUCAAAAAAUUGAUCAAUUACUUGGGUCACAAACUAGAGACAAUGACGACGAAGUUGAUGACGCCAAUAUCGACGACGAAGCUGAUGACGCCAAUAUCGACGACGAAUGAUUCGCAACUGCCAGGUAAGAGAGUAUAGUAGGUUUCGCCAUCGAACGCCCAAUCAUCCAGUUGUUUUGGAGCCGCGUUAUUUUUAUUAGCUAAAAUUAGAAUUUUUAGUGAAAAAUUGAAAGUGGGUCUCAAAAUUUUUUGAGAGCGUAUAUGUUUCUCCUGAUUUUUCGAUCGAUUCGUGUUAGUUGCAGUUAAAUGAUUAAUCCAAUUCGUGUUGAAGAUAGAGCUAACUCGAAUAUCUCUAUAGUCCUGUAAUUGAUUGAAAAUGGGUCUUGAAAAUUGUUUUAGAUUUCAGCUGUGUGCUUCUGAUUUUUUCCAUGGAUUCAUGAUAGAUGAAAAUGGUUGAUGAAGAUUUGCUUGACAUGUAUAUAGAUGGUAUUUUGUUAAAGGGGUUUUAAUUUUUUCCUUUUUUGGUGGUUUCGAUUGUGGUAUUUACAUGCCUUAGGUUGAGAAAAACGAAAAUGGUUUGUUGCACUCUUUUGUGUUGGAUCAGUGAGUUUAGGCGAUUUGAAAUGGUUUGCGGCAUUCAAUUGAUUGUUUUAUUUAUGUGGUUUGAUAUGGGAAAAGUAUAAUAAAAUUCAAUUGUUCCAUAUGUCAAUUUGGAUGUUUUGAAAUUAUGAACUACAAAAAGUUAAAAUUAAUUUCUUAUUAUAUUUUCAAUUGAAAGUUACUAUUGUCUUCUUUUUAGUACUUAGUAUGCAUUUUUCCCCAUCUUCUAGUGGUGGUGUUGCACCCAUUUUGAAUUUGAUCGGCAUCUUCUUCUGUACAUGCAUGUUUCUUGGACUCCAAUUUUUGUUUCAUAUGAUGAAGCUAAUUUAAUUCCUCCUUUUUAAUAUCAACUUUGUUCAUCUAGGUUUGCGAUUUUGAUCUUUCUCAUUUGAAGGCAAACACAUUUAUGUCAUCAAAAUUUCCAAUAUUUUUUAUUUUAUAGUAUCCAAACUGCUUAUGGCAAUAUGAAAUUGAGAAUAUUUCUUUCAUCAUGUUAACCUAAGUGGAUGGUGGAUGAUGUUUGUGUAAGAGAUUUAAGUUAUUUGUAUUAUAGAAUAUGUCUUAUGUUUUGAUUUGCAAUUUCACCAUUAAAUUGGCUUUGUAAAUGAUUAGAAGCUAAAUGCAUAAAAUGAAAACAAUAGUAACAUUUCUGAGUGGGGUAUAAUCAGAUGCUAACAUGGCGAUCCAUGACUUGUAAUUUCUAUUGUCGUUAUAAUUGGACUAGAUCGAGGUAAACUGACUUUUCUUGUUCUGUUUUUUUUUUCAUUUCUUUGUUCUAGAUUUUUCUUUCUUUGUUUUACUUCUGGUUUCUUCUUCAGCAUAUUCAAUAACUAGCAUGAGCAAAUGGAGAGGAAAAGGGUAGAAUAUGCUUUUAAAAAAAAAGAAAAGAAAAAAAGAGAUAGCUCUAAUUCAAAAAUAAGGAGGAGAAAAGGGCAAUGAUUGAAGUUGUGGAGAAGAAAUUCUUAAUGCAUAGGAGAUGACAACAAAGUGUUGCAACUGGGAGCAGUUUUAAAGUGCUAUUCGAUUGCUUUUGUAAUCAAAUUGUCUUUUGUACCUAUUUAUACACACACAUAUUUGUAUUUGUAAUUUGAAUUUUACAUUUUCUCAAGACAACUAUGUUUAUUUUAAAAAAAAUCUAAAUGUAACUAAAAUAUUAAAGUUUUUGUACUUAUUACUCCAUUUGAUGAUUUUUUUUAUUUUUUUGCUGACGAAUAUUCCAUGUCAAUUUUUUUCCCUUCAGCUCGUUUAAGGUGUUUUAUUGUCUGAUGUGAUAUUUGGUGCUCGGGAGGAAGGGUGUUUUAAGUCUUUUUUGGUGUCAGGGGCAAUUUUGUCUUUACAUCAGUCAACAAAUAGUCAAUGGAUGGAAAUGCAAACAGCAGGGGAGGUGUCUGAUAAUACACGGAUACUUUCUAUCAAACUUAUAAUACACAAAAUCUCAGGGGAGGUUUUUGAAAAUUACCCAACUGUGCAAAAUUAUGAAAAAAAUGAGCUAAACAUAUAUAGCAUUUCAGAGGAGUGCUUACUUGACAAAUCACUAAUACAAAGCUGCGAAUGGGCAUUCGGAAUGUUUUGAGAGACUCGUAUGGAUAAAAUAUGUAGUUAUUUAAGUAAUGACAGAAGGAGAAUCGUGUGGCUUGUCAAAGCCGUUAGCUCCAUCUCAUUUGCCUCGUCCUCUCGUUUUGUUUCUGUGGGGACAUAUUUGAUAUUUUGGAUUUUGUCUAAAAUUCGUCAUGUUUUUGGAUACUAACAUCUGCGCCUCUAGACCAAUAGCCAUUUGAUUAAGUGGGAGAACCCUUACACUAGUGUAAGAAUUUGAACUUUUAUAAAAUUAUUUAUGAGAUUAUUUAUAAUUUUUUUUAAUUAUCAAAUAAUUGAGUAGAGUCAGUUUAAUCCUUACGAAAUAUUUACUAUUCAUAAAUAUCUUUUUUUUUCUCUAUCUUACAAUUGAAUAUUCUCUCUCUACUCCAACAUUAUGUAACCUAAAUAUUUAAUUUCACUCUUUUUUAAUUUAUUUUUUUGUCUUUUCUUAGUAUAUUAUAAUCUUUAUUUCAUGUUUUCUAUAUAUAAGAAUUUUUUUAUAUCUAUUAAAUUUUGUGUUUAGUGAAAAUUAAUUUCUUGAUAUUUUUAAUUUUUAUAAUUGAUAAAAAUAUAUCAAUGUUCAUUUUUAAAUGAUGGGUUUUGUUCAUUUUAGUUUGUUAUAUUAAUUUUUUGUAGGUAAAAGAAUAUAUUUGAAUGAAUUGAAGGAAAAUUGUGAAAUUGAGAAGAGAAAGAGAAGAAAAAGUUAAUUAAAUAAUUUUUUCAAAAAUUAUUUAAAUAAUAAAAUUCUUAAUUAAAAACAAAGAUGGAGAGAGAAAUUUAGUGGGUUCAAAAUACUUAUUUUAAAUCCAAAAAAGAACCAAUAAAAGAAAUCAAAAGAUGAUUCUUUUCUUUCUGACAUAUUUCUCUGUACUUUUCUCUCUCUACUGAUUCACAAUUUUUCAUACUUCUAACUAUCAUUUUAUUCAAGUAUUUUGUAUUUUUAAUGACAAUUAUUUAAUUUUUAGUUAGUUUUGAUAUUGAUUAGAGAUUUAAAGUGUAUUUUAGAAGACUUCCGGUCUCUUGAAAAAAGGAAAAAUGGAGAAGAAGAAGUGUUCUUGAUUUUUUGUAGGCGUUAAAGUUAAAUGGUUUGAAAUGAUAUUCUUUUUUAAUUUCACUCAUUAAUCUCAUUCAAGAUAAAAUUAUAAAUGCAAAUAAAUGGGGUUUCAUAAGUAUUUUUAAUAGUGUUAAAAGGUCUACUCACUAAAUAAACAUGUUUAACCCAAACCAAUGCGAUUAGUAAGUUAUUGGGUUGGGUUAAUCAGGUUAAAAAUCAAAAUUAAAAAUUAAAUAAAUAAAAAAGGUAUAAAAACUAUCUGUUACUUGAAAAUAAAAAGAAUUUCUAAUUGUUAGUUCUAAUGUCCCAUAUCCAAAACAUGCAUAUUAAAUAAAUAUUAUAAGUUAGAAAUACAAUAUCCAAGAAAGAAUGAAUGAAAUACCAUAUUUUUGUUGAGAAUUAAGAGUGUGAUUUUAAUUUUGAUAUUGGAGUCUAAAGUGCCACGUUUAAAUAUUCUCUUUUAUAAAAUAAUAAAAAGAGGUUAAAAAUUAGGUUAGCAAUUUAGCCAUUUAGGGUUUAGCAAUUAAGGAUGAACAUAUUAUUGUUGUUGUUGUUAUUAUUAUUAUUAUUUAUAUGUUUACUAAUCCAAUCCAAUCCAAUUAUUAACGAAUUUGAAAAAAUUGAUUCAAUCAAGCCAUAAUAAUUCAUUCAACUCGUCUAAAUUGGAUUAGGUUGAAUUUGGUUUGCCACCCUUGUUUUGAGCAACAAACCUCAAUGUGAUUCCAUGAGCUCUUUGAUUGUUUAUAAAAUUGUUUAUGAAAGUGCAAAAUAAAUUAUUGUAUACAUUAAAAUGUGCAAAACAAUGAAUUAUAUGUACGAACGAGUGCAAACACAUUUUUCAAUAAGAAGUUAAAAGAUAUUUAUGCAUGAAAAAGCCUACGUUUGUAGUUAUUCUAAAUUUUAAAAACAAAAUUUACAUUUAGAUCCCUAAAAUUUACGUAUAAGUACAAAAGUUUCAAAUAUUGUCUAUUAUUUUUUUAACAUGCCUAUUCCUUGUGGAUAAUUCUAUCUCAUCACUAAUGUUGUUUCUUGCUUACAAUUUGUAUAGUGUCUCAAAAUAGACAAUAGGGGGAUUUUGAAUUUUUUAAGUCUCAAUAUAGUCUCUAAUCUUGUGAGAAAGAUUUUCUUUCAAUAAUUUGGAGGUAAACAUAACAUAACUUUUUGGACUAAAGCCUAACUCUGCUGGUUAUGGUGGUAUCCUUUUCAAGACCUGCGUCUUUAGAUUCGAGUUUUAUAGUGUGCAUGCGUAUUUAAUUAAUAAUUUUUUAAAACAAUACAUCAAAUAUUAAUAUCCAUGACAUAAUUUAGUUCUUAAUUUUUUUUUUAAAUACAUCAAAAACAUAAUUUUUUUAACAACUUAUAGGCAUGACAAAUUUCAAGAUAUAAAUAUCAGUCAAAAUAAGUGAAAGAAAUAAUGGUGCCAAUUCUAAUUUCUUAACUAAAUUAAUUAGUGCAUGAGCCCCGAAUACGACACGAGAGUUUGAUGGGCUAACAUGGCACAAGAACCUGAAUAAAUAAUUGAUUUAAGAAAUAAUUCAAUGAAAAAUAUAAUUGAUAAGAAUUCAGUAUUGAAAUGAGUUUUUUAUGAAACACUGAAUUAAUGAUUAUUAAGCAAGAACAAUAAAAAAUAAAUAUUAAUCAUUGAUAAGUUUCAACAAAAGCUUAACACAAUCCUCAAUCCUAAUUCAAAUUAUAAAUGUCAUUCAUAUAUUCAUUAUAAUCAACAACAAAGGUUAUAAAUGUUUAGAAAUUCUAGAGGGAAGGAAGCUAUCGCUGGGCAAUCAACAACUAAAUUUGAUGUAAUUGUGGCACGAGAUGGAAUAUGGAAACUACACCAUAAUUUCAAAUGCCGCCAUAGACAUUGACUUAUCUACAAUAACAAUGAUCUAAUUAAAAUAAAAAUAGAGUUUAUGGGCAUUUAUUAAAAUAAAAAUAGGAGUGAAGUAAAAACAUUUAGAUUUUAAUGUAUGUACGGAAAAAUUUAUCUUUAAAAAUACUUUCUUAAUGUGUGUGUGCAUAUUGAAAUACUCAAACCAAUUUUGGUUAUAUAUAAUUCAACAAAAUUUAAAAUAUGAAAAAUAUAAUGUAGUUAUAGUGGAUAAGCAAUAAGUGAGCACAAUAUAAUUAAUCAAAUACUAUGCUAUCAAAAGUUAAUUUUAGAAAUUCCAAAUCCAAUAGCUAACACAAUUCUUUAAAGAAAUAACAAGGGGCAUUGGGCAAGAGUAAUGAAUGCUUAGUGGGUGCAUUUGAUUGAUAGAUAUAUAAAGGGCCGAAACUUGAUAUUAUAUUACUUUUACAAAAUUUAAUCCAAUCACAUAUUUAAUGAAAACAAAAUGAGUUAGGAUUGUUUAUUUAGAACCCACAUUUUAAUAAGGCUUCAUUUGAUGUAGUUUUUCAAACAUUGAUUAUUUGAGUAAUUACAAAGUACAAUACGUACCAAGUUUGGUAACUUAAUUGACAUCUUCUCAUAUAACCUUCGAUCAAGUCGAUUCUGACCUGACGACUAAUUGGUACAUCACCGUUGUUCUCUAUACUCGCAUGCAUCCGAUCACAAAUCUCACUCCAAUUGUCGUCUUUCUUCGGCGUUUUAGCGCAUCCUUCUUGAAUUUCCCGCAUUUCGUUCCCUCCUGUUACAAGUCUCCGGUCAGGUCAGUUCACUUGACGAUUAAUUCGGCAAAUCUCGAAUCUCUUCUCUAUCCCUCUCGUUUUCUCGUGUCUCCUUUCAGUUUAAGUGAUUGAAUCAAUUUUAUCGCAGUCUUAAGAGAAAUUAAGUAAUGCUCUUGGAUUUAAAAUUUUUUUGCUUUCGACUUUAGAUCUCGAAAGUCAAACUCUGCUACGAAUCCAUAGAUUCUCAAUGUUUAUAAUCUUAUUUGUGUUUGACCAGGUAACUGGAUCGUGAAAUUCGUCGUUUUGUAUCAAUUCAAGCUUUCGCGAGCUCAUGGAAUCCCCUGGUGAGUUGUGGUGAAACGUUAUCGUUUCAAUUUUCGCUUAAUUCUUUAUUGCAUAUUUUUUUCUCUCUAAUAUUUCAGUUUAAUUUAGAAAAGAAAGAGGACCCAAAAAGAGAGAGAGAGAGAGAGAGACUCUACCAUACUCAAUUCCUUGCUCAUUCUGAUUUGGCCUGAAUGUUGGCAUUGACUAUUAUUUGUUUUCAUUUCGAUUUAAUUCUCAUUUAGACAGUCUUUUUUAACUAGCAAUAAUCUUUUUAAGGAAAAUGAUAAUAGGGAUUCUGCAAUAAUCUUUUUAAGGAAAAUGAUAAUAGGGAUUCUGCAAUAAUCUUUCUGCAUUGUUCAAGUUAGUAGACAAUGAAUAGGGUGUUUAUGUUUACCUCAUUUUGAACCCUGAGGGCUUCGUUGAGUAGUUGAUCCAACAUAUCCAGCACCGGUUGAUGUGAGAACAGGAUGCCAUUUAGAUAGGCUUAAACUGAUUUUGGAGGUUUGUAUUCAUUCUAUUGUAUGUCUUGCUUACAAAUUUUUUAUUUUUUAUUUUUAAUUUUGUAUAAUAUGCUCUUUGUUGGUAAAUCUCAUUUGACUUAGAAGAGAUAGUUUUAUCCCAACAGUGGGAUAAAUCAUUGAGAUGCAUGGCAGUGUGAAUAUAGUAGACAAAAUCAUUGAGACAGAUGGUGGUGUGAACAUAGUAAACUUUGUCAAACACAGCUAAGAUAAACAAAUUGUUUCAUUAGCCUUUAUCUUAUCUGCUGUGAUGAUUCAAAUUAAUGCUGUUUGGUAGGUUGCAAAAAACGAAAUGAGCUGACUGUUCAUAUUAUUUAGUCAGAUCUAUUGCAAUAAGUUGAAGUUCACUGUCACAUGGGUUGGGAGUAGCGUGGGCUGUGAGUAGUAGAAUGGAUUUAUGGAGUUGAUACAAGUGCCCAUAAUCUAUCAUGUCAUUCUAGGAUUAAAUGGAUUGCACAUUACUGUAAAGAUGGAGGUUAAAUUUAUAUAAUUCGGAUUGAUUGUAAAAUGGGAGGCAGAGAUGAGUUAGAAAAAAAAUGACCUGUGUCCUUUUUGAGCUGUUUCUAAAUCUCCCUGGUGUGCUUCAUGCUUAACACGUGUCUGUCCAAAUAAUUUUGCUUAACCUGUGCUUGUCUACUUCUUGUGCUAUUCUGUGCCUGGUCCUGAGCUGUGUUGGUAGAUUGACAUAAUUUUGCUCUGCUAAAUGUAUAACUUAUUAAUCAGAGUCCUGUUAUUAUGGUUUGACACUACUGACAUGUUGUGUUGGUAUUUAUUUGUACUUCCCUUGGUUGAAUUAUUUGCUGUCUCCAUGCCAUUCGAUAUGGUGCUACUUGGUUUUUGAUCAUCCAUGACGCUAUAUAUAUGUAAAGGAUGAAUUGAUUGUUUUGGCUUGUAUUCUCACAUUUUAUGAUUGAUCGAUGGAAAGGUCUUCAUGUAUUAAAUUCAACCUCACAAGCGUAAGAUUGACAGAUUGUGGGAAAAUUUUCAGGAAAAGAAACUAGACUUCAUGGAAGCAAUGAAGCUUGAAAUUGAACGUCUGCAGCUGCAUCUUUCUGCAGCUGAAAGGGAUAGAGCUUUAUUGUCAAUUGAAACUGAUCCUGCCUCUAUAAAUCCAAAUGUAUUGCUUGAUGAAUCUUACAUGGGAAGACUGUCGAGUAGCAACCACUCUUGCAUUACUUGGCCAAACUUCCCUAGAAGACAAAAUUGUUGGUGCAAUUGGCCUUGAGAAUAGUGAUGAUAGUGUUUUAGACUUCUGGAAUAUUACUAGAAUCGGAGAGAGUUGUUCUGGUGGCGGGUGCAAGGUUUGUGCAGAAACUAAGGUGCCUGCUCUUGCUUCCUCAACUGCAACAUCUGUUGGAGCUUCACAAUCCCCUUUGUUGUGUUCUCAAUGUGAAAGAAAAGUUUGCAAAGUUUGUUGUGCAGGAAGAGGAGCUCUACUGUUUUCAAAUUAUAAAUCAAGGGAUGUGACCAACUACAAUGGCUUCUCAAGUCAGAGUGGAUGAAGCCAUGGAAGCCAAGUUGAUGUAUCUACCAGUCGUUCACUAACACUGGAUGGCGUUAUCUGUAAACACUGCUGCCAUGAGAUUGUGCCUGAUGCAUUGAUGUUGGACCAUGUUAGGGUCUUGAUUAGCUUGCGAAGAAGUUCCUGUGCAGACAACGCAGUCAUACAAUGCUUUGAAUGAGGUUGUUGGAUCCUGCUUAAAGGAUAGUGUUUCUGAAAGGAUUCAGUCUUCCGAUAACGUGCAAGCUGCUGAAGUCCUUCACCAAUUAUGUGGUGGACAGGAAUCACUUGCUGAAUUUCCAUUUGCUAGCUGUUUGCACUAGGUAUGUUCUUGGUUUGUAUUCAGUUCUCAUCAUGUUAUGUUUUCCUUUUAAAUUUCUUUUCUUGAUUAAAAUUUUUAGAAAUAUGUUUUAGUAUUUGUUCUUAUGAUAUAUGCCCAGAACAUUCAUCCCACUUAUCCAUGAGAAUCCUUGUCUGGUUUGAUUUUCAAUUGAGACAUUUUUGGGAACCCUGAGCAGGUUCCAUAUGCUAAUAAUCUUUGAGGUAAGGUGUUGUAGGAUGCCUUGAGAAGCUAAAAACCUAUUACAAGGAAAAGCUCUUGCAUUGUUUUGUGGAAUCUGUGUUGUGAAAAUAGGUAGAGAAAAAGUUUAUGGAAUAAUUCUCUUAUUUCAUAUGUUCAUGAGACUGUACACAGUCUUUAUAUAGGGAUACAAGAGACUAAGAAAGGAAAGAAAAAAUUAAAGCAGAAUAUUACACACUGAUUUCUAGGAAGCAAUAACUCUAUAUUUACACCAAAUAUACACCUAAAUAUAUAAGGAAAACCAAAUCAAUUUGAUUUGGUCAACCUUUCAACACUCCCCCUCAAGCUGGUCUAAAAAUGUCUUUCAUGGCCAGCUUGCAAACCAAUUUCUCAAAAUGUUUCUUAGGUAGUCCCUUGGUGAGUAUAUCAGCAAUCUGCUCAUUUGUAGGAAUGUAGGGCAUGCAGACCAAACCACUGUCCAGUUUUUCUUUUAUGAAAUGUUUGUCCACUUCAACAUGUUUAGUUCGGUUGUGGAGUACUGGAUUAUGUGCUAUUGCAAUGGCAGAUUUGUUGUCACAAUAUACUUUCAUAGGUAGAGAAUUAUUUGCCUUAAGUUCUUCAAGAACUUUUUUGAUCCAAAAAACCUCACAAAUUCCUAGAGCUACUGCUCUAUAUUCUGCCUCUGCACUACUUCUUGCUACCACAGUUUGUUUCUUGCUGCGCUAAGUGACCAAAUUUCCUCCGACAAAGGUGCAGUAACCCGAAGUGGAUCUUCUAUCGGUUACACUACCAGCCCAGUCAGCAUCAGUGUAGACUUCUACUUGUAGGUGCCCGUUUUUUCUAAACAAAAGACCUUUACCCGGAGAUCCUUUUAAGUAUCUAAGGAUUCUAUAUACAGUUUCAAAGUGUUCUGGUCCUGGAGCAUGCAUAAACUGGCUGACUAAGCUCACUGCAAAGGCUAUGUCCGGGCGUGUAUGUGAAAGGUAGAUUAAUCUACCUACAAGGCGUUGGUACCGAUCUAUGUUGGUCACAUCUUCAAUAUUAGCUGGCUGUAAUUUCAUAUUAGGAUCUAUGGGUGUCUCGGCUGCUUUACAUCCGAGUAAACCUGUCUCUUCAAGCAAAUCAAGAACAUACUUGCGUUGAGACACAACAAUCCCAUCUUUUGAUCUAGCAAACUCCAUGCCCAAAAAAUACUUCAGGUUGCCUAAGUCUUUGAUUUCAAAGUCACGUGCAAGCACUUUCUUUAAUCUGCAAAUCUCAACUAAGUCAUCACCAGUCAAAAUUAUAUCAUCUACAUAUACAAUUAACACGACUAAUUUCCCUUCAAUAGAAUGUUUGUAAAACAUUGUAUGAUCUGCCUGACUUUGGGAGUAGCCGUGUCCCUUUAUAACAUUACCAAAGCGUUCAAACCAUGCUCUAGGAGACUGUUUGAGCCCAUACAAAGACUUAUGUAGUUUACACACUUUACUGUUGCCAUGAUUUCCCUCAAAACCUAGUGGUAAAUCCAUAAAGACUUCUUCUUCUAGCUCCCCAUUCAGAAAAGCAUUUUUAACAUCUAACUGGUAUAGAUUCCAAUCAGAAUGUACAGCCAAUGAGAUAAGGACCCGGAUGGAAUUUAUCUUUGCAACGGGGGCAAAAGUUUCUUGAUAAUCAAUUCCGUAGGUUUGAGUGAAUCCUUUUGCUACAAGCCUUGCCUUAUAUCUCUCAACACUCCCAUCAGCAUUACAUUUAAGUGUAAACACCCACUUUCAACCCACAGUUUUCUUUUCUUUUGGUAAAUCCACAAUCUCCCACGUACCAUUCUUCUUUAGAGCAUUCAUUUCCUCUAAAACUGCUAACUUCCAAUCUGGGUGGUCUAGGGCUUCUUUUAUGGUUUUAGGAAUUGGUAUUUGAGAGAUUUUUGUGGUAAAGGCUCUUUGUUUAUUGGACAACUUUUCAUAGGAAACAUAUCUAGCAAUGGGGUGCUUAGUACAGGUUCGGGUUCCUUUCCUAUGUGCUAUGGGUAAGUCAAGAUCAGGAAAAAAAGUGCUGAAAUGUUUAGGAGAAGAAAUGUUACCUGAAUUUUCUGAGGAAUCAGUGCUUGGAGGCAACGAUUGAGGCUGUAUCGAGUUUAUGAGAGGGUCUUUACUGUUGUGAUGAUACUUUCGAGUAUAAACACGCAGCUCUGGUGGUGGAAUUUUAUCUUGUAGUAUUUCUCCCCCUGUCUCUGGUACAUUAACACUUGGUUCCUGUAGUUCAAGGUUUCCUAGGUUUUCAUUAUUAGAAAUAUCAGUUUUUUGAGUUUGAGUUGGAGUGCCCAGAUCAGGUAAAAACUGAUUAGGCAUAGGUGUAGAAGUAUGCCAAAAAUGAUCUUCACUAUUUUCUUUCUCCCCCUGAAGAGAAUUUUGGCCAAAAAAAGGUUGAUUUUCGAGAAAUAUAACAUCCAUACUGACAUGGAAUUUCUUUGUUUGAGGAUUGAAACAUUUGUAACCUUUUUUAUUAGGUGCAUAGCCCAAGAAAACACAUUUUUCAGAUCUAGGAUCCAAUUUAGAUCUAAGAUGGUUAGGAACAUGAACAAAUACAGUGCACCCAAAGACUCUUAACUGAAUAUUGGAGGUAAUCCUACUAGAAGGAUAUAUAAGUGUGAAGUAUUCUAAAGGUGAUUGAUACUUUAAAACACGGGUAGGCAUCCUAUUAAUCAAAUAACAUGCUGUUAAAACAGCAUCACCCCACAAAUAUUUAGGAACAUGCAUAGAGAGCAUGAUAGCCGACUAACUUCAAGUAAAUGGCGGUUUUUUCGUUCCGCAAUUCCAUUUUGUUGUGGAGUAUCACGACAAGUGGAUGUGUGAAUUAUACCCUUUUCCUUACAAAACACCUCUAGAUAAUUAUUAAAAUAUUCAGUACCAUUAUCUGUAUGGAGUAGACUUAUUUUUGUUUGAAAUUGAUUUUCAACCAUGUUAUAAAAAUCUUUGAAUAACCCCUCAACUUCAGAUUUUUCUCUCAUUAAAUAAACCCAACAAAGCCGAGUAUGAUCAUCUAUGAAUGUUACAAACCAUUUUUUUCCAGUUAAAGUGUUGAUUUUUGAGGGUCCCCAAACAUCACUAUGAAUUAAAUAAAAAGGUUUUGAGGCACGAUAAAUAAGUGCUUUAUAUGAAACUCGAUGACUUUUAGAUAAAAAACAACUUUCACACUGAAAAGUAGUACAAUCAACAUUUUUAAAUAAAUUUGGAAACAAAUAUUUCAAAUAAGGAAAGCUAGGGUGUCCUAGUCUAAGGUGCCAAAGCAUUAUUUGAUCCCUAGCAGAGUUUGAACUAAUACUACUGCUCAAACCUUGAGUUUGUUUAUUCCUUGAUAAGUAGUCAUCAAAAUAGUAAAGACCUUCUCGCAAACUAGCACUGCCAAUCAUCGUCCCCAAGUCCCUGUCCUGAAAUUCACAAUGGGAGUCAAAAAAGACAGCACAACAAUUAGAAUCUUUGGUUAAUUUACUGACAGAUAACAGAUUGCAAGAAAGUUUAGGGACAUGUAGCACAUUUUUAAGCUCAAUGGUUCCAGAGAUUUUUAUUGAUCCUUUUCCAGCUAUGGAAGAUAAGCUUCCAUCAGCAACUCUUACCUUUUUGUUACCAGGGCAAGGAUAAUAGGAAUCAAAUAAACUAGAAAUGCUAGUCAUAUGAUCAGAAGCACCCGAAUCAAUAAUCCAUGGUGCAGUAGUUGAGUGGCUAAAUAGAGCAUUAAUAAUACUACCUGUUUGGGCUAGUGAACCACUAGGAGUACUAGGUGGAGGAUUAGAAGUCAGCAGCUUUAUGAGAUGGUCAAUUUGCUCCUUGCUGAGAUUUUUUUCUAGAUUCUCCACUUCAUUGGCAGACGCACGGCUAUGCUUGCUGUUUUUCCAAUCUGCAGGCUUUCCGUGGAGUUUCCAGCAAGCCUCCCGAGUAUGGCGUGGUUUAUUACAGUAAUCACACCAUACUCGAGGUUUUUGUUGCUGUUGAGUGAUGGAGCGGGUAGCAUUAUCUGCUGUAACAAGGGCAGAUUUUUCCACAGAGACAACGGAGUUCUUUUUUCCCAACAUAACACCUCGACGACUUUCUUCUCUCCUUACUUAAGAGAAAACAUCCUCAAGAGUAGGAAGUGGCUUUCUCCCAAUAAUUCUUCCUCUUACCUCAUCAAAUUCAACAUUGAGCCCAGCCAGGAACUUGAAGAUUCGCUCAUUAUUGACAGUUUGUUUGUGGUGUUUAAAAUCUUCCAUGCUCUCCCACUCGUAGUCGUUGAAUAAGUCCAGAUCUUGCCACAAUCUCUUUAGAGUAUUGAAGUAUUUUGUUAUACUAUAAUCUCCUUGACGGAUAUCUCCAAGAGCAAGCUGCAACUCAUAGAUCUGGGACUGAUUUCCAUAGUCAGAGUACAUCUGACUCACAUUAUCCCAGAGUUCUUUUGCAGUAGAGUAGCACAUAUAAUUUGCACCAAUGUCUUCAUCCAUGGAGUUGACUAACCAUGCCAUAAUCAUGGAGUUUUCGGCAUCCCAAACACCAUAAGAGGGAUCAGAUAUUUCAGGAGCCUUAACAUCUCCGGUAAGAUAACCAAUCUUCCCUCUUCCCCUAAUAUACAUUCUAACCGACUGAGACCAUCUUUGAAAAUUUCCUUCAUUCAGCCGGAUAGUUGUAAUCUGGACAGAAUGAGAUUCAGAAUGGGAAAUUUUUGGUUCUAGUCUUUUUGAGGUGACUGUGGUUUCAGAAGAUUGGUCAGACAUGGUAGGGAAGAGAUCAGAAAGAAAGGGAGCCUAGCUCUGAUACCAUGUGAAAAUAGGUAGAGAAAAAGUUUAUGGAAUAAUUCUCUUAUUUCAUAUGUUCAUGAGACUGUACACAGUCUUUAUAUAGGGAUACAAGAGACUAAGAAAGGAAAGAAAAAAUUAAAGCAGAAUAUUACACAUUGAUUUUUAGGAAGCAAUAACUCUAUAUUUACACCAAAUAUACACCUAAAUAUAUAAGGAAAACCAAAUCAAUUUGAUUUGGUCAACCUUUCAACAUGUGUGCUAGCAAGUCAUGUCUCUAAUAAUUUCAUAGUUUGCUUGAUUGGAAUUUUUUAUCUUGAUAUGGAUUGUUUAUUCUAGAUUCCUUGGUGCUGUAGGUUGAAACAGCAAAAGAUUCAGCACCGAUUUUGUCACUGCUUGCUCCAUUAAAUUCUGGAUCAAGGCACUCAUAUUGGAGAGCUCCACCUUGUACUACUUCUGUUGAAUUUGUUAUUGUUCUCUGUUCUGUUUCUGAUGUCAGUGGGGUUAUCUUGCUUGUUAGUCCUUGCGGCUAUUCUGUGGGUGACACUCCGAUGGUAAGUGCCAUAUUUAUUCCCUUAUUUCCUUGUUGUUCAAUAAAUUUGGUGAUAAGCCAAGUGGCCUUAAUAAUGAAGCCCAGUACCAGGGGUGGUGGGUAAUCGAUAUUCAACUUGUGAAUAUUCCUAAGCAAGCACUGAAUCAACAUAGACCUCGGCAAAAGUUCUCCAUGCUAUUAUAACGAAAGUCAUAUUUUGAAAUGAUUAAAAGAGUCCCUGUGUAGUGCUAUUUCCAAAGAAAUUGCAGCUGGAGGUUUAGUUUCAUGUAGGUUAGUUUCCGAUAAUAAACUUUCCAUUUCAUUAAUUGCUGAUGAAAAAACCAAGUAAGAACAGUUUUGUUGCUCGUCAUUUAUGUAUAUUUUGGUAAACUGUAAUUUUAAAUUCUCAACGAUCUUCCCUUUGUAGGUAAGAAGAUGGUCCACUCACUUGAUAUUUAUGAUUGUAGAUCAGGUUUCUAUUGGUUUGCCUUUAUCAUUCGGAACCCAAGUUUGAUAUUAACAGAGAUCACGUCAAUAAUAUCCUAUUUGGGUAGAUGUGGGUGAGGAUUUAAAAUCAAAUUUGAAAUUGAGGGCAAAGAAGAGAAAAGAAACCGCAAUAAUUAAACAAAAUAUUAGGAACUAUUCUGAUGAGUUUUAAUCUCGAGAGGAACAAUUUUCAAAUGCAAAAUUUAACUGCUAGAGAAAUUGUAGCUUUUUGUCAUUAGUUAAGAGGAAAGAGAAUAAGAACUAUCUGGCCCUUUCCUUCAUGAAUGUGUGUUGAGGUUGCUGUAUUAUUUAGUCAGUAUUUGUAAUUUUCUUCCCUGCAGUGCUCUCUGCCUCCUGAAUUUGCUACUGAGUCCAUAUUUUUCUUUGAGCUGUUGCUUCCUAUUGCUGUUACAGGUACAAAUCUGGGCAAGCAAUAAGAUACACCGGGAGGACAGGUCAUCAAUGGGAAAAUGGGAUGUCCAAUCCCUCAUCACAUCUUCUUCAGAUUUGUAUGGUCCAGAAAAGUCUGCUAGUGUUGAAAAAUUACCUAGGCAUGUAAAAUUUACUUUUAAGAAUCCUGUUAGGUGCCGCAUUGUUUGGAUCACAUUACGUCUUCAGAGACCUGGUUCGGCUUCAGUUAAUUUCGGGAAUGACUUCAGUCUUUUGUCUCUUGAUGAAGAUGAAAACCCCUUUGCACAAGUAGACAGACGUGCUUCAUUUGGAGGAGCAGUUGAAAAUGAACCAUGUAUUCAUGCCAAAAGAAUUCUUGUAGUCGGAAGCCCAGUAAAAAGGGAGGGGCUUACCACAUCACAGAGCUCUGAGCAGCUAAGUAUUAGAAACUGGUUGGAUAGAGCUCCACAAAUGAGUAGAUUCAAGGUAUUAGUUGCUUUCACUCUUUGUUCAUUCAUAAUUCCAGCUUUCUGCUUGAUGCCUUGCCUCUGAUAAACCUCUUUUUUCUCUUCAGGUCCCAAUUGAGGCCGAGAGAUUGAUGGACUACGAUCUCGUCUUGGAACAGUAUCUACCUCCAGCGUCACCUUCGCUUGCCGGAUUCCGUCUAGAUGCUUUCAGUGCAAUAAAACCUAGGGUUACCCAUUCACCUUCCUCAGAUUCAGAUAUCUGGGACAAAUCAGUAACAUUUUUAGAAGACAGGUACAUCUCUCAAGCUGUGUUGUAUUUACAAGUAUCCGCACUCCAGGAACCACAUAACAUGGUAACUAUUGCGGAAUAUCGACUGCCGGAGGCUAGAGCCGGAACGCCAAUGUACUUUGAUUUCCCACGACCGAUACAGUCCCGACGAGUUUCAUUCAAGCUUCUUGGAGAUGUUACAGCAUUUGCAGAUGAACCUUCAGAACAAGAUGAUUCAGGAUUGAGAGCUCCACUUGUGGCCACAGGUUUGUCUUUGUCAAACAGAAUCAAGUUAUAUUAUUAUUGUGAUCCUUAUGAGCUCGGAAAAUGGGCAAGCCUUUCUGGAGUUUGAUCGUUAUUUAUAUGUCAGAGAAAGGGUUUUGGGUUUGAUUUUGAUUUUGAUUUGUAAUUUUUGUCAGUUUAUUGAAAUUUUUUGUUGUAUAAAAGCAGAAUGUAAAGGUAUAAAAAUUCAUUGAUGCUGCAAUGUCUGUGCUUUUGAGAAAGAAAGAAUUCUAUGGCUUUUCUAUGCCAUUGGAUUUUCCACUGCCUGUAAACUUGGGCUGUCGAAUGCUCUGUGAACCUUAAGGGCUAUAAAGUAAUUUUCAAGACUGAAGGAUUUAUUAAUCGAGUUCAAAAGAUUGCAAGUUGGUGAGCGUUGGCAUUUAAAAAAUCAAUUGUUAUUCUCUCAAUAAUCUCUGUCUUCUGCCGACACCCCAUGCUCAGAAACCCAUUGUUCCGACGGACGUGUAACACUUCUAGAAAUUGUUUUGAUCUCUCCUCGUGAAGUGUUUUCUUUUUCGAGUGAAGGUGGUUUUCUACUUGCAUACGUCGGGGGUCUUAUGAUAUGUAAUGUGUGAAAUUUCUUUCUCAUUUUACCAUAAAGAAAAAUGUUGUAAUAAUCUAAAGCUCGAGUCUUAAAUUAUCUUAAAUUUAUAUUUAGAGUGGAGCUAUUCGCAAUCCUACAUUAAAAUUACAAAUAAAAAUAAUUGAAAAUUAAACACUUAUAGAUUUUUUUUACAACAAAUUAUUUAAUUCAUAAUCAAUCCUUUAAAAAAAAAAAUCCAUAUGUUACUUGCUAUCUAACUAAAAUAAAUUUUACAAAUUUAGAAUAAUCUAUUGAUUUCUUUUGAUUUCUUAUUAAUUAAAUAUUUUUAUACAUAAAAUUGCUUUGAAAUUAUAAUUUGAAAUAUGUGUUAUUUCAGCCAAUGAUUAACACUAAAAAACUUAUCACCCAUAUAACUUUUUAAUUUGUGUGUAGGGUAAUAAUAAAAUCAAAAAUAAUUAAAAAAAUAGUACAAUAAUGAGUUUUAACAAUAAAACAAAUCAAAUGAAAAUUGAAAAUUUAGAAAAAAUGUAUCUAAAAAAGGGAACGUUUUUUAAAAUAAAAUGAAUAUAACUAAAAAGGGGUUUUAUGAGAAGAGCAGAGGGGUGCCAAUAGUCCAACUUGUAAUUAAGAAUCUCCCAUUAUAUUGUCAACCAAAAAGACACUUGAAUAAGAAGAAGAAUUUAUCAGUUUGAUUUUAUUUAUAGAUCCAACAUUUCUCAUAUCCUAAACGCCUUUCCGUAUCAAAUUAAAACAGUAGUCGCAAAAUCGUAGUAUUAAAAUCGUAGUGCACAUUCAAUUAACCAACUAAUAGUCUUUGGUAUAAGAUUUUAUAUUAGCUAGCCAAGUAGGUUGUCCAUCCCACUCAGACAUGAACGAAAGCUAAAUUCAUCAAAUGGUGUUAUACUAUUAAAUAUUUUUAUAUUUAAAAUUACUUUGAAAUUAUAAUUUCAAAUUAAAAUAGUAGUAGCAAAAUCGUAGUGCACAUUCAAUUAACCAACUAAUAGUCUAAGAAGCAAAGAGAGGAUUACAAGUUCACAACACCAUUACAAAGGAUUCAAAAUUCCCACACGAAAACAUCAAUGUACAGAUUAUAAACAAUCCGAAUUGGACACAAGAAAAAGCCCUUCAAUGGAUUGCUUUCCUUCCCAAUGCUAUAUACUGUGCAAACUCCGCACUGGCCAAGAAAAUGUUUUCAAUUUAGUGUAUUUUCAAAUUGCUUAUUUUCUCAUAAUAUAAAAAAUAAAAAAGAAUCCUUACAUGUUUCAUCAGCAUGAUUAAAAUCAAAGAAGAAAGCGAAGACGUAAUGUCUCUGACAUAAUAAAAUUACAAAAAUUUCAAGGAAAAAAAAAAGGUUAAAACAUGUAAUCUUCAGAAGCAUAUAAUAAAAGAACACUUCCACAAAUUACUACAAUUUCAUGCAGUAGAGAUUGAAGAGUUGAAUUCCACUAAUUUUAAUAAUGAAAACAACAACAGAGGAUUAACUGAUGCUUUGACUUAUUAGCAGGUUGCUUUGACUUAUUAGUUCUGCAGCUAAGUUAAAUAAAAUAAGCUAUUUUCAAAAGCAAAAUGGAAUACAUAGAUAAAAACAUCAUCUUAAACAAAUCACAAUCUAGAAUUAGAGCAUUUUCGACAUACCUAAGGAACACGAAUACGUGAAAACGGGUGAUUUAUUUGUUAAGGAGUGUUGAUUUGGUCGUCUCUGCAAAUUCUUUAGGGACUCGGUUCCAAUUCCUCUUCAUCAAAACUGUAAUAUAAUUCCCCUUCAUCAGAACUCGAAUCGAUGCAAUAUAAUUCCCCUUCAUCAGAACUCGAAUCAAAUUCACUUGCAGCAGUUCCACUCGCGCUUGGCAAAUCAUCCAAUUUCCAAACUUCGGUAACAAAAUUGAGAGUAAAAGUGUUGGCUUUGAUCUCGCUGGGAUUUGCAUAUACUGGACAUACUCCGCAACGUUUUAUCUUCUGACCCUUUUGGACCUUUAUUAUGUUUCGGUGACACUCAUUGAAGAACUUAAAUGUGGCAGUUGAAUGAUGGUCACCAUCAGGAAAGCCAACAUUCAAGCAAGGUUUAAAACCAAGUAUGACAUGAUCUGAAUCAUGGGGGUCUUGAAUUGAGUGCAAAUUGUAACCCAGAUGAACAUGUUUGGUUUCAGAGAGAGUCUUUAUUUCUAAGUCGGAUCGACAGUAAACGUAAAAAUAACGAAAACGAUCAGAAUAAAGUUGCUUAAAAUCAAGAACAGCACAAAAAGCAAACCCGAUUAAGUUUCUGCAAAAAGAGUGCGGUGGCAGUUGAAUACGUAUCGAAGAUCCUGAACUUUGAUUGCUGAACCAGUCAGGAAUUUCGCUCCCAGGUAAAACAAUUUGGGAUCCCCUGAGUUCAGAAAGUUUCUGCGAAACGACAUUUAAAAAAAGAAAAUUGUAAAAUGAAAACCAUGAUUUCAGAUAUAACAAAGAGGGACAGAGUAAACAAGAGAGGGAAUUUGAUACCUCGUUGUAUGCAUUUUCAUAGCCCAGUCUCAGUGAUGCUGCAAUUGCCAUACGUAGUGAAUCUGCCAAAAUCUUGUUGUUUGCUUUUCCAUCAAGUUUCAAGCAGUUAGUAAACUCAAAACAAAUUGGUUGUGGCGUCACAUAUUCCGGAUGCCAUUCACGAAGGUCAGGAGAGGGUUUGGAUAGCUUUUCGAGUACGGAUGCAUCUAGUUCUUGUACACAUGACGGAAUCUCUGGCAAAGAUUGAAGCCGGUUGCAGUUCAUUGCUUUUAGUGACUGUAGACACAAUGGAAGUUCUGGUAAUGACCGAAGCAUGUUACAAUCCUCCAAGUGAAGAGUUUCUAGACCCAAUGGAAGUGCUGGUAAUGACUGAAGCAUGUUACAACGCCUCAAGUAAAGAGAUUUUAGACACAAUGGAAGUUCUGGUAAUGACUGAAGUAUCUUACAAUCCCUCAAUUCAAGAUAUUUUAGACACAAUGGAAGUUCUGGUAAUGACUGAAGCAUAUUACAAUCCUCCAAGUUAAGAUAACUUAGCCACGACAGUUGCUUGAUACUUGCAGGUAAACUCUCAAAGUUAUUUCCACUUAAAUUGCCAAUGUUAUCCGGCAACUUGUCAAGUAUAGAGCAACCACUUACGGACAAAAAUGAAAGCCCCGGUAGAUUUUCAAAUGGCGAUGGCAGCUCUGUAAUUGCCGUCCAGACUAAAUAGAUGCAAUUUAAAUGUUCCAUUUUCUCCAAGAUUUCUGGGAAACGCUCAAGGUUCAAGCAGCCAAAAAGAAAAAGAUCAACCAAAGAUCUCAAUUUACAGAACCUAGUUGAAAUCCUCUUCAGCCGUUUGCAAUGCCCCAAAUCCAACACUUCAAGAUCAGUUAGGCACUCUAUUGAUGAUGGAACUUCUUCUAUUGCAGACUGGCCUAAGGAUAGCUCUGUGAUUUUCCCAGAAAUCCGUGGAAACUCUUUGAGAUUAACACAAUAGGAGAAAUUAAUAGUUACUGGACAAACAAAAUGAAGAUUGCUUGGAAAAGACCUAAGACUUUUGCAGCCCUCAAAAGACAACGCACUGAGAUACUUGAAAUUCUGGAUAGAUGAGGGAACACAAGCCAAGUUUGUAUAAUCCAAAAGAUUUGUUUCAACAUUUGGGGUUUCUAAUGGGCCUGGCAUCUUAAUGAAAUGUCGAGAAUGAUUGAGGUUAAUAGAUUUUAACUUGAAAGCUUCCUGCAAUAACAGAUAUAUAAAGACUAUAUUAAUUAAAAAGCAACAUUGAAUUCAACAAUUAAUUGCACGUAUGUUUAAAGAAAGAAAAAAAUUAAUGUUUUAGUUUUAGUACAAAACUUACCUUUUCUCCUUCCCAAAGUUGCUCAACUUUACUAAAACGCAAAUUCAGUUCAACAAGGUUCAUUGGCUUGAAAUUUGAUGGCAGUGUCCUUAAUGGAUAUGUGUCCCAAUGAAGAUAUCUCAAUUUUUUAGGAAGAUAAUCUAGGCCAUUUGGAAGCUGCACUUUAGAGUAUGAAAGUUGCUCUUCAAUGCUCAUACUUAGAAACCUUUCAAUCUCAGGUACAUAAAAUUUGAGCAAUCUUAGAUUAGACAUUUUUGUGAAGGCUCCUGGGUCUAAAUUGAUGCCUUUUAUUUUGGACAAAUCCAGAAAUAUGCCUUCAAUUGCAUCGGUCCCCUUAUUAAAAAAAAAAAAAACAAAGAAUGAGUAACCCUAAAACAGAAAAGAAACAUUCGUAAACUUUAUUAACUAAGAGCUUCUUAAACAAAAACAAAUUCUGCAAUCUUUGAUUUUAUUUUUUUAAUAUAUUAAAUAUCUAUAUACGAGAAAAGAAAAUUUUGGGGACCAUUGCAAAAUUAAACUAACCGAAAAAAAAUUCAAAAUUUCUCUAAUUUACAAACCUGUUAUCUUAAUAACUAGAAGUUGAGAAGACAAGGCCUAUUUGAUUGGUAUAAGAUUUCGAUUUGUUUUUUAGUCCAUAGAAUCCAAAAUGUUAGUUCAAAAUUAGGGAAAAAAAAUGAAAGUUAUUUUUUUUCCACUAGUUGUAAUUGUUUCCAAGUCAAAUUGAGAUACGACCCUUUUCGAAAGGAUUUAAUCAUCUUAUAGCCUCCUUAAGAUACAUUUAAGCUAAAAGGAGUGAUUGGAGGCAGAACUAGGUGGGCCAAUCAGUCCCUUUUAUUAGUGACUGUUGCUUAAAAAAAAUUAUACUCUAAAACACACUUACUUUUUUGAAAAAAAAUAUAAUUAUAUUGAAGUAGAACCAGGUGGGCCAAUCCUCAUGGCACUCACUUUGUUCUGACACUCUUCACUAAAUUUGAAGAAAAAUAAAAUUAUACUCUUCACACUCUUAUUCAACAUUCCAAAAUUGAUAAAAUCUAGAGUUUUCUUUAAAAAUUUAAAAUUUGAAGACUUGUUCUCUUGACAUCCUCAGUCAUUAAUUUCACCUAAUUAUGGUUUUUAUGAUUUUGGUUGUUUUGUUCAUAAAACAAUUUUACUAAAGGAUGUUCUCGUAAUAAUAAAAAUUAUAAAAAAAACAUGGGUGUGCUGGUAUGGUUGGGAAAAUACGAGUACAGAACUCCAAACAAAUAAAAGAUUUAUAUAAAAAAAAAUGGAGGAUUCUUACCAUAUUAUGCUUUAGUACGCGGCGGAUUUCCUUAGGAUCCCACAACCUACUACGUCUGCCUGGCACUUCCUCAGAUUCUUGGCGAACAGUCUCUUGGCCCAUUUCUUGCAAUAAAUCAUGCAUUUGCAAGCGGUUAUCUGACACAGUUAUGAGUGACUUGUCGACGAGGACAUCCAGUCUGUGAGACCCAGAAUCAUCAAGUAUCCUUAACACAAAAUCUUUAUCCUCUCCCUCAAGGAAACACGCAAUAUCUAGAAACAUACUCUUCACCCUGGGCGUUAAUUCUUUAAAACUAAUCUUUAAUGUAUCAUAAAUACCAUGAAUAUCAGAUUCACAAAUCCGAUUUAAGUCGUGCAAUACAUUUUCCCAAUGGCUUUUCCUCUUGAGAUACAGGGAGGAACCCAACACUUUAAGAACUAAUGGAUUGCCAUCAGCAUACUCUACAACUCUCCACGAGUCACGUUUGAAAUCUUCAGGACGAUGCUUUUCUUUAAAAGCGAAGUUACAAAAGUGCUCGAAAGCCUCAUCAAAUUUCAAUCCAUUGACCCUAUAUAUUUUCUCCACUCCAAAUUUUUCGAGGACUCGUUUAUCCCUGGUGGUUACAACAAUUCUACUUCCUGGACCAUAUUGAUCAAGCCCUCCAAUCAAACCCUCUAAUUGUUCAUCUUUAUUCACAUCAUCGAGUACAAUCAACACCUUCAUGCGUCGGACCCUCCCUUUAGUAAAUUGUGGAAUAUUGGGACCAGCUACUUCAAGUUUUUCACUUAAUAUUGUCGAAAGCAUUUCCUUUUGUAGGUCUUCUAGGCCACCCUCUGUUUCUGAUUUUCUCCUAACAUUUUUUGCAAAGUAUUUACCAUCAAACUCACCAGCGAAUUGAUCGAAAAUAGCUUCAGCAAGGGUAGUUUUGCCUAUACCGCCCAUACCCCAAAUUCCAACAAUUUGGACAGUAUCCGACAAAUCCAUACACAAAAAUGGUUUAAUCUGCUCAAUUCGUGAAUUUAAUCCAACUAGGCCGUUGGAUGAGUCCGUUGAGACUGUUAUUUUUUCCAACUUCUUCAAAACAUCUUCGACAAUUUUGUUUACAAGUUGCGCAUCAAGCCUAAUAUGAAGGUGCAAAGAUGCAAAAACAUUGAGUCAAAUCGGGCCAAGACAGAAACAGAGAAAAGAUGAAUUAGGAAAGAGAGUUACCUGAAUUUCGUGGAUUCAUGGCCGGCUAGAUGGGAUGUUUCUGUCAGUGCAUCCCUCCACUUCUGAACCAUUUCUUGUUUAUCUUUGAACUGUUUUUUGAGCUCAUCAAAACGGUCUCCAAAUGUUCCGUUUUGAUGCCGCACAUCAGAUGGACUUACUCCAUAGAAGAAUGGAAUAAUAAUUUGGCCGUUUGUGUUCUUGCAUUCAAGAAUCUUGACAAGUUCAUUCAGGCACCAUUUUGAAGAAGCGUAGUCCUUCGAGAAAAUGACCACCGAAAUUUUUGAACCUUGGAUUGCGUUCAAAAGGGCGGGUGAAAUCUCAUCUCCUCGCCUAAGCCCUUCAUCAUCAAUAAAUGUUUUGAUUUUCUUUCCUUCAUACAAUUUAUCAUAGAGAUAGCAAGUAAAGCUCUUACGAGUGUCCUCCCCUCUAAAGUUGAGGAAGACUUCAUAAUUGGCACAAGAAGAAGAGGAAGCCAUGAAGGAAAUUUUAGAAAAUUGGUGACAGAAACAGAGAAUUAAUCUUGAGAGUUGAGAGAGGAGAUGUAAGAAUGAACAUGUGCGAAGAUUCUUGCGAGUACAUAGUAAAUAAUUGAAUGGCUGGAGCUUUCUUAGUUUCCUGGAAAUUUCCUGGAGCUUUCGUAUACAUGAUUUGUCAAGUCAUGAAACAUAAUCAUGAUAAUGGGGCAGACCGAAAAGAAAAGCAACAAUUCAAAUAUUUGAUUCAACCAGUAUAAAAAGGAAGGAAAAGCAAAGAAAGGAAAUGUUGAAAGUAGAGUUAGGGAAUUAUAAAAAGCUGAAGGAAAUUGGAAUUUUGUACAAUUUCUCCAGCGAGGAACUUUCACAGUCGUUACCUCAUUGUUACAGUUUAGAUUAAGAUUUGAGGGUGCAAGCAUUUACCUAGAUUUUACCUCCGCACUAAAUUCUUAAGUUUGAAAAAUUAUGAGACCUUUAUAUUGGAAGAUAUUAUAAUCGAAUCAAAACUUAAAAUUUUAAUAUUGUUAAUCUUUAAUCUUUAAAAAAAAUUACCUUGCCGUUACAAUUUGGAUUAAGAUUUGAAUAAGCAUUUACCUAAAUUUUAUCUCCGCCUGUAAAUUCUUAUGUUUUAAAAAUUAUGAGACCUUUAUAUUGGGAGAUAUUAUAAUCGAAUCAAAAUUUUGAAUUUCAAUAUUAUUAUUCUUUUAAAAAAAAUUUGAGAUAACAGAGUGAUUGAUAAUAGAGAACUUGUCUAGGCAAACACAUGCAUACACAAAAAUGUGAUGGAUUCAAAAAGAAAUUAAAGUGAUAAUGUACGUGGAUCCUUAAAACAAAAAGCGAAAUCGCUUGGUGGCCCAGUAAAAUUAAGACUGAAUAUUUUUUACACGAGAAGUGUAGCUCAUAAAUGGCAAAAGCCAUUUCAUUUCACUUUUACGCGUCAUUGACUUUUGUAACAUGGUGCAUGCAUCGUCAAGUGAGGCAAAAGGGUUUCGAUUACAGUGGGAAAACAUGAACAAGAAUGCAUAAUGAAUAAUUCCUUUGAUAAAGCGAAAAUUAAACACAGAAUAAUCCUAAAAUUUAAACUCUAAUAUCUUAUAAUUUAAUGAUUAAAAAUAAUCCUAAGAGUUCCCAAUUGAAACUUUCAGAGAUAAUAGAAAAUAGCUAUGCUUUAAAAGGCCAAAGAUUAGAGAACAAAGAAGAAUUAGGUAUUGAUAUAAAAAUUAUUAAUUUUUUUGAUUUCAAGCAAAAAUAGUUUCAUAUACCAUUUCGAUUUUGGUAGGGGUGAGGUUUUGAACUUCAAUAGUUUCCUCUAAAAUCAAAAGGUAGUAAUUAAGUUAGAAAGAGCAAAGAAGACUUAUCGGUACCUUAUUGAAGGUAAACAUUAUGGAACUUUCAAUGUCAUUACCCCACUGUUUAAUUUUUAUUGAGAUUUGUGCAAGCAUUUACCUAAAUCUUACCUCUGCCUGUAAAUUCAUAAGUUUUGAAAAUUAUGAGACCUUAUAUCGGGAGAUAUUAUAAUCGAACUAAAACUUAAAAUUUCUUUUCUUUUUUUUUUUUUUUAUCAUAAAAGGGCUCUUAAGAGAGCUAAGGCAACACUAAAUGGGAGUGUGCAACCCCAUGAACAUCAUUAAUCAAUAUGUUUAGCGUAUUUGGAGGAAUAGAUUGAAAGCAAUGUAAACCCAAAGGAAAAGAAAAGCUGUACGAAGUAAGGAAAUCUGCUGCUACAUUGGUUUCUUGGUAGAUAUGAUCCACUUUGAUCAGCCAAUCACGCCGAAGGAGUUCUUCGAUGGCCUGAAUGAGAGUAAAAUGCUCAUUGACGGGAGGGUUUGAGUUAGAGAUUAACUUCAUAACACACAUGCUGUCCACUUCCACGUAAAACUUAAAAUUUCAAUAUUAUUAUUCUUUAAAAAAAAAUUGAGAUAUCAGAGUAAUAUCACAUAGAAAAACUUGCCCACGGACGGUAAGCCAAAAGUCUAGUCAACCACAUGCAUAAAGCUAAGUAGAACAAGAGAACAGAGAAACGCGUGGGUCCCUAAAGAAAAGGCAAGCACAUAAAUGAAAAAGCCAUUACAUAUCUAUUAACACGGUGUGGCAGCAUAUGCACAAUCAAGUGAGGCAAAAGGGAUUCGAUUAUCGUGGCAGAACAUGGACGAGGACGCGUGAUGAAUAAUUCCUUCGUUAAAACCAAAAACAAACGCAGAGAAAACAAUUUCUUAUAUGACAAGAAAUCAAAGUAAUGUGAAGGAACAUGAUGAAGAAAUUGCAGACUGAUCAAUUAUCCCCAUGGACUCCUAUAAAUUCAACCAAAAUAACAAUUCGAAUCUUACCAAAUUCUUGAGUUAAAUUUAUUCAAUGCUUUUAUUUUUUUAGAAAAUUUUUUUCCAAUGCUACUUUUCCUUUUUUGGGGAAAUUAGAACCGCGGCAUGUAUAGAAAACAUUGAGGUGUAAAGCAACAUUAAUUUCAUGGGAUAUGCGUUAUACGCAUAAUAUAUUUUCAGUCCAAAUUCAACUAUACAAAGAGGCUUGAGAACUUAAAAUUAAGCACAAACUAAACAGACGAAGUAAAUACAUGAUUAUGCAACAUAACAUUAAUUCUCUCAAUUGAUAACUGUUUUUGCUACAUGAAUCUUGCACAGUUAAUCCUAAUUGAAGACUAAAAAAGAGCAAUUGGAAGAAGGUUUUGGAAUAGAAUGGUAUACAAUCGAUAUGAUCCUUUUCCAGUAGUCAACGCUAAUUAACUGCAGUUUCUAGACUCCUAAUUAUACUAGCCAUAGCAAACUAUUUAGAAAACUGGUGAUCAAAUUAGAUUUUGAAAGGAAAUAAUGUUCAUUUUCCCUUCGCUGCCUUUUCUUUUCUUUUCUUUUUAUAGCAAAGAAUUAUAUCAUGAAAAGAAUCAAUUUAAUCACCUUUUCCAGCAGCCCAAUUUUUCUUUUAUAAAAUUUGACCACGGAGACAAAGAAGAAUUAUUCAUAACUUCAUCACUAAGGAAAUACUUUUCGGUAUGGCUAGGGUGAGAAAAUGCUUUCCACUAACACUUGUACUUUGUAUUCUUGUAAAUUUUCUUUAAAGUCAAUAAAAACCAUAAGUUCUUUGCAAUAACCAUCUCUUUGAUCAAAAAGUGCCGUAUUCCUUUAGAAUUUAAAACCGGCAAAACCGAAUCAGUGUCUUUGAAGAGACAUAAUGGUCGUAAUUCUUUAAAUGAGUUGGCUAUGGAAAUCCUUAUCCAAGAUUCUUUUAUGCCAUAUUCUUUCGUAAACCAAAAUUCAUUUUGAAAUACUCUAUUGAAAAUGUCAAAUAAAACGGCAUUGAAGGAAGUUUUCAAAGGCAUAAUCCGCACUUGUCAAAGGGAUGAUCUGCACUUGUCAGAGACACGAUCCGCGUCGAACGAAUCGACACAUUUCCUUUCGUAUUCGCAUAUGUAAUCUUUGAAAAAAUGUAGCUUCCGCAUCUAUAAAUAACGCUCAGUGUAUAAUGUUUUAUUCAAGAAAAGAAAACAAAUUUCUUCAUACUCCUUGUCCGAACAUACAGAGACAGUCUCUCAUAACUUCAGCCGAAUACUUAUGAUGAUGAUCAUUUGUGAUUUCAUCAGGCAUAGGGUUGAUGGUGAAAAAUUUUGUAUGUGUGAAGAAUUGAGCUGUGGAUAUAGGGGACUUAAGUGUAAUCGAAAGAGAGUUAUUAGGCCAUAGUGCAGAUUGCAUUCAGUUUAUGGGUCGAUAUGCAAAUAAUUUGUUGACGUGGCGAAAUCUGUUAUGGUCGUUACUAUUGUUUCUGGAAAUUUUCUAGAAACCUCAGCAUAAAAGGGGCUUUUGCAUAGCCUCUGGUGUGCGUGUGAUUUCUCUUUCGUUUCCUCAUCAAAUUCUGUAAUUCUUGCUUUGAUAAAAAGCUUGUAAUCAUUUCUGUAAUGUGUGAUCAGUGCGUAAUCAUUUUGAGCAAUAAAAGCUUGUGGGUUUUUCCUUCAAACAGUGUCGUUUUGGUCAGUUUGUUAGUUUGAUCUGUUGGUGGAAUUUUCUUUGGUUAUUUGUUCUCAAAUUUCAACCGUAUAUAAAGUUUGAACUCUAAUGGCUUAUAAUGUAUUGAUUAAGAAUAAUCCUAAGAGUUCCCGAUUGAAAUUUUUAAUGACUAUUUUUAUUGUUUUGGAUAUACAAAUUGCAUUAAGAAAAAAUAUUGUCAAAUUCAGAGGAUAACGGGAAAUAAUUAUGCUUCAAAAGACCAGAGAUUAGAGAAUAAAGAAGCAUUCAUUACUGACAUACAAAAGAGAAACACUCCAAAAUUGCAAGCAAACUAGUUUCAUAUACUAUUUGGAUUUUGGAAGGGGUGAAGUUUUGAGCUUCAGUUGUUCCUCUAAAUAGCAAAGAAGACUUAUUGGUACCUUACUGAAGCUAACAUUGUGGCACGGUUGUUCAUAUGUAAUGGCUGCUCUGUUAUGGUAGCUUCUCUGUUUUUGCUCACAGUUUUGAACAUGAAUUCUUGCUCAAAUAACCCAUAAUUAAUUAACAUUAAAAUGGCUCGUGAAAUCCCAUAAUAGCUAAUUACGCAACUUUCUCCUCCUCCUCAAUUAUGUCUUCCCCUGCUCGUACAAUAAAUUCAAAAUUCAAUGCCCCGAAAAACAACACAAGAAAUCUUUGAGUUAGUUCGUGACCAGUUUAUAUAUAGUAGCAAUUGAAAAAAGAAAAAGAAGAAAAGAGUUAAUUAUUAUUCAGACCUUCACUUAUUAGGAAGUUUGUUCUGCUAUUGGGUGAGGUCAAGCUCUCAGCAUAUACUUCCACAUGAUACUUUCUAACAUUUUCUUGAAAGCCAUCAAUCAUAAAAUCUUCAUACUUUUUUCCAUCCUUUGGAUCAAUGAGUACAAAUUUCUCAUCUAAAACAGACAAAAUAAAAUCACUGUCCUUCAUGGAACAUAAUGGCUGCAAUGCCUGAACUGAAUUGGCUAAUGAAACAUAGUCUUCUUUUCUUUCUCGACAUGGAACAUAGUCUUCUUUUCUUUCUCGACACAUGUCUCUGUACUUUUCUCUCUCUACUGAUCCACACUUUUUCAUACUUCUAACUAUCAUUUUGUUUUUUUUUUUUGAGUUGUGAUUUAUUCAAUUAUUUUGUAUUUUUAAUGACAAUUAUUUAAUAUUUAGUUAGUGUUGAUAUUGAUUAGUGAUUGAAAGUGUAUUUUAGAAGACUUCCGGUCUCUUGAAAAAAGGAAAAAUGGAGAAGAAGAAGAAGUGUUCUUGAUUUUUUUGUAGGCAUUAAAGUUAAACGGUUUGAAAUGAUAUUUUGUUUUAAUUUCACUCAUUAAUCUCAUUCAGGAUAAAAUUAUAAAUGCAAAUAAAUGGGGUUUCAUAAGUAUUUUUAAUAGUGUUAAAAGGUCUACUAACUAAAUAAACAUGUUUUACCCAAACCAAUCCGAUUAAUAAGUUAUUGGGUUGGGUUGAUCAGGUUAAAAAUCAAAAUUAAAAAUUAAAUAAAUAAAUAAGGCAUAAAAACUAUAUGUUACUUGAAAAUAAAAAGAAUUUCUAAUAGUUAGUUCUAAUGUCCCAUAUCCAAAACAUGCAUAUUAAAUAAAUAUUAUAAGUUAGAAAUAAAAUAUCCAAGAAAUAAUGAAUGAAAUACCAUAUUUUUGUUGAGAAUUAAGAGUGUGAUUUUAAUUUUGAUAUUGGAGUCUAAAGCAAUAGAUAGUACAAUGAAAUCAUGAAUGCUACGUUUAAAUAAUCUCUUUUAUAAAAUAAUAAAAAGAGGUUAAAAAUUAGGUUAGCAUUUAGGGUUUAGCAGUUAAGGAUGAACAUAUUAUUAUUGUUGUUGUUGUUGUUAUUAUUAUUAUUAUUAUUAUUAUUAUUAUUUACAUAUUAAUUAAUCCAACCCAACUCAAUUAUUAACGAAUUUGAAAAAAAAUGACCAAAUUAAUCCACAAUAAUUCAUUCAACUCGUCUAAAUUAGAUUAGAUUGAAUUUGAUUUGCUACACCUACAUUGAGCAACAAACCUCAACGCGAUUCUAUGAGCUCUUUGAUUGUUUAUAAAAUUGAUUUAGAGUACAUAAUGGAGUGUAUCGACAAUGAAAGUGCAAAACAAAUUAUUGUAUACAUUAAAAUCUGCAAAACAAUGAAUUAUAUGUACGAACGAGUGCAAACACAUUUUUCAAUAAGAAGUUAAAAGAUAUUUAUGCAUGAAAAAGCAUACGUUUGUAGUUACUCUAAAUUUUUUAAAAAAAAUUUACAUUUAGAUCCCUAAAAUUUACGUAUAAGUACAAAAGUUUCAAAUAUUGUCUAUUAUUUUUUAACAUAUGCCUAUUCCUUGUGGAUAAUUCUGUCUCAUCACUAAUGUUGUUUCUUGCUUACAAAAAACAAAUGUCAUCUCCUUUUACAAUUUUUAUAGCGUCUCAAAAUAGACAAUGGGGGGAUUUUGAAUUUUUUAAGUCUCAAGAUAGUCUCUAAUCUUGUGAGAAAGAUUUUCUUUCAAUAAUUUGGAGGUAAAGAUAACAUAAUUUUUUGGAUAGUGUGCAUGUGUAUUUAAUUAAUAAUUUUUUAAAAAAAUACAUCAAAUAUUAAUAUCCAUGACAUAAUUUAGUUCUUAAUUUUUUUUAAAUACAUCAAAAACAUAAUUUUUUUUAACAACUUAUAGGCAUGACAAAUUUCAAGAUAUAAAUAUCAGUCAAAAUAAGUGAAAGAAAUAAUGGUGCCAAUUCUAAUUUCUUAACUAAAUUAAUUAGUGCAUGAGCCCCGAAUACGACACGAGAGUUUGAUGGGCUAACUUGGCACAAGAACGUGAAUAAAUAAUUGAUUUAAGAAAUAAUUCAACGAAAAAUAUAAUUGAUAAGAAUUCAGUAUUGAAAUGAGUUUUUUUGUGAAACACUGAAUUAAUGAUUAUUAAGCAAGAACAAUAAAAAAAUAAAUAUUAAUCAUUGAUAAGUUUCAACAAAAACUUAACACAAUCCUCAAUCCUCAUUCAAAUGAUAAAUGUCAUUCAUAUAUUCAUUAUAAAUCAACAACAAAGGUUAUAAAUGUUUAGAAAUUCUAGAGGGAAGGAAGCUAUCGCCGGACAAUCAACAACUAAAUUUGAUGUAAUUGUGGCACGAGAUGGAAUAUGGAAACUACACCAUAAUUUCAAAUGCCGCCAUAGACAUUGACUUAUCAUAAUAACAAUGAUCUAAUUAAAAUAAAAACAAAGUUUAUGGGCAUUUAUUAUUUUGCCAUUCCUCAUUUGCAAAUAGGGAUAUAAUUAUAAUUUUACCUAGUCAAAGCAAUCGGUAGUUUUCUUCAUUAUAGGAGUGAAGUAAAAACAUUUAGAUUUCAAUGUAUGUACGGAAAAAUUUGUCUUUAAAAAUACUUUCUUAAUGUGUGUAUGCAUAUUGAAAUACUCAAACCAAUUUUGGUUAUAUAUAAUUAAACAAAUUUUAAAAUAUGAAAAAUAUAAUGUAGUUAUAGUGGAUAAACAAUAAGUGAGCACAAUAUAAUUAAUCAAAUAUUAUGCCAUCAAAAGUUAAUUUUAGAAAUUCCAAAUCCAAUAGCCAACACAAUUCUUUUUUUUUUAAAAAAGUUGACACAAUUAAUAAAAUUAGCGACAUGAAUUUCACGCCAUUGAUAAUCAGCAAUUAGUAUUACUUUCUAAACUUGCUUCAACUGGUCGUUGAUGUCCGGGUCACCAAAAGUAUAAGCGAUAAUAAGGGGCAUUGGGCAAGAGUGAUGAAUGUUUAGUCGGUGCAUUUGAUUGAUAGAUAUAUAAAGGGCCGAAACUUGAGAUUAUAUUACUUUUACAAAUUUUAAUCCAAUCACAUAUUUACUGAAAACAAAAUGAGUUAGGAUACUUUAUUUAGAACCCACAUUUUAAUAAGGCUUCAUUUGAUGUAGUUUUUCAAACAGUGAUUAUUUGAGUAAAGUUUCCUCAAUAGAGUUUUUAUCAAAUAAAUUUUAUUUAUUUGGUUGUCGAUAAGAACUUUUAUUAAAAAUUAUAAAAUUAUUUAAAUAAACAUAUUUUUUAAAAUUACAUUAUAAAAAGAAUUAAAUAAAGUUAUAAAAGUAAAAUAUAUUUUAGAUAUUUUAAUAUUUAAGAAAAAAAUUUUGAAUCUCUACUUUCAGAAGCUCAAAUUUUUAGUUUUUAGUUGUAGAGACAAAAUAUCUUAUUUAAUCUUUAAAAGUUCUGCUAAAAACAAUCAAAUAACUAUAAAAUUUUUAAUAAGAGUAUAUAAAAUUAAAUAAGCAUUUAUUAAUAAUCACUUUAGUGUACUUAUCUAAUGACCAUAAGUGUUUAUUUAAUCUCAUAAGUUCUUAUUUAAUCUCAUGAGCUCUUUUCAAUUUUUUUUGUUGUUUGCUUUUUUUAGUAGAGUUUUUGAAAAUUAAAUAAACUAUUUUGUCUCUAUUAGGAAAAACUCAAAUUUUAGGUUUUUGUGAGUAAAUGUUUAAAUUUUUUUUAAAAUAUUAAAAUAUUAAAGUAAAAGUUGUAGAGACAAAAUAUCUUAUUUAAUGUUUAAAAGUUCUGCUAAAAAUAAUCAAAUAACUACAAAAAUUUUAAUAAGAGCAUAUAAAAUUAAAUAAGCAUUUAUUAAUAGUCACUUUAGUAUACUUAUCUAAUGACCAUAAGUGUUUAUUUAAUCUAAUGAGCUCUUUUUAAUUUUGUUUGUUUGUUUUUUUAGUAGAGUUUUUGAAAAUUAAAUAAACUAUUUUGUCUCUAUUAGGAAAAACUUAAAAUUUAGGUUUUUGUGAGUAAAUGUUUAAAUUUUUUUUAAAAUAUUAAAAUAUCUUUUCUUUAUUUCAUAAUCUUAUUUCAUUCUUCACAACAUAACUUUAAAUAACUCACCUAUUAAAAUAAUUUCACAAUUUAUAAUAAAAAUUUUAAUUGACAAUCAAAUAACAAAUUUUUUUUUAUAAAAACUCUAAUAAUAAAAAUUCUACUUAAAUAAAUUAUAUUUGAAAAGGUAUACCAAACGAACCUAACAUAAAAACAAAAAUUUUUACAUCCACACAAUUAAGCUUAAAACAAUUUCAAAUGAAUUUUAGACUACUCAAAGUACAAUACGUACCAAGUUUGGUAACUUAUUGGGGUCCGCUUGUAAUACAGCGUCUGUAUCUCAUACAGCCAAAUUUAAUAAUUUAUUAAGAAAAAGGGCAACCAUUAGAUAGAAGUAGAUACAUCCAACGGUUAAAAUGUUUGAUUACUCAUUUUGGCGACCGGAUAUGCCAGUUAUUAUUUCAUCAAUUAACUUACCUAAAAAAUCACAGCCGUUGGAUUGAGAUGCCUCUCUUUCCCUCAAAAUAACAGCCUUCGUAUUCUCUCUGCUAUUGUUUUCUCCUACAUCCAGAAUUUUGGAUGAAUGAACUUGGUAUUCAACAAUAUUCACCACCCAUCACAGCAAAGAGCAAAGAUGUAGUCAAAGGAGUGCCAUUUAUUCAGGCUAACUCGAUCUGUCACUCUCGCUUCAAUUCGUCACUCAUUUUCUCGCGCUCAGCUUCAAUCUAUCACUCUCAGCUUCAGUUCGUCACUCACAGCUUCAAUUUUUCACUGUCGUGAAUCAUCUCUCUUGCUGUAUCUCUCUCUUAUGUCUUCCAAUAAUUUCGGUGAGCUCUCUCUCUAAUUUAAUAUAUGAUUAAAAAUCUUAUCAUCUUAUCAUGUCAUUUAAAUAUGCUUGAAGUUUCAAUUUAGUUUAUGAAUAUUACUUGAAAUUUCAGUUUCAAUAAUUUGAUUUUGCAAUUGAGAAAUUAUUACUUGAAAUAUUGAGAUGAUUUCUAGGGAUUGAUAAUUGAAUGAUAAUUGCUAAGGCUUGUCAUUUUUUGUUUUUGAACAGAUAGAGUUACAAUUAAGUCAUACUGCAAUAUUUUAUCUUGAGAUUCUAUUAUUCACAAAAAGAAAAAAAUCAUAAAUUGAAAAAAAAAAAAAAGAGGUUACGAGCAUCAAGCAACUGCAAGUAAUGGGGUUUGUUUUGAUGAGCUGCGAAUUGGGGCCUGUCAUUUUCUUGAAGUAUCUUCAAUAUAAGUGGAAGGAGAUUUCUUCUCUCCAAAAAAUUAUUGUAUAUUUCCUUUUAAAUUCUAGAUUCGCAUGUAGCUGAUUUUUUAUGUUUGAAGGAUUUUAUUAAAGAAUGUGCUGCUGCUAGUGGCAUGAAUUAAUGUAGUCUCGCUAGUAUUCGUGAUUUGGGGUAAGGAUCGAAUUGAACAAUUAUAUUUCUAUUAUUCUUAUAUUCGAAUCCAGUGAUAUUGUGGUGGUUUUAUGAUAAUAUUCAAUUGUUUUGUGCCUCAAAUCAGCCAAUGAGUUGGGUAUGUGCUGGGUAUAUGCCGUAUGGGCUUGUUGUUGAAUUUGCUUGACCUUGGAUGUGAUUCUUGCCGUGUUUAUAAGAAAUAGACACAGGUCUUUGUGUGGUAAUAGAAUUGUCUAAGGUGCCUUACAAUAAAUUUAAGAGUCUUAAGUAACUAUGCUUUGUAACCUUAAACCUUUAUUUGUACGACUUGGUGUUCUUGGUUGUGAAAGAAUGUUAAAUGUUGACCUAUUUUCAUCGGUGAAGAUAAAUGAAGUUAGGGAAGGUUUGUAAUCACUAUAACCCUGACAAUUUUUUUGGUGGGCCGUGAUAAUUUUAUUCAUGGCAUGUACUUUGUUUUUAUCAGAAGGCCCUGUUUGCUUGUAGUCUCAAAUCUAGGGUAAUAUUUUAAAUAAGUUCUGCAAUAUAUGUUUUGCUAUUUUUCUUUUUUGUUUUUAUUUUAAUUAGUUUUAGUAUUACUUGGAGGGGAAUUCUGAUCUGCUGAAGUUUAUCAAGCUGGUGCAGUGGUGCAGCAAGCAGACCUUUAUCUUAAUCUUAUGAUUGUGCUAAGUGGAAUUUUGUGUAAGUUACAACAAUAUAAUUUUUUAAAGAGCUGACAAGACGCUCUCUCUUUUUUUUGGAAUGUUGAGCAAAACUUUUCUUUCUUAUUAGGUGUUUAUAAUAAUUCAUAGCAUGGGUUUUGUCAUAUUGGUUUCAAUGCAUUGAUUUGAUCUUGGUUACAACCCAUCAGCCCUUACUCCUCAUUCCCAGCAGCUUUUAAUGCCUUUUUUUUAAGCAUUGUACUUUGUUUCAUGAUGAAAUUUGUUUAUAUGACGCAAAGUUGAGGACACGGUAAUAGUCAUUAUUUUAAUUUAUGCAACAAAGAUCAUUAUCCAUUAAAUUUUAUGUUGUUGAAAUAUUUAGAUUUUGUAAAUUUUGUUGUAAGAAAUGAGGGCUCUUGAUCCCAUCCCUUUAUUAUAUACAAUUUUUUUUCACUCUGUCAUUCAUUUAUUGUGUGUUAGAGGUAUUAGUCAUGUGCAAAAGUAAAGAUCUUUAUUUUGUUAUUUUUGUCAUCUUGUGCUUCAUUGGUAUAAAUGAGGAAAAAAAAGAAUAAAAUAAAAUAAAAUUAUAGUUUGUGCAUGAAUUCCACCAUAUAUGAAAUGUUUAAUAGAUUAAAAAGUAAGGAGUACACAGUGACUUUGAAUAGCAGGUGGGGGAACUCAUUUUGUUUUAAAAAAAAUUAAUACAUAUUGAUAGAAUAAUUAUCCUUCACUUAAUUAUUUAAAAAUUUUAUUUUGGAAGAAUACAAAUGGACAGUCACCAAUGAAAGCGUAAACGACUACCAGGGGGCUUACAGAAAAAAUUGCUCCUAUUCUAAAAGUAGAUGGUCAGGACAAAGUUCCAACAACUUCAACUUAUGGAUUUGUCUCUUACUUGUAAGGUAAUCUCUUCUUGUAGGGUGUUUAAUUGAAUUAAAAACAGAAUAUUAUUUGCAUUAUAGAGUACAGGCAUAAAUUCAUUAUCUAUGUCAGUUCAUUCAUGAUUUUACUCCAAAUGGAGUAAUAGAUCACCAUUAAUUUAUUGAUACAUCGUCCAUGUUUGUUUUCGUCUUCAAUUUUUAUAUUACAAUAUCUAAUCUAUUUAGUAUUCGUAAAAAAACAUACGAGAAAAAGUUGGAAAAACACUUUAGGGGUGAUUGUGUACACUUUCGUAUGGCACAAAUAGCGUUAGGCUUUGUUUUUUAAGUGGACGACGUGUCCAUUUUUUGUGUUACAUCUUACUCAUUAAUAUAUUUUUGAGUUUCUUAUGGAAAAAAAAUUGAAAAAACACUUUAAGUGAAAAAAAUUUGUAUUUCAAUUUAUAUGUAACAGUGAAUUGGAAAAUAAAUUCUACCAAUAAUUAAAAGAAUACUUUUCUUUUAAUUAUUAAAAAGAUAAGGUAGUUACUCAUUACCCAUAUAAAUGGACAGUUUUAAUUUGUUCCAUAUCUAUACAACAGAAGAGCUUCAGACACGGUUUGCAGCGUUCCACGAUCACUUCCAUUCUAAGCAGCAGCGUCUUCCGUCUUUUUGCACACCAACAGCAGAUUCUAGAUGGCCAGAAGCUCAUCUGCCGCACUCUCGGGAUUUCGCUGCCAUCCUCAUCUUCAUCUCCACUACCUCCUCAGUGAUUAUCCCCUGGUUUUAUGCUCAGAAAUUAUGAUUAUUAUGUAUCUUGUUUUCAGAUUUGUCAAUACUUGUUAUAUUUUGAUUAUGCAUUAUGGACAUUUUUCAUAAGAUAGCUUAAUUUUGUGGUUUGUGUUGACGAUUUCCAUGUAUGGAUGUUUGGAUAGGUAAUUUCGCCUUCCAUGCAUUCUUCAUUCCUGCAUCCUGUGGGAGAAAAUUGGAAAAAGUGGUUUUUGAUGAGAAACGGGGAGAAGGAUGAGAUAUAUAUUUUUGAAGUGUCACAUUAUUUCAAAAACAAACCCCAAAUUUAAUUUCUCUUACCGAUCAUGAGUUAAAAUAUAAAAAUUAACGUUUACUCAUCACACUGUUAUAAGUAUCAAAGCAUUACUUAUAGAAAAAUUAUCGUCACCUAUCCUACAUUUGUGAUUGAAUAGUGGCACAAUUUUAAUUGGGAUAUUUAACAUUACUCUUUGUAAUUGUUUGGUCUUAUUUGAAGUUUGUAAAUUUUUCAUAACUAUGACUUCAACAGCAUAUUUCAGGUUGCAUUUAAUCGUUGCUAUAAUUAGGUACUUUGAAAUAAUUUAUUGGCCACGAUUACAGUCAUUGUUAUUAGUCACCCCUCUUUUUUCUCUUUUGGCCAACCAGCUCUUGGAUAUUUGGGAACCGAUGACAAUAGUUGGGAAAUUAUGUAAUAUUGGUGUGUUUGCGAAAUAAAUCAAGAGAUUUGCCUUGCCGAAGUUAAAAGAGAUAUUGUGGCCUGAAUUUUUUUUUUUUUUCUCUAGGGGCCAUGGCUCUCAAGGACAAGGCAUGAAUCAUGCAUUAUAAUUGCUCGAAAGGGUUAGUAAAAUAGCAAUCUAAAAUACCCAAGUUGGAUCUGCUGUUGAAUCACAAAAAGAACAUAAUUGGGAUAUGAAGUCAUGGUUGCAAGUGUUGGACCCUUAGGUUACGUUUGGCACGUAGGAUUGGAUUGAACUAAUUACUAAAAUUGGAUUGAAUUAUAUUCGAUUGGAUUAAACUGGAUUAUAUUAUAUAGUUCUAUGGUUAGUACAAUAUCGGAUUAAACUAUGUUAAAUUAUAUUUAAAUAAUAUUAAAUAGCAUUUAAGUUGGUAUUUUAAUAUUAAUAUCAAUUAUUCAUGAAAUUUCAUAAUCAUAAUUAAAAUAAAUUUAAAAAACAAUUACCAGGAAAAUUAAAUAUAUUGUAAAUAAGUUACUGGGUAGUCAUAAUACAGUAAACAAAUGAACAUAGAUAAAAAAAUUAAAUUUUAAAUAAUUUUUAUCAAAUUUUAAAAAAAAAUUAUAUAAAAUCAAUUAUUUAAUGGUAUUAUUAAUUUUCAUGAUUAUUUUUAAUAGUAUAUAACAAUGAUUAUUAAAUUUAAUACAAUCAAAUAAUGCAAUAAAUAAUUAAACAUUUAAUUUUAUCAAUAAAUUACUAAAUAUACAAGUGGUGAAAAUUUAAUCUCCAGAGUUAGUACAAGUAAAGGUAUUAAUUUAAUUAGAUCAUAGAUAAUAAAUAAAAAUAAGUUUUAAGUAAAUCAUAUUAAAAAUUAAUUAAUUAAUUAAUACUAGGUGUAAAUAAAAAAAAUGAUAUAAAUAAAAAUCUCAUAAAUGGACAACUUUUUUCUUUAAUCUUAUCCCAACUAAACCCAUGCGUAAAUUAGGAUUAUCAAUUCCAUGAUUUUAGGAUUAAAUUUAAAUUACUACCCCCUUAAUCCAAUCCAACUAAGCUUGCCAAACAUUGGAUAAAUAUUUAAUUCCAAAAUUAGUCUAAUCCCAUACUUAAUCCUAGAAUCCAAACAUGGCAUUAGCACCUUAUAUAACAAAGUGUCACUGAAAUACAGCAAAACGUUAUAAACAAGAACUUAUUUCUGUACAAAAUGUUAUUUACUUUUUGUGAACUUCCAAAUACCUACUAUAUGAUUUGCAAACCCUACAAAAGUCUACCUUGCAUGCUCUUUCUAACGUGAAAUUUGAUUUUUAUUAAAUUUUUGAUGUGUUCACUAAUAAAUAAUUGGAAUCUAAAAAAAUUAGAAAAAAAUAGAAUUAGAAUGAGCUACAAUAAAAAUGAGGAAUAACAAAAAAAAUGAUAUUUGUUGAGAUGAAUGAAACACAAUUGAAAUACUCUAUAUCGCUCUUAAUAUGUUCACUUUGUGAACAUAAAUUAGAAUUAGUUGUUAUAACUUAGUAAUUUAUCCUCAAUCAAUUAUUAUCAUUAUUACUAUUUGUUAUAAUAAUUGUAAUUAUUAUUUUUGAUAAUUUUAAUACUAAGAAAAUUAUUGUUAGGGGUGGAAACACCAUAUAGAGAAGGAACAAUUAAAUUUAUAAAAUUUAGUGGGGAUAAAAUAGUCACUUAAGACAGCAAGCGUCUCCCAUUCUCACCUCCACGAGCAUGAAAACACUAGUAAUCAUUCUUAAAUUUUGAUGGAAUCUGUUGCUUUUAUUCUAAUAACGAACGCAAAACCUAUGGAAUUAGUUGGAAUAACGAAUGCAAAACCUCUGGAAUUACAAUUGAAAUACGUCAACCCAAAAUGGAGAAAGCACAACUAAAAUUAGAGACCUACAAAACCAAAAAUAAACUUAUAGAAAACAAACCCGGUACCUAAUCUCAAUAAUUGGAAUCUCAACCAGUUAAUGGAAAUAUUCAACUCAAAAUUAGGGAAAAAUUAGAUGAAACACGUGAACCAUUGAGAGAGAAAGUAUGACGAAAAUUAGAAACUCAUUUAACGAAAAAUAAUAUUUACUUGGAAUCUAACCCAUGAUACUGGUACCUAAGGAACUUUAUAGGAAUAUGAAACGCAAAACCAGUGGACCAAUAAGUUGAAACAUGUGAACCAAAAAAUGAAAAACUAUAACCAAAUCUUGAGACUAAUCAAACCAAGCAAAAGUAAUAUUGAUAUUUAACCCAUAUAAUUGGAAUUUUACCAAAUUAGUUGGAAUAACGAAUGUAGAACUUGUGGAAUUACAAUUGAAAUACAUCAACAAAAAAUGGAGAAAGCACAACCAAAAUUAGAGACCUACAAAACCAAAAAUAAAUUUAUAGAAAAUAAAUUUGGUACCUAACCACAAUAAUUGGAAUCUCAACCAGUUAAUGAGAAUUCUCAACGCAAAACUAUAGGAAAAAUUAGCUGAAACACAUGAACCAUUAAGAGAGAAAUUAGAACGAAAACUUGGAACUUAUCCAACGAAGAAUGCUCGUGACUUGGAAUCUAACAACAAAUAUUGGUACUUGACUAAUUUAGUAGGAAUAUCAAAUGCAAAACUCAUUGACCAAUAAGUUGAAACAUGUAAACCAAAAGAUGAAAAAGUAUAACCAAAACCUGAGAAUAAUCAAACCAAGAAAAAGUAAUAUUGAUUUUUAACCCAUAUAAUUGGAAUUUUACCAACUUAAUUGGAAUAACGAAUGCAAAACCUGUGGAUUUACAAUUGAUAUACGUCAACCCAAAAUGGAGAAAGCACAACCAAAAUUAGGGACCUACAAAACCAAAAAUAAAGUUAUAGAAAACAAACCUGGUACCUAACCUCAGUAAUUGGAAUCACAACCAGUUAAUAGGAAUAUUCAAUGCAAAAUUGGGGAAAAAAUUAGAUGAAACACGUGAACCAUUAAGAGAGAAAGAACAACGAAAACUAGGAACUUAUCCAACAAAGAAUGAUAGUUACUUGGAAUCUAACAGUAAAUAUUGGUACUCGACGAAUUUAAUAGGAAUAUCAAACGCAAAAAUAGUGGACCAAUAAGUUGAAACAUGUGAACCUAUAGAUGGAAAAGAAUUACCAAAAUUUGUAACUAAUCAAACCAAAAAAAGUAAUAUAGAUAUCUAACCCAUAUAAUUGGAAUCUCGACAAAUUAGUUGAAAUAUUAAACAAAAAACUAGUGGAAUAAUAGUUGAAACACAUGAACCAAAUGUGGAGAAAGUUUAACCAAAUUUUGAAACUUAUCCAAUGAAGAAUGCUAGUUACGUGGAAUCUAACAACAAAUAUUGGUACUCGACGAAUUUAAUAGGAAUAUCAAACGCAAAAAUAGUGGACCAAUAAGUUGAAACAUGUGAACCUAUAGAUGGAAAAAUAUUACCAAAAUUUGGAACUAAUCAAACCAAAAAAAGUAAUAUCGAUAUCUAACCCAUAUAAUUGGAAUCUUGACAAAUUAGUUGAAAUAUUAAACGAAAAACUAGUAGAAUAAUAGUUGAAACACAUGAACCAAAUGUGGAGAAAGUUUAACCGAAUUUUGAAACUUAUCCAACGAAGAAUGCUAGUUAUUUGGAAUCUAACAACAAAUAUUGGUACUCGAUGAAUUUAGUAGGAAUAUCAAACGCAAAAAUAGUGGACCAAUAAGUUGAAACAUGUGAAUCUAUAGAUGGAAAAGCAUUACCAAAAUUUGGAACUAAUCAAACCAAAAAAAGUAAUAUCGAUAUCUAACCCAUAUAAUUGGAAUCUCGACAAAUUAGUUGAAAUAUUAAACUAAAAAUUAGUGGAAUAAUAGUUGAAACACAUGAACCAAAUAUGGAGAAAGUUUAACCAAAUUUUGAAACUUAUCCAACGGAGAAUGCUAGUUACUUGGAAUCUAACAAAAAAUAUUGGUACUCGACGAAUUUAGUAGGAAUAUCAAACGCAAAAAUAGUGGACCAAUAAGUUGAAACAUGUGAACCUAUUGAUGGAAAAGCAUUGCCAAAAUUUGGAACUAAUAAAACCAAAAAAAGUAAUAUCGAUAUCUAACCCAUAUAAUUGGAAUCUUGACAAAUUAGUUGAAAUAUUAAAUGAAAAACUAGUAGAAUAAUAGUUGAAACACAUGAACCAAAUGUGGAGAAAGUUUAACCGAAUUUUGAAACUUAUCUAACGAAAAAUAAAUUUAAUUGGAAUUUAACCCAAAAUAUUAGUGUUUAACGAGUUUAGUGGGAAUAUUAAACAUAAAACUAGUGGAUCGGAAAAUGGAGAUAAGCAAACCAAUUAGUGAGAAAGUUGAAUCAAAAUUAGGUAUAUGUGAAAUUAACUUGGAAUGUCACCUAAUAUAUUGAUAUUUAACCAAAAGAAUCGAGACAUGCUCAUUUUAAUUUUUUUAAACUUUUGUUGCAAUUAAAAAUAAUUUUUUCACUUAAAUAUUGUUUGUGUUAAAUAUUUACAAAAUUUCCUUAAUUUUUCCUGUUUCAUUUUAUUUUUUCUACAUUAAAAAUAAUUUUUUAAAAAUUAUUAAAUGAACAACCGGUAAAAUACCGGUUGUUCAAGUUUCCUUUUUACUGUUGAAGGGGCUGUAUUUUAUACAGCACUGUACUAUAGGAAGACUCAACUUAUUGACAUCUUCUCAUAUAACCUUCGAUCAAGUCGAUUCUGACCUGACGACUAAUUGGUACAUCACCGUUGUUCUCUAUACUCGCAUGCAUCGGAUCACAAAUCUCACUCCAAUUGUCGUCUUUCUUCGCCGUUUUAGCGCAUACUUCUUGAAUUUCCCGCAUUUCGUUCCCUCCUGUUACAAGUCUCCGGUCAGGUCAGUGAUUGAAUUUCCCGCAUCUCUAUCCCUCCCGUUUUCUCGCGUCGUUUCACUUCAAUUUCUCGUGUCUCCUUUCAGUUUAAGUGAUUGAAUCAAUUUUAUCGCAGUCAUAAGAGAAAUUAAGUAAUGCUCUUGGAUUUAAAAUUUUUUUGCUUUCGACUUUAGAUCUCGAAAGUCAAACUCUGCUACGAAUCCAUAGAUUCUCAAUGCUCAUAAUCUUAUUUGUGUUUGACCAGGUAACUGGAUCGUGAAAUUCGUCGUUUUGUAUCAAUUCAAGCUUUCGCGAGCUCAUGGAAUCACCUGGUGAGUUGUGGUGAAACGUUAUCGUUUCAAUUUUCGCUUAAUUCUUUAUUGCAUAUUUUUUUCUCUAAUGUUUCAGUUUAAUUUAGAAAAGAAAGAGGCCCCAAAAAGAGAGAGAGAGAGAGACUCUACCAUACUCAAUUCCUUGCUCAUUCUGAUUUGGCCUGAAUGUUGGCAUUGACUAUUAUUUGUUUUCAUUUCGAUUUAAUUCUCAUUUAGACAGUCUUUACUAACGGUCAAUAAUAGUUUAAGGAAAAUGAUCAUAGGGAUUCUGCAAUAAUCUUUCUGCAUUGUUCAAGUUAGUAGACAAUGAAUAGGAUGUUUAUGUUUACCUCAUUUUGAACCCUGAGGGCUUCGUUGAGUAGUUGAUUCAACAUAUCCAGCAACGGUUGAUGUGAGAACAGAAUGCCACUUAGAUAGGCUUAAACUGAUUUUGGAGGUUUGUAUUGGUUCUAUUGUACGUCUUGCUUACAAAUUUUUAAUUUUUAAUUUUGUAUAAUAUGCUCUUUGUUGGUAAAUCUCAUUUGACUUAGAAGAGAUAGUUUUAUCCCAACAGUGGGAUAAAUCAUUGAGAUGCAUGGCAGUGUGAAUAUAGUAGACAAAAUCAUUGAGACACAUGGUGGUGUGAACAUAGUAAACUUUGUCAAACACAGCUAAGAUAAACAAAUUGUUUCAUUAGCCUUUACCUUAUCUGCUGUGAUGAUUCAAAUUAAUGCUGUUUGGUAGGUUGCAAAAAACGAAAUGAGCUGUCUGUUCGUAUUAUUUAGUCAGAUCUAUUGCAAUAAGUUGAAGUUCAUUGUCACAUGGGUUGGGAGUAGCGUGGGCUGUGAGUAGUAGAAUGGAUUUAUGGAGUUGAUACAAGUGCCCAUAAUCUAUCAUGUCAUUCUAGGAUUAAAUGGAUUGCACAUUACUGUAAAGAUGGAGGUUAAAUUUAUAUAAUUCGGAUUGAUUGUAAAAUGGGAGGCAGAGAUGAGUUAGAAAAAGAAUGACCUGUGUCCUUUUUGAGCUGUUUCUAAAUCUCCCUGGUGUGCUUCAUGCUUAACACGUGUCUUUCCAAAUAAUUUUGCUUAACCUGUGCUUGUCUACUUCUUGUGCUAUUCUGUGCCUGGUCCUGAGCUGUGUUGGUAGAUUGACAUAAUUUUGCUCUGCUAAAUGUAUAACUUAUUAAUCAGAGUCCUGUUAUUAUGGUUUGACACUACUGACAUAUUGUGUUGGUAUUUAUUUGUACUUCCCUUGGUUGAAUUAUUUGCUGUCUCCAUGCAAUUCGAUAUGGUGCUACUUGGUUUUUGAUCAUCCAUGACGCUAUAUAUAUGUAAAGGAUGAAUUGAUUGUUUUGGCUUGUAUUCUCACAUUUUAUGAUUGAUCGAUGGAAAGGUUUUCAUGCAUUAAAUUCAACCUCACAAGCGUAAGAUUGACAGAUUGUGGGCAAAUUUUCAGGAAAAGAAACUAGACUUCAUGGAAGCAAUGAAGCUUGAAAUUGAACGUCUGCAGCUGAAUCUUUCUGCAGCUGAAAGGGAUAGAACUUUAUUGUCAAUUGGAACUGAUCCUGCCUCUAUAAAUCCAAAUGUAUUGCUUGAUGAAUCUUACAUGGGAAGACUGUGUCGAGUAGCAAACACUCUUGCAUUACUUGGCCAAGCUUCCCUAGAAGAGAAAAUUGUUGGUGCAAUUGGCCUUGAGAAUAGUGGUGAUAGUGUUUUAGACUUCUGGAAUAUUACUAGAAUCGGAGAGAGUUGUUCUGGUGGUGGGUGCGAGGUUUGUGCAGAAACUAAGGUGCCUGCUCUUGCUUCCUCAACUGCAACAUCUGUUGGAUCUUCACAAUCCCCUUUGUUGUGUUCUCAAUGUGAAAGAAAAGUUUGCAAAGUUUGUUGUGCAGGAAGAGGAGCUCUACUGUUUUCAAAUUAUAAAUCAAGGGAUGUGACCAACUACAAUGGCUUCUCAAGUCAGAGUGGAUCAAGCCAUGGAAGCCAAGUUGAUGUAGCUACCAGUCGUUCACUAACACUGGAUGGCGUUAUCUGUAAACACUGUUGCCAUGAGAUGGUGCUUGAUGCAUUGAUGUUGGACUAUGUUAGGGUCUUGAUUAGGUUGCGAAGAAGUUCCUGUGCAGACAACGCAGCAUACAAUGCUUUGAAUGAGGUUGUUGGAUCCUGCUUAAAGGAUAGUCUUUCUGAGAGGAUUCAGUCUUCCGAUAAUGCGCAAGCAGCUAAAGUCCUGCACCAAUUAUGUGGUGGACAGGAAGCACUUGCUGAAUUUCCAUUUGCUAGCUUUUUGCACUCGGUAUGUUCUUGGUUUGUAUUCAGUUCUCAUCAUAUUAUGUUUUCCUUUUAAAUUUCAUUUCUUGAUUAAAAUUUUUAGAAAUGUGUUUUAGCAUUUAUUCUUAUGAUAUAUGCCCGGAACAUUCAUCCCACUUAUCCAUGAGAAUCCUUGUCUGGUUUGAUUUUCAAUUGAGACAUUUUUGGGAACCCUGCGCAGGUUCCAUAUGCUAAUAAUCUUUGAGGUAAGGUGUUGUAGGAUGCCUUGAGAAGCUAAAAACCCAUUACAAGGAAAAGGUCUUGCAUUGUUUUGUGCAAUCUGUGUGCGAGCUAGUCAUGUCUCUAAUAAUUUCAUAGUUUGCUUGAUUGGAAUUUUUUAUCUUGAUAUGGAUUGUUUAUUCUAGAUUCCUUGGUGCCACUGUAGGUUGAAACAGCAAAAGAUUCAGCACCGAUUUUGUCACUGCUUGCUCCAUUAAAUUCUGGAUCAAGGCACUCAUAUUGGAGAGCUCCACCUAGUACUACUUCUGUUGAAUUUGUUAUUGUUCUCGGUUCUGUUUCUGAUGUCAGUGGGGUUAUCUUGCUUGUUAGUCCUUGCGGCUAUUCUGUGGCUGACACUCCGAUGGUAAGUGCCAUAUUUAUUCCCUUAUUUCCUUGUUGUUCAAUAAAUUUGGUGAUAAGCCAAGUGGCCUUAAUAAUGAAGCCCAGUACCAGGGUUGGUGGGUAAUAGAUAUUCAACUUGUGAAUAUUCCUAAGCAAACACUGAAUCAACAUAUACCUCGGCUAAAGUUCUCUAUGCUAUUAUAACAAAAGUCAUAUUUUGAAAUGAUUAAAAGAGUCCCUGUGUAGUGCCAUUUCCAAAGAAAUUGCAGCUGGGGGUUUAGUUUCAUGUAGGUUAGUUUCCGAUAAUAAACUUUCUAUUUCAUUAAUUGCUGAUGAAAAAACCAAGUAAGAACAGUUUUGUUGCUCGUCAUUUUUGUAUAUUUUGGUAAACUGUAAUUUUAAAUUCUCAACGAUCUUCCCUUUGUAGGUAAGAAGAUGGUCCACUCACUUGAUAUUUAUGAUUGUAGAUCAGGUUUCUAUUGGUUUGCCUUUAUCAUUUAGAACCCAUGUUUGAUAUUAACAGAGAUCACGUCAAUAAUAUCCUAUUUGGGUAGAUGUGGGUGAGGAUUUAAAAUCAAAUUUGAAAUUGAGGGGAAAGAAGAGAAAAGGAACCACAAUAAUUAAACAAAAUAAUAGGAACUAUUCUGAUGAGUUUUAAUCUCGAGAGGAACAAUUUUCAAAUGCACUGCUAGAGAAAUUGUAGCUUUUUGUCAUUAGUUAAAAGGAAAAAGAAUAAGAACUAUCCGGCCCUUUCCUUCAUGAAUGUGUGUUGAGGUUGCUGUAUUAUUUAGUCAGUAUUUGUAAUUUUCUUCCCUGCAGUGCUCUCUGCCUCCUGAAUUUGCUUCCUAUUGCUGUUACAGGUGCAAAUCUGGGCAAGCAAUAAGAUACACCAGGAGGAAAGGUCAUCAAUGGGAAAAUGGGAUGUCCAAUCCCUCAUCACAUCUUCUUCAGAUUUGUAUGGUCCAGAAAAGUCUGCUAGUGUUGAAAAAUUACCUAGGCAUGUAAAAUUUACUUUUAAGAAUCCUGUUAGGUGCCGCAUUAUUUGGAUCACAUUACGUCUUCAGAGACCUGGUUCGGCUUCAGUUAAUUUCGGGAAGGACCUCAGUCUUUUGUCUCUUGAUGAAGAUGAAAACCCCUUUGCACAAGUAGACAGACGUGCUUCAUUUGGAGGAGCAGUUGAAAAUGAACCAUGUAUUCAUGCCAAAAGAAUUCUUGUAGUCGGAAGCCCAGUAAAAAGGGAGGGGCUUACCACAUCACAGAGCUCUGAGCAGCUAAGUAUUAGAAACUGGUUGGAUAGAGCUCCACAAAUGAGUAGAUUCAAGGUAUUAGUUGCUUUCACUCUUUGUUCAUUCAUAAUUCCAGCUUUCUGCUUCACUGAUAAACCUCUUUUUUCUCUUCAGGUCCCAAUUGAGGCCGAGAGAUUGAUGGACUACGAUCUCGUCUUGGAACAGUAUCUACCUCCAGCGUCACCUUCGCUUGCCGGAUUCUGUCUAGACGCUUUCAGUGCAAUAAAACCUAGGGUUACCCAUUCACCUUCCUCAGAUUCAGAUAUCUGGGACAAAUCAGUAACAUUUUUAGAAGACAGGUACAUCUCUCAAGCUGUAUUGUAUUUACAAGUAUCCGCACUCCAGGAACCACAUAACAUGGUAACUAUUGCGGAAUAUCGACUGCCGGAGGCUAGAGCCGGAACGCCAAUGUACUUUGAAUUCCCACGACCGAUACAGUCCCGACGAGUUUCAUUCAAGCUUCUUGGAGAUGUUACAGCAUUUGCAGAUGAACCUUCAGAACAAGAUGAUUCAGGAUUGAGAGCUCCACUUGUGGCCACAGGUUUGUCUUUGUCAAACAGAAUCAAGUUAUAUUAUUAUUGUGAUCCUUAUGAGCUUGGAAAAUGGGCAAGCCUUUCUGGAGUUUGAUCGUUAUUUAUAUGUCAGAGAAAGAGUUUUGGGUUUGAUUUUGAUUUUGAUUUGUAAUUUUUGUCAGUUUAUUGAAAUUUUUUUGUUGUAUAAAAGCAGAAUGUAAAGGUAUAAAAAUUCAUUGAUGCUGCAAUGUCUGUGCUUUUGAGAAAGAAGAAUUCAAUGUCUUUUCUAUGCCAUUGGAUUUUCCCACUGCUUGUAAACUUGGGCUGUCGAGUGCUCUGUGAACCUUAAGGGCUAUAAAGUAAUUUUUUAGACUGAAGGAUUUAUUAAUCGAGUUCAAAAGAUUGCAAGUUGGUGAGCGUUGGCAUUUAAAAAUCAAUUGUUAUUCUCUCAAUAAUCUCUCUCUUCUGCCGACACCCCAAGCUCAGAAACCCAUUGUUCCGACGGACGUGUAACACUUCCAGAAAUUAGCCUUUUCUUCUAUAUGAAGGUUGAUCUCUCCUCGUGAAGUGAAGGUGGUUUUCCAAUUACAUACGUCGGGGGUCUUAUGAUAUCUAAUGUGUGAAAUUUCUUUCUCAUUUUACCAUAAAGAAAAGUUCUGUAAUGAUCUAAAGUUGGGAGUCUUAAAUUAUCUUAAAUUUAUAUUUAGAGUGGAGUUAUUGGCACCCUACAUUAUUCUUACAAAAUUCUAUUUUAAAUAAAAUUAUAAUUAAAGACAAUUGAAAAUUAUAGAUUUUUUUACAGCAAAUUACUUAAGUCAUAAUUAAUCCUUAAAAAAAAAUCUAUAUGUUACUUCUUAUUUAAUUAAAAUAAAUUGUACAAAUUUAAAAUAAUUUAUUGUUUUCUUUUGAUUUUUUAUUGAUUAAAUAUUUUUAUACUUAAAAUUACUUUGAAAUUAUAAUUUAAAAUAUGUGUUAUAUGCAAUAGUUCGAUUUACCGAACCACAAAGGGAGCCAAUGUGGUUUUGCCAAAAUCACAUACUGUAGCAUAAUAACAGAUAUUAUUAUUGUAUAAUAGAUGGGUUUAGAAAAAUUGAAGAACCAAGUAAGUUAUUUGAAAAAUGUCGAUUCUCGUACCAAACCCAUGUUUUAUGCCAAUUGUUUUUGGAUUGGAGUGCAGGCAUUAACAAUGAUGGAGAUGGAGGAACUGUAGCAUUAGUCAUAUGAAGAGUACGUGUCAGGUUUGAUUUUCAUGUGAUUUGGUUAGUGACGACGAAAACGACGACGUCGUAGUUGAAAAGCGUUUGAAUUAAUGUUGCGUUAAAAAAAAAAUUUAACUUGUUCCACUAAUUAAGUCAACAUUACUGAUGUCUUAUCACCCUCGGCCAACUUAACAAUUGGUGUCCUUUGGACAAUUAAAUAUGAUUUAUUCAAAAAAAAUAAAACUAUUAAAUAUUAAAAAUUAGGUCCAUUAAUAAUAAUAAUAAUAAUACUAAGAAUUAAGAAGAUCUAAUUACAUAUCAAAAUGACUCAAACAAAUUAAUUAAUUUCAUAUUAGCUAGCCAAGUAGGUUGUCCAUCCCACUCAGACAUGCACGAAAGCUAAAUUCAUCAAAUGAAUUACUUAAGGAGUAUUUGAUAAUUUUGAAAUUAUAAUUUCAAAUUAAAAUAGUAGUAGCAAAAUCGUAGUGCACAUUCAAUUAACCAACUAAUAGUCUAAGAAGCAAAGAGAGGAUUACAAGUUCACAACACCAUUAAAAAGGAUUCAAAAUUCCCACACGAAAACAUCAAUGUACAGAUUAUAAACAAUCCGAAUUGGACACAAGAAAAAACCCUUCAAUGGAUUGCUUGCCUUCCCAAUGCUAUAUACUGUGCAAACUGCGCACUGGCCAAGAAAAUAUUUUCAAUUUAGUGUAUUUUCAAAAUGCUUAUUUUCUCAGAAUAUAAAAAAAAAAAAAACAAAAAAAGAAUUCUUACAUGUUUCAUCAGCAUGAUUAAAAUCAAAGAAGAAAGCGAAGACAUAAUGUCUCUGACAUAAUAAAAUUACAAUUUCAUGCAGCAGAGAUUGAAGAGUUGAAUUCCACUUAUAGACACCGACCUCUUGUUUUGUCUAAUGUUAAUAACGAAAACAACAACAGAGGAUUAACUGAUGCUUUGACUUAUUAUCAGGUUGCAAUGAAUUAUUAACUGAUGCUUUGACUUAUUAGUUCUGCUGCUAAGUUAAAUAAAAUAAGGUAUUUUCAAAAGCAAAAUGGAAUACAUAGAUAAAACAUCAUCUUAAACAAAUCAUAAUCUAGAAUUGGAGACAUACCCAAGGAGAAAGAAUACGUGAAAAUGGGUGAUUCAUUUGUUAAGGAGUGUUGAUUUGGUCGUCUCUGCAAAUUCUUUAGGGACUCGGUUCCAGUUCCUCUUCAUCAAAACUGUAAUAUAAUUCCCCUUCAUCAGAACUCGAAUCGAUGCAAUAAAAUUCCCCUUCAUCAGAACUCGAAUCAAAUUCACUUGCAGCAGUUCCACUCGCGCUUGGCAAAUCAUCCAAUUUCCAAACUUCGGUAGCAAAAUUGAGAGUAAAAGUGUUGGCUUUGGUCUCUCUGGGAUUUGCAUAUACUGGACAUACUCCGCAACGUUUUAGCUUAGUGAAGAACUUAAAUGAGGCAGUUGUAUGAUGGUAACCAUCAGGAAACCCAACAUUCAAGCAAGGUUUAAAACCAAGUAUGACAUGAUCUGAAUCAAGGGAGCCAGUGCACACCAUGAAACCCAGAUCAACAUGUUUGGUUUCAGAGAGAGUCUUUAUUUCUAAGUCGAGUUGAAAGCGGACGUAAAUAUUGCAGCAAUAACAAGAAUGAAGGUGCUUAAAAUCAAGAACAGCACAAAAAGCAAACCCGAUUAAGUUUCUGCAAGAAGACUGCGGUGGCAGUUGAAUACAUAUCGAAGAUCCUGAACUUUGAUUGCUGAACCAGUCAGGAAUUUCGCUUCCAGGUAAAACAAUUAGGGAUCCCCUCAGUUCAGAAAGUUUCUGUGAAAUGACAUUUAAAAAAAAAAAUUGUAAAAUGAAAACCAUGAUUUCAGAUAUAACAAAGAGGGACAGAGUAAACAAGAGAGGGAAUUUGAUACCUCGUUGAUUGCCUUUUCAUAGCCCAGUCUCAGUGAUGCAAUUGCCACAUGCCGAAUUCUUAGUUGUGAAUCUGCCAAAAUCUUGUUGUUUGCUUUUCCAUUCAGUUUCAAGCAGUUAGUAAACCCAAAAUAAAUUGGUUGUGACUCCAGAAGUCCGGUUGCCCAUUGACGAAGGUCAGGAGAGGGUUUCGAUAGCUUUUCUAGUACGGAUGCAUCUAGUUCUUGCAGACAUGACGGAAUCUCUGGCAAAGAUUGAAGCCGGUUGCAGUUCGUUGCAUCUAGUUCUUGUAGACACAAUGGAAGUUCUGGUAAUGACCGAAGCAUGUUACAACCCGUCAAGUGAAGAUAUUUUAGACACAAUGGAAGUGCUGGUAAUGACUGAAGCAUGUUACAACGCCUCAAGUCAAGAGAACACAGCCGCGACAGUUGCUUGAUACUUGCAGGUAAACUCUCAAAGUUAUUUCCACGUAGAUCCAAGCUUUUCAGUGAGGAUAGAUAGGCAAUCUCUUGUGGAAUUUCCAUUACAGCACAGUUCAUUAUGUAUAGAAGUCCCAAAGAAGAUAAACCUAAUAAUAAUGAUCGAGGCAAUGAUACCAAACCUUUGCAGCGAGAGAAAUCAAGAAUUAAAAGUGCGUUUGAAUCUGCAACAGAGGAUGGUAGUUGACUAAUAGCUGAUCCAGCUGCUGAGAUGUGACGCAAAGAUUCUAAAUUGCCAAUGUUAUCCGGCAACUUAUCAAGUUUAGAGCAAUCACUUACGAACAAUUCUUCAAGCCCCGGUAGAUUUUCAAAUGACGAUGGCAGCUCUGUAAUUGCCGUCCCGUCUAAAUUGAUGCGUUUUAAAUGUUCCAUUUUCUCCAAGAUUUCUGGGAAGCGCUCAAGGUUCAAGCAGCCAUUAACAAAAAGAUCAACCAAAGAUCUCAAUUUACAAAACCUAGUUGAAAUCCUCUUCAGCCGUUUGCAAUCCCUCAAAUCCAACACUUCAAGAUCAGUUAGGCACUCUAUUGAUGAUGGAACUUCUUCUAUUGCAGACUGGUCUAAGUAUAGCCGUGUAAUUUUCCCAGAAAUCUGUGGAAACUCUAUGAGAGUAACACAAUAGGAGAAAUUAAUAGUUACUGGACAAACAAAAUGAAGAUUGCUUGGAAAAGACCUAAGACUUUUGCAGCCCUCAAAAGACAGCGCACUGAGAUACUUGAAAUUCUGGAUAGAUGAGGGAACACAAGCCUUUUCUCCUUCCCAAGGUUGCUCAACUUUACUAAAACGCAAAUUCAGUUCAACAAGGUUCUUUGGCUUGAAAUUUGAUGGCAGUAUCCUUAAUGGAUAUGUGUCCCAAUGAAGAUAUCUCAAUUUUUCAGGAAGAUAUUCUAGGCCAUUUGGAAGCUGCACUUCAGAGUAUGAAAGUUGCUCUUCAAUGCUCAUACUUAGAAACCUUUCAAUCUCAUAAAACUUACUUGGAAACCUUUCAAUCUCAUAAAACUUAGGUACAUAAAAUUUGAGCAAUCUCAGAUUAGACAUAUUUGUGAAGGCUCCGGGGUCUAAAUUGAUGCAUUUUAUUUUGGACAAAUCCAGAAAUAUGCCUUCAAUUGCAUCGGUCCCCUUAUAAAAAAAAAAAAACAAAGAAUGAGUAAGCCAAAAAUAAAAAAGCAACAUGCGUAAACUUUAUUAACUAAGAGCUCCUUAAACAAAAACAAAUUCUGCAAUCUUUGAUUUUAUUUUUUUAAUAUAUUAAAUAUCUAUAUGCGAGAAAAGAAAAUUUUGGGGACCAUUGCAAAAUUAAACUAACCGAAAAAAAAUUCAAAAUUUCUCUAAUUUACAAUCCUAUUAUCUUAAUAUCUAGAAGUUGAGAAGAGAGUGCCUAUUUGAUUGGUAUAAGAUUUCGAAAUUUUUUUUUUUUAGUCGAUAGAAUCCAAAAUGUUAGUUCAAAAUUAGGGAAAAAAAUAAAAGUCAUUUUUUUUCCACUAGUUAAAACUGUAUCCAAGUCAAAUUAAGAUACGACCCUUUUUAAAAAGAUUUAACCAUCUUACAGCCUCCUUAAGGUACAUUUAAGCUAAAAGGAGUAAUUUGAGGCAGAACUAGGUGGUCCAAUCAGUCCAUUUUAUUAGUGUCUGUUGCUUAAAAAAUUUAUACUCUAAAACACACUUUUUUGGAAAAAAAAAUAUAAUUACAUUGAAGUAGAAUCAGGUGGGCCAAUCCUCAUGGCACUCACUUUAUUUUGACACUCUUCACUAAAUUUGAAGAAAAAUAAAAUUAUACUCUUCACACUCUUAUUCAACAUUCCAAAAUUGAUAAAAUCUGGAGUUUUCUUUAAAAAUUUAAAAUUUGAAGACUUGUUCUCUUGACACCCUCAGUCAUUAAUUUUACCUAAUUAUGGUUUUUAUGAUUUUGGUUGUUUUGUUCAUAAAAAUGAUUUUACUAAAGGAUGCUCUGGUAAUAAUAAAAUUUAUAAAAAAAAAUGGGUGUGCUGGUAUGAUUGGAAAAAUAUGAGUGCAUAACUCCAAACAAAUAAAAGAUAUAUAAAAUAAAUGGAGGAUUCUUACCUUUUUAUGCUUGAGUACGCGGCGGAUUUCCUUAGGAUCCCACAACCUGCUGCGUUUGCCAGGCUCUUUCUCAGAUUCUUGGCGAACAAUCUGUCGCCCCAUUUCUUGCAAUAAAUCAUGCAUUUGCAAGCAAUUACCUGAUAUUGAUAUGAGUGACUUAUCAAUAAGGACAUCCAGUCCAUCAGACUCAGAAUCAUCAAGAAUCCUUGCCACAAAAUCUUUAUCCUCUCCCUCAAAGAAACACGCAAUAUCUAGAAACAAACUCUUCACCCUAGGAAUUAAUUCAUUAAAACUAAUCUUUAAUAUUUCAUAAAUAUUAUGAAUAUCAGAUUCACAAAUCCGAUUUAAGUCGUGCAAUACAUUUUCCCAAUGGCUUUUCCUCUUGAGGCACAGGGAGGAACCCAACACUUUAAGAACUAAGGGAUUGCCUUUGGCAUACUCUACAACCCUCCGUGAGUGCCAGUUGAGAUUUGUAGGACAAUGAUUUUCUUUAAAAGCGAAGUUACAAAAAUGCUCGAAAGCCUCUUCAAAUUCCAAUCCAUUAACCCUAUGUAUUUUCUUCUCCUCCCCUCUAAAUUUUUCGAGGACUCCUUUAUCCCUGGUGGUUACAACAAUUCUACUUCCUGGACCAAAUUGAUCAAGCUCUCCAAUCAGACCCUCUAAUUGUCCAACUUCAUUCACAUCAUCGAGUACUAUCAACACCUUCAUACGCCAGACCCUCUCUUUAGUAAAAUGUGGAAUAUUGGCACCAGCUACUUCAAGUUUUUCGCUUAAUAUUGUGGAAAGCAUUUCCUUUUGGAGAUGUUCUAAUCCACCUCCUGUUUCAGAAUUUCUCCUAACAUCUGACAUAAAGCAGCUACCAUCAAACUCACCAGUGAAUUGAUCGAAAAUAGCUUCAGCAAGGGUGGUUUUGCCUAUACCGCCCAUGCCCCAAAUUCCAACAAUUUGGACAGUAUCCGACAAAUCCAUACACAAAAAUGGUUUAAUCUGCUCAAUUCGUGAAUUUAAUCCAACUAGGCCAUUGGAUGAGUCCGUUGCGACUGUUAUUUUUUCCAAAUUCUUCAAAACAUCUUCGACAAUUUUGUUUACAAGUUCCGCAUCGUGCCUAAUAUAAAGGUGCAAAGAUGCAAAAACAUUGAGUCAAAUCGGGCCAAGACAGAAACAGAGAUAAGAUGAAUUAGGAAAGAGAGUUACCUGAAUUUCGUGGAUUCGUGGCCAGCAAGACCGGAUGUUUCUCUCAGUGCAUCCCUCCACCUCUGAACCAUUUCUGGCUUCUCUUCGAAGUGUUGUUUCAGCUGAUCAAAACCGUGCUUAAAAAUUCCAGUUUGAUGCCGCACAUCGGAUGGACUUACUCCAUAGAAAACCGGAAUAAUGAUUUGGCGGUUUGUGUGCUUGCAUUCAAGAAUCUUGACAAGUUCAUUCAGGCACCAUUUUGAAGAACCGUAGUCCUUUGAGAAAAUGACCACCGAAAUUUUUGAACCUUGGAUUGCGUUCAAAAGGGCAUCUGAAAUCUCAUCUCCUCGCCUAAGCUUUUCAUCAUCCAUAAAUGUUUUGAUUUUCUUUUUGUCAUACAAAUCAUCAUAGAGAUGGCAAGUAAAGAUCCUACGAGUGUCCUCCCCUCUAAAAUUGAGGAAGACUUCAUAAAUGCAAGAAGAAGAAGAAGAAGAAGAAGCAGCCAUGAAGGAAAUUUUAGAAAAUUGGUGACAGAAACAGAGAAUUAAUCUUGAGAGUUGAGAGAGGAGAUGUAAGAAUGAACAUGUGUGAAGAUUCUUGCAAGCACACAGAAAAUAAUUGAAUGGCUGGAGCUUUCUUAGUUUCCUGGAAAUUUCCUGGAGCUUUCAUAUACAUGAUUUGUCAAGUCAAGAAACAUAAUCAUGAUAAUGGGGCAGACCAGGAAGAAAAGAAAACUUGAUUCAACCAAUAAAGGAAGGAAAAGCAAAGAAAGAAAAUUUGAAAGUAGAUUCAGAGAAUUAUAAAAAGCUAAAGGAAAUUGGAAUUUUGUACAAUUUCUCCAGCGAAAAUUAAGCAUAGAAUAAUCCUAAAAUUUAAACUCUAAUAUCUUAUAAUGUAUUGAUUAAAAAUAAUCCUAAGAGUUCCCAAUUGAAACUUUCAUAAGUAUUUUAAUUGUUUUGGAUAAACAAAUUGUACUAGGAUAAAAAUUUGGCAAAUUCAGAGGAUAAUGGAAAAUAGUUAUGCUUCAAUAGGCCAAAGAUUAGAGAACAAACAAGAAUUAGUUAUUGAUACACAAAAGAGAAACACUCCAAAAUUUCAAGCAAAAAUAGUUUCAUAUACCAUUUCGAUUUUGGAAGGGGUGAGGUUUUGAACUUCAAUAGUUUCCUCUAAAAUUAAAAGGCAGCAAUUAAACUAGAAAGAGCAAUGAAGACUUAUUGGUACUUUAUUGAAGGUAAACAUUAUGAAACUUUCAAUGUCAUUACCUCAUUGUUCAAUUUUUAUUGAGAUUUGUGUAAGCAUUUAGCUAAAUCUUACCUCCGCCUUUAAAUUCAUUAGUUUUGAUUAAUUAUGAGACCUGGGAGAUAUUAUAAUCGAACUAAAACUUAAAAUUUCAAUAUCAUUAUUCUUUAAAAAGAAAUUGAGAUUUCAGAGUAAUAUCACAUAGAAAAACUUGCCCACGGACGGUAAGCCAAAAGUCUAGUCAACCACACGCAUAAAGCUAACUAGAACAAGAGAACAGAGAAACGCGUGGGUCCCUAAAAGAAAAGGCGUGGGUCCCAAAAGUCUAGUCAACCAUACCGAUGAAAAUCACUGAUUAAGAAUAAUAUAUUAUGUGGUUGAAGAUUUCUUUUUAUCAAUCUUCUUUCUACCCAUUAAUUUUCCCACGACUUUCCGGUUUCAUUUCUUGAAUCUCCAUGGAUUAACUUUCAAUAAACCAUAAAAUAAACUAAGGAAUCAUUUUCUCGAACACAGCUAUGAUUUUAAUAAAUGGGCGGACCAUCUAGAAUAGUAUAUAUAAUUCUGUUUAAUUAAUAAGUUGAAAAAACCAUAAAGAGAAAUUCUAAUAUUAUGAGCUUGACACGAAUUCUUCACUAAUUCCAAAACAAGGAGCUGUUUUAUAAGAACUGUGGUUGGAUUAUUAAGUUUUACAAUUUGAAUAUAAAUAAGAAAAUAAAAUCAGUCGCGUCGAUGUUUUCGAUACAUUUCGAUGCUAACUUAAUUAAUUACUUUACUUCAACUUUAUUUCCUGACGGACACUAUAUGGUGGGUCCAAGAUGGGACCUACAAUAAUCAAUCCUAGAAUUUAGUAUGGUUACCAAAUAGCUAGUGUUAUUUUGUGUUUGGUGGAAGAGAUUGAAUAUUUAGUUUUAACAUAACCAUUCAACUAAUUAGAAAAUAAAUAAAGUUAAAUGAAAUGUUUAGAUAUCAAUUUAAAUAUUAAUAUCCGGGAUAUAAAUUAGUUAUAAUAUAGUUCAUUACAUAAAAUUGAUUAAAUUAAUAAUUACACAUGAACAUAGAUGUAUAUGCUUUCCAAUUUCCAAAGUGCUCAAAGCACUUUUCUCACCAAACUUUCCUCUGAAUUUCCCGUAGCUGACUCCAUUGUUUGCGUUUUGUGAAAUUUCUAGGAACUUUUUCUAUUUAGAAUAUUGUACAUUUUUCUUUUCAGCUGAGAUUAAUUUAACUUAUAGAAAAUCUUAUCCUUUUUUUAAUAUUAUUUAAAUAAAAUUUGUCUAUCUUUCAUUUUAUCAGUCUACUUUUUACCCAUUAAUUAAGACUUUUCGAUUUCUUUUUUUCCUGAGGUUUUCAGUGACUAUCUUUCAAUAAACCAUAAAAAUUAAUGAGUCAUUUAUCGAACAAUUAGAUGACCAUAUUUCAAAAUAUCAACUAGAAGUUGCCCUGAAAUAUUUAAUUAAUAGUUGAAGAAUUGUGAUUAGUGUGGGCAUCUACAUAAAAAUUAUAUUAAAACACCGCUAAAAGAUAAAAAUAAAAUAAAAUAGUACAAACAUACACCCAUAGGUUAAAACAAAGAAAAAACACGAACCAAUACACUAAAAUGUUUUAGCUGUAGUUAGUUUUCAGUUUCAUUACUUAAGUCCCACGUGCAUGUCACGUGACUGAGGUCAAAAAAUGAUUGUCAGAUUAAAGUUCAAAGUACGGAGCAGGGUAAUUAAGGAGUGGAGCUAUUGGCACCCCUCCAUUAUUCUUACAAAACCCCACUUUAAAUCAAAUUAUAAUUAAGAAUAAUUGAAAAUUAAACACUUAUAGAUUUCUUUACAACAUGUUUAGUGAUAAAAAAGCACCAGUCGGGCAUGUCCCCAUUUCUUACCCGGGGCCGAAUCUCCUCGGCCGAAUGGUAUGAGUAGACUCUUGGUGAUGUGUUCUAUGUGGAGCACGUAAAACAGACCAGGAACUAGUACCAACCAGAAACGAGUACUGAUCAGAAACAAGCAUGACCAGAAACGCAUACCGACUAGAGACUUGUGGGUCCCUAAAAGAAAAGGCAAGCACAUAAACGAAAAAGCCAUUACAUUUCUAUUUUACAUGUCAUUCCUAAUUUUUGUAACACGGUGUGGCAGCAUAUGCACAAUCAAAUGAGGCAAAAGGGAUUCGACUAUCGUGGCAGAACAUGGACGAGGAUGCGUGAUGAAUAAUUCCUUCGAUAAAACGAAAAACAAAUGCAGAGAAAAGAAUUUCUUAUAUGACAAGAAAUUAAAGUAAUGUGACGGAACAUGAUGAAGAAAUUGCAGAUCGAUCAAUUAUCCCCAUGGACUCCUAUAAAUUCAACCAAAAUAACAAUUCCAAUAUUACCAAAUUCUUGAGUUAAAUUUAUUCAAUGCUUUUUUUUUUUAGAGAAAUUUUUUCCAAUGCUACUUUCCCUUUUUUGGGGAAAUUAGAACUGCGGCAUGUAUAGAAGACAUUGAGGUAUAAAGCAACAUUAAUUUCAUGGGUUAUGCGUUAUACGCAUAAUAUAUUGUCAGUCCAAAUUCAACUAUACAAAGAGGCUUGAGAACUUAAAAUUAAGCACAAACUAAACAGACGAAGUAAAUACAUGAUUAUGCAACAUAACAUUAAUUCUCUUAAUUUAUAACUGUUUUUGCCACAUGAAUCUUGCACAGUUAAUCCUAAUUGAAGACUAAAAAAGAACAAUUGGAACAAGGUUUUGAAAUAGAAUGAUAUACAAUCGAUAUGAUCCAUUUCCAGUCGUCAACGCUAAUUAACUGCAGUUUCUAGACUCCUAAUUAUACUAGCCAUAAGAAACUGUUUAGAAAACUGGUGAUCAGAUUAGAUUUUGAAAAGAAAUAAUUUUCAUUUUCCCUUCGCUACCUUUUUUUUUUAAUUAUUUUUAUACCAAAGAAUUCUAUCAUGAAAAGAAUCAAUUUAAUCACCUUUUCCAGCAGCACAAUUUUUCUUUUAUAAAAUUUGACCACAGAGACAAAGAAGAAUUAUUCAUACCUUCAUCAGUAAGGAAAUACUUUUCAUUAUGGCUAGGGUGAGAAAAGGCUUUCCACAACACUUGUACUUUGUAUUCCUGUAAAUUUUCUUUAAAGUCAAUAAAAACCAUAAGUUCUUUACAAUAACCAUCUCUUUGAUAAAAAAGUGCCGUAUUCCUUUAGAAUUUAAAACCGGAAAAAUUGAAUCAGUGUCUUUGAAGAGACAUAAUGGUCGUAAUUCUUUAAAUGAGUUGGCUAUGGAAAUCCUUAUCCAAGAUUCUUUUACGCCAUAUUCUUUCGUAAACCAAAAUUCAUUUUGGAAUACUCUGUUGAGAAUGUCAAAUAAAACGGCAUUGAAGGAAGUUUUCAAAGGCAGAAUCCGCACUUGUCAAAGGGAUGAUCUGCACUUGUCAAAGACACGAUCCGCGUCGAAUGAAUCGACACAUUUCCUUUCGUAUUCGCAUAUGUAAUCUUUGAAAAAAUGUAGCUUCUGCAUCUAUAAAUAACGCUUAGUGUAUAAUGUUUUAUUCAAGAAAAGAAAACAAGUUUCUUCAUACUCGUCGUCCGAACAUACAGAGACCGUCUCUUAUAACUUCAGCCGAAUACUUAUGAUGAUGAUCAUUUGUGAUUUCAUCAGGCAAAGGGUUGAUGGUGAAAAAAUUUGUAUGUGUGAAGAAUUGAGCUGUGGAUAUAGGGGACUUAAGUGUAAUCGAAAGAGAGUUAUUAGGCCAUAGUGCAGAUUGCAUUCAGUUUAUGAGUCGAUAUGCAAAUAAUUUGUUGACGUGGCGAAAUUUGUUAUGGUCGUUACUAUUGUUUCUGGAAAUUUUCUAGAAACCUCAGCAUAAAAGGGGCUUUUGCAUAGCCUCUGGUGUGCGUGUGAUUUCUCUUUCGUUUCCUCAUCAAAUUCUGUAAUUCUUGCUUUGAUAAAAAGCUUGUAAUCUCUUCUGUAAUGUGUGAUCAGUGCGUAAUCAUUUUGAGCAAUAAGAGCUUGUGGGUUUUUCCUUCAAACAGUGUCGUUUUGGUCAGUUUGUUAGUUUGAUCUGUUGGUGGAAUUUUCUUUGGUUAUUUGUUCUCAAAUUUCAACCGUAUAUAAAGUUUGAACUCUAAUGGCUUAUAAUGUAUUGAUUAAGAAUAAUCCUAAGAGUUCCCGAUUGAAAUUUUUAAUGACUAUUUUUAUUGUUUUGGAUAUACAAAUUGCAUUAAGAAAAAAUAUUGUCAAAUUCAGAGGAUAACGGGAAAUAAUUAUGCUUCAAAAGGCCAGAGAUUAGAGAACAAAGAAGCAUUCAUUACUGAUAAACAAAAGAGAAACACUCCAAAAUUGCAAGCAAACUAGUUUCAUAUACUAUUUGGAUUUUGGAAGGGGUGAAGUUUUGAACUUCAGUUGUUCCUCUAAAAUCAAAAGCAUCAAUUAAGCGUUCUCAAUUAGAAAUAGCAAAGAAGACUUAUUGGUACCUUACUGAAGUUAACAUUGUGGCACGGUUGUUCAUAUGUAAUGGCUGCUCUGUUAUGCUAGCUUCUCUGUUUUUGCUUACAGUUUUGAACAUAAAUUCUUGCUCAAAUAACCCAUAAUUAAAUAACACUAAUAUGGCUCGUGAAGUCCCAUAAUAGCUAAUUACGCAACUUUCUCCUCCUCCUCAAUUAUGUCUUCCCCUGCUCGGACACUAACUUCAAAAUUCAAUGCCCCGAAAAACAACACAAGAAAUCUUUGAGUUAGUUCGUGACCAGUUUAUAUAUAGUAGCAAUUGAAAAAAGAAAAAGAAGAAAAAAGUUAAUUAUUAUUCAGACCUUCACUUAUUAGGAAGUUUGUUCUGCUAUUGGGUGAGAUCAAGCUCUCAGCAUAUACUUCCACAUGAUACUUUCUAACAUUUUCUUGAAAGCCAUCAAUCAUAAAAUCUUCAUACUUUUUUCCAUCCUUUGGAUCAAUAAGUACAAUUUUUUCAUCUAAAACAGACAAAAUAAAAUCACUGUCCUUCAUGGAACACAAUGGCUGCAAUGCCUGAACUGAAUUGGCUAAUGAAAUUUGAGUCCAGGAUUCUCUCAGCCCAUAUUCUUUCAUAAUCCAAAAUUCUUUUCUUUCUCGACAUGGAACAUAGUCUUCUUUUCUUUCUCGACACAUGUCUCUGUACUUUUCUCUCUCUACUGAUCCACACUUUUUCAUACUUCUAACUAUCAUUUUGUUUUUUUUUUUUUUUGAGUUGUGAUUUAUUCAAUUAUUUUGUAUUUUUAAUGACAAUUGUUUAAUAUUUAGUUAGUUUUGAUAUUGAUUAGUGAUUGAAAGUGUAUUUUAGAAGACUUCCGGUCUCUUGAAAAAAGGAAAAAUGGAGAAGAAGAAGAAGUGUUCUUGAUUUUUUUGUAGGCAUUAAAGUUAAACGGUUUGAAAUGAUAUUUUGUUUUUAUUUCACUCAUUAAUCUCAUUCAGGAUAAAAUUAUAAAUGCAAAUAAAUGGGGUUUCAUAAGUAUUUUUAAUAGUGUUAAAAGGUCUACUCACUAAAUAAACAUGUUUUACCCAAACCAAUCCGAUUAAUAAGUUAUUAGGUUGGGUUGAUCAGGUUAAAAAUCAAAAUUAAAAAUUAAAUAAAUAAAAGGCAUAAAAACUAUCUGUUACUUGAAAAUAAAAAGAAUUUCUAAUAGUUAGUUCUAAUGUCCCAUAUCCAAAACAUGCAUAUUGUGAGGUUUGCUGGUGAAUCAAACUCAUCAGAACCAAAUGAUGACGUUUUGGCAAUUGAAGGAGCACUUAAAAGACACGUGAAACGCACGUCUGUUGUCACUUAAGAUUAAAGCUUGAAACGGCAGUUCAACCAUGUCGUUUAAAGGAAGCUUAGAAGUGAUGCACGUGACAGAUGUGUGAAGCAGCUCAUCUCAGUUCGUUAAGUUUGUUAUGCUACGUGUAAGCAAUCAGUUCGAUCUGGGUUUAGCUGGUUAGUUGCUCUGUUAGUUAUAAGAGCAGGCUGAUGAAACGAUUUGGGUUAAGCUUGUGAAUUCAUAUCAGAGAGAGAGAGAUUUCAGUGAAAGGGUUAAGAGUUCUCUGAAAUCUUGUAAACCAUUCUCUGUAAGAAAGAUCCUCCAUUGUUGAAUAAUAAAAGCUCUGCAGAAAACUUUUCCUGUGGAUGUAGAUUGUACCAAUUUGGUACAACUGAACCACGUAAUUGAUUCUUGUGUUGUCUGUGAUUUGUUUGUUUCUUGAUUCUCUAUUCUUUCUAGUUCUUGGGUACAUUGUUUUCACUUGGCUAGAUUCAUUCCUCAAUCUGUGCAUCUUGUAUAGUUCUUUAUCAAAGGUCCUGGGAAGUGUUUUAUUUGUCUUGCAUGUUAUAUAGCAAAUUAAAACACUACACAUAUUAAAUAAUAUAUUAUAAGUUAGAAAUACAAUAUCUAAAGAAAGAAUUAAUGAAAUAACAUAUUCUUGUUGAGAAUUAAGAGUGUGAUUUUAAUUUUGAUAUUGGAGUCUAAAGCAAUAGAUAGUACAAUGAAAUCAUGAAUGCUACGUUUAAAUAAUCUCUUUUAUAAAAUAAUAAAAAGAGGUUAAAAAUUAGGUUAACAUUUAGGGUUUAGCAGUUAAGGAUGAAUAUAUUAUUAUUGUUGUUGUUGUUAUUAUUAUAAUAAUAAUUAUUAUAAUAAUAAUUAUUAUUUAUAUGUUAAUUAAUUCAAUCCAACUUAAUUAUUAAUGAAUUUGAAAAAAUUGACCCAAUUAAUCCACAAUAAUUCAUUCAACUCGUCUAAAUUAGAUUAAGUUGAACUUAAUUUGCUACCCCACAUUGAGCAACAAACCUCAACGUCAUUCUACGAGCUCUUUGAUUGUUUAUAAAAUUGAUUUAGAGUACAUAAAGUGUAUCGACAAUGAAAGUGCAAAACAAAUUAUUGUACAUAUUAAAAUGUGCAAAAACAAUGAAUUAUAUGUACAAACGAGUGCAAACACAUUUUUCAAUAAGAAGUUGGAAGAUAUUUAUGCAUGAAAAAGCCUACGUUUGUAGUUAUUCUAAAUUUUAAAAACAAAAUUUACAUUUAGAUUCCUAAAAUUUACAUAUAAGUAUAAAAGUUUCAAAUAUUGUCUAUUAUUUUUUUAACAUGCCUAUUCCUUGUGGAUAAUUUUGUCUCAUCACUAAUGUUGUUUCUUGCUUACAAAAACCAAAAGCCACCUCCUUUUUGCAAUUUUUAUAGCGUCUCAAAAUAGACAAUAGGGGGAUUUUGAAUUUUUUAAGUCUCAAUAUAGUCUCUAAUCUUGUGAGAAAUAUUUUCUUUCAAUAAUUUGGAGGUAAACAUAACAUAACUUUUUGGACUAAAGCCUAACUCUGCUAAUAAGUAAUUGGUGGUAUCCUUUUCAAGACUUGAGUCUUUAGAUUCGAGUUUUAUAUAGUGUGCAUGUGUAUUUAAUUAAUAUUUUUUUUCAAAAAAAAUUACAUCAAAUACUAAUAUUCAUGACAUAAUUUAGUUCAUAAUUUUUUUAAAUACAUCGAAAAAUAUAAUUUUUUAACAACUUAAAGGCAUGACAAAUUUCAAGAUAUAAAUAUCAGUCAAAAUAAGUGAAAGAAAUAAUGGUGUCAAUUCUAAUUUCUUAACUAAAUUAAUUACUGCAUGAGCCCCGAAUAUGACACGAGAGUUUGAUGGGCUAACUUGGCACAAGAACGUGAAUAGUUAACUCAUUUAAGAAAUAAUUCAACAAAAAAUAUAAUUGAUAAGAAUGCAAUAUUGAAAUGAAUUUUUUACGAAACAUUGAAUUAAUGAUUAUUAAGCAAGAACAAUAAAAAAAUAAAAUAAAAAUAAAGAUUAACCAUUGAUAAGCUUCAACAAGAACUUAACACAACCCUCAAUCCUAAUUCAAAUUAUAAAUGUCAUUCAUAUAUUCAUUAUAAAUCAAUAACAAAGGUUAUAAAUGUUUAGAAAUUCUAGAGGGAAGGAAGCUAUCGCCGGGGAAUCAACAACUAAAAUUGAUGUAAUUGUGGCACGAGAUGGAAUAUGGAAACUACACCAUAAUUUUAAAUGCCGCCAUAGACAUUGACUUAUCUACAAUAACAAUGAUCUAAUUAAAAUAAAAAUAGAGUUUAUGGGCAUUUAUUAUUUUGACAUUCCUCAUUUGCAAAUAGGGAUACAAUUAUAAUUUAUUUAGUCAAAGCAAACAGUAAUUUUCUUCAUUAUAGGAGUGAAGUAAAAACAUUUAGAUUUUAAUGUAUGUAAGGAAAAAUUUAUCUUUAAAAAUACUUUCUUAAUGUGUGUAUGCAUAUUGAAAUACUCAAACCAAUUUUGGUUAUAUAUAAUUAAACAAAUUUUAAAAUAUGAAAAAUAUAAUGUAGUUAUAGUGGAUAAACAAUAAGUGAGCACAAUAUAAUUAAUCAAAUAUUGUGCUAUCAAAAGUUAAUUUUAGAAAUUCCAAAUCCAAUAGCUAACACAAUUCUUUAAAGAAAAAAAAAAGGUUGACACAAUUAAUAAAAUUAGCGACAUGAAUUUCACGCCAUUGAUAAUCAGCAAUUAGUAUUACUUUCUAAACUUGCUUCAACUGGUCGUUGAUGUCCGGGUCACCAAAAGUAUAAGCGAUAAUAAGGGGCAUUGGGCAAGAGUGAUGAAUGUUUAGUGGGUGCAUUUGAUUGAUAGAUAUAUAAAGGGCCGAAACUUGAGAUUAUAUUACUUUUACAAAUUUUAAUCCAAUCACAUAUUUAAUGAAAACAAAAUGAGUUAGGAUACUUUAUUUAAAAUACACAUUUUAAUAAGGCUUCAUUUAAUUAAAUAAAAUUAUAAAAGUAAAAUAUAUUUUAGAUAUUUUAAUAUUUAAGAAAAAAUUUUCAAUCUUUACUUUCAGAAGCUCAAAUUUUUAAUUUUUAGUUGUAGAGACAAAAUAUCUUAUUUAAUGUUUAAAAGUUCUGCUAAAAACAAUCAAAUAACUACAAAAAUUUUAAUAAGAGCAUAUAAAAUUAAAUAAGCAUUUAUUAAUAAUCACUUUAGUGUACUUAUCUAAUAACAAUAAGUGUUUAUUUAAUCUAAUAAGUUUUUAUUUAAUCUAAUGAGCUCUUUUUAAUUUUUUUUUAGUAGAGCUUUUGAAAAUUAAAUAAACUAUUUUGUCUCUAUUAAGAAAAACUUAAAAUUUAGGUUUUUGUAAGUAAAUGUUUAAAUUUUUUUUAAAAAUAUUAAAAUAUUAAAAUAUCUUUUCUUUAUUUCAUAAUCUUAUUUCAUUCUUCACAACAUAACUUUAAAUAACUUACCUAUUAAAAUAAUUUCACAAUUUCUAAUAAAAACUCCGAUUAACAAUCAAGCAAUAAUUUUUUUUUUUUUUUUGUAAAAAUUCUAUUUGUAAAAACUCUAAUAAUAAAAAUUCUACUUAAAUAAAUUUUAUUUGAAAAGGUAUACUAAACGAACCUAAGAUAAAAACAAAAAUUUUUAGAUCCAGACAAUUAAGCUUAAAACAAUUUCAAAUGAAUUUUAGACUAAUCAAAGUACAAUACGUACCAAGUUUGGUAAUUUAUUGACAUCUUCUUAUAUACCUUCGAUCAAGUCGAUUCUCACUUGACGACUAAUUGGUAGUUUGGUACAUCACCGUUGUUCCCUAUACUCGCAUGCAUCCGAUCACAAAUCUCACUCCAAUUGUUGUCUUUCUUCGGCGUUUUAGCGCAUCCUUCUUGAAUUUCUCGCAUUUCGUUCCCUUACAAGUCUCCGGUCAGGUCAGUUCACUUGACGAUUAAUUCGGCAAAUCUUGAAUCUCUUCUCUAUCCCUCUCGUUUUCUCGUGUCUCCUUUCAGUUAAAGCGAUUGAAUCAAUUUUAUCGCAGUCUAAGAGAAAUUAAGUAAUGCUCUUGGAUUUAAAAUUUUUUUGCUUUCGACUUUAGAUCUCGAAAGUCAAACUCUUCUACGAAUCCAUAGAUUCUCAAUGUUUAUAAUCUUAUUUGUGUUUGACCAGGUAACUGGAUCGUGAAAUUCGUCGUUUUGUAUCAAUUCAAGCUUUCGCGAGCUCAUGGAAUCACCUGGUGAGUUGUGGUGAAACGUUACCGUUUCAAUUUUCGCUUAAUUCUUUAUUGCAUAUUUUUUUCUCUAAUAUUUCAGUUUAAUUAGAAAAGAAAGAGGACCCAAAAAGAGAGAGAGAGAGAGAGACUCUACCAUACUCAAUUCCUUGCUCAUUCUGAUUUGGCCUGAAUGUUGGCAUUGACUAUUAUUUGUUUUCAUUUCGAUUUAAUUCUCAUUUAGACAGUCUUUACUAACGGUCAAUAAUAGUUUAAGGAAAAUGAUAAUAGGGAUUCUGCAAUAAUCUUUCUGCAUUGUUCAAGUUAGUAGACAAUGAAUAGGAUGUUUACGUUUACCUCAUUUUGAACCCCGAGGGCUUAGUUGAGUAGUUGAUUGAUUCAAUCUUGCAAUGUGUUCCCACAAGGUUUUGAGUUUGAUUCCUAAUUAUGUGGACCUUAGUUUCGAAUUUGAGUUUGUUAGGUGGGUUGAUGGGGUUUUUGGGUAUUAAAAAGGGAGAAGAAAAAAGUUGCUUGCUUCAUUUUGUACAAACCUGUUGACUUUUUAUUUUUUUCUUUUUAUUUUUGUACUAUUUUGUUUUACAGUUGGUGGUUCAAGACAGACAUCUGUUAUUGUUGUAACUUUGGAUACUGGUGAAGUAUAUAUUGUAACCAGCUUGUAUUCUAGGACUGACACUCAAGUGAUAUAUAUUGAUCCAACUACUGGUGCACUUCGCUACCAUGGGAAAUGGGGCUAUGAUGUUUUUGGAUCUGAAAAUGAAGCAGUAGAUUACAUAACAAAUGGAUCACGAUGGAUGUGCAAGAGUACAACUUUUGCCAAGGCGAUAUUGGGUUAUACUGCCCUGGGAAGCUUUGGGCUGCUUCUUGUUGCCACAAGGUUAACUGCCAGCAUUCCAAAUCUUCCUGGUGGAGGAACUGUAUGCACGGUUACAGAGAGCCAAUGGAUCAAAAUUCCACUUCAAAAUCCUCAACCCCAGGGUAAAGGAGAAGUAAAGAAUGUUCAAGAGUUGCCUGAUCUUGACAUUGAUGGGAAGCACUACUUUUGUGAGACAAGAGAUAUCACUCGACCUUUCCCCAGCCGCAUGCCUUUGCAAAAUCCUGACGAGGAAUUUGUUUGGAAUGAAUGGCUUUCGAUGCCUUUUAAAAGCAUUGGUUUACCUCAGCAUUGUGUCAUUCUUCUGCAGGUUUUGCUUCAUACUCGGUAUCUUCAAAAUUUAUGCUCAUUAAACUUCUUUCAUUCCCCACCCUCUCACUAUCCCUCCACCUAAUUUUGUUUCCAAAAGUUUGUUUGAUAGUCUAUUGCCACUAUAUGUAAAUGUAUCAUUUCCAUUCUGAGCAUGAUAUUUUAUUCAUCAUCACUUGUUAUUCUAAUCUUUAGAUGAAAGAAUAUUUCGUAUUAACAUUUUUCAUGGGCCAGUACCUAUUUUAUGGUCCAUUGUAGAUACUAAAAUGACCAACUUUAUUUCUUGGUCAUAAAAAGUUGCGACAGAAAUUUUAAACAUGUGAAUAUUUAAAUCUGAUAAUUCAUUAAAGAUUUCAACCUAAUAGAUUGAAAACUUAGAUUCAUUCCAUGAAUGAAAGAUAAUAAAGCAUCAGCCGAUGGAAUAUGGGAAAUAGAAACACUUUCCCUUCUAUUAAGAAGAGCCUGCUUCAGAUGAUCCUCAUUUUCUUCAUCCACAGGCCAACCUAGAACAUACCACACCAAGGUAAGAAAGAAAAGGGGUAGCAGGAUUGCCUAGUUUGACAAUUAGCAAAGCCCCAAAUGUUCCUCUUUUACUUUUCUUUUAGAAAGGUAGACAUGUUUGACAGAUUUGGGACAUUGCAUCAUCCCUUUCUGCUGCACAUGGUUGCAAUGUUUUACUUCUCACGUGAAAGCCUAGAAAUCCCAAUCCAAUAAUAAAAGGCCAUUUUAGAGUCAAUGUACAAAAACUUCCUUCCUUGUCUCUAUAUCCUCUUUUACAAUCCAUUCUUAGUUGAAUUGAGAUUAUGCUACAGCUGCUUCUUCAAGUUAACAUUGUUAUGCAAUUCAAUGGUGAUUUACGUGUGUACUUGUCCUAAGCAUGUGAUUUGAAAAUAAUAUGUUAAUAUUGUUUUCACUGGAUAUUAAUGUAUAGGGAUUUGCAGAAUGUCGAAAUUUUGGAAGAUCAGGUCAGCUAGAAGGGGUUGUUGCUCUUAUAGCUCGUCGUAGUAGGCUGCAUCCUGGUACUCGAUACUUGGCUAGGGGGAUUAAUUCUUGUUUUAGUACAGGUAAGAUAAUCUUUAACAUCUCCAGACCUGGAAAUUACAUUUUUGUUGUUGAGAUUCACUUGGUUCUUCUAUACAAUCAAAAAAAUUAAGGAUUUAGUUUUUUUUUUUUUUAAACGGAAUUUUCUUUUCCUUUCAGUACUCUUUGCAUUCUGUGUAUGCUGUUUAUUCUGAUUGUCAUUGAUCUCAUGCCUUUACAAGGAAACAGGUAAUAGUUUCAGUGGUAAAUUCAAGUGGAAUUGGUUUUGAUUCUGUUGUUUAGAAAGAUGGAUUGUAGAACUACAGAACAUUAAUCGUGCCACCUCAUGGCUCAUGCAUGCUUUUGGAGUAUUCUUUACCUGUAGAAUUUUUGUUUUUGUAGUUGACUUGGAAUAUAACUUUACCAUUUUUUUCAAAUAAUAAGAAUCAAUGAGUCUCAUCAAUAUUAAUCAAUAAUGAGCUAAAGAUAUAUAACUUGUGUCUCAGAACUAUAUAUGAUAUGCUUGUGAAGGUGUAUUAUUUUAAGUAGAGAUACCAAAUGCUACAGGGAGAAGCAAAAAAGAACAUUCUCCAGUGAAAACCUUCUGACAGAUUACAUUUUUGGGAUAAAAAAGAAACAUUGAGAUCAUCAGCCACACUUUUUCUUCUUGUACUGUUUAAUUAGUUUAGAGGCCUUUUAGUUGGUUUUGCUUGCCUGGAGGUGUCAUACAGUUCACUUUUUGAAUACCCUGGUUUUCUACAGAUUAGAACUUGGUUUCCUUUCACUCCACAGCUUUUGCUUUCCUACAUCACGUCCUUUGGGAUAAUUGAAUAAUGAAUGAAUGAAAACAAUCAAAUAAUUUCUGACAAUUAGUUAAUAACUUUUAUUUUGUAUGACCCUUUUGAUAUGUGUGGUCCUUUAAUUUACGGUUGAAAUAUAAAUAUGAAAAAAGUCUGCCAAUUAGUUUUACAAAUGACUUUUGUGCCAUAGAAUAUAUAUAUUUUUUUUUUGCCGAAAAACAAAACAAAUUCAUAAACAACAUUGUAUUUCACCAAUUAACAGUGCAAGUGUCAUUAUAGUUUCCACAUAUUAGUUCUGUUUUCGUUAGUUUCAUUUUCAUUCUGUUAUGUAACUGAUGUUUCAUUGCUAUAAAAUUAAUUGUCUGUUUCUCUUCACAACUGUUAUUUUGAAUGAUUUUUUCUGAAUUUUAUAAAGAAUUUGUAUAUGACAGGAAAUGAAGCAGAGUGCGAGCAACUUGUAUGGAUUCCUAAAAGGUCUGGUCAGAGUGUUCCUUUCAAUGCAUACAUCUGGCGGCGAGGGACUAUUCCAAUAUGGUGGGGUGCAGAAUUAAAGCUUACUGCUGCUGAAGCAGAAAUUUAUGUUGCAGAUCGGGAUCCUUAUAAAGGAAGUCUGAAGUAUUAUCAGAGGUUGAGUAAUCGAUAUGAUGCUCGAAACUUUGACUUAGCUGUUGGGGAAAAUCAGAAGAAAAAGCCUUUUAUUCCAAUUGUAUGCAUUAACUUGCUUAGGAAUGCGGAAGGGAAAUCAGAAUCUAUUUUAGUUCAGCAUUUUGAGGAAUCUUUGAACUAUGUCAGAUCAACUGGAAAACUUCCUUAUACUCGAAUAAUUUUAAUAAAUUAUGACUGGCAUGCCAGUACAAAAUUAAAAGGUGAACAACUUACAAUUGAAGGAUUAUGGAAGCAUCUAAAAGCACCCACUCAGGCCGUAGGCAUUUCUGAAGGGGACUAUUUGCCAUCACGGCAACGACUUAAUGAUUGCCGAGGUGAAGUCAUCUGCAAUGGUGACUUUGUGGGUGCCUUUUGCUUAAGAUCCCAUCAGAAUGGAGUGAUACGCUUUAACUGUGCAGACUCUCUUGAUCGGACCAAUGCUGCUAGUUAUUUUGGUGCUCUGCAAGUAUUUGUGGAGCAAUGUAGGCGGCUUGGGUUCUCCCUUGACAGUGAUUUUGCAUAUGGCUAUCAGUCAGCUAAUAACUAUGGUGGAUAUACUGCUCCUUUGCCACGAGGAUGGGAGAAACGAGCUGAUGCAGUGACAGGAAAAACAUAUUAUAUCGAUCACAACACUAGGACCACAACAUGGAUUCAUCCAUGCCCAGACAAACCUUGGAAGAGAUUUGAUAUGACAUUUGAGGAGUUCAAGCAAUCAACAAUUUUAUCACCAGUGUCUCAGCUAGCAGAUCUUUUUCUGCUUUCUGGUGAUAUCCAUGCAACCCUUUAUACUGGUUCAAAAGCAAUGCAUAGCCAAAUUCUUAAUAUAUUCAAUGAAGAACCAGGAAAGUUCAAACAAUUUUCUGCAGCACAAAAUAUGAAAAUUACCCUGCAGAGAAGAUACAAAAAUGCAGUUGUCGAUAGCUCUCGUCAGAAACAGCUGGAGAUGUUUCUUGGAUUGAGGCUUUUCAAGCAUCUUCCAUCUGUUUCAGUUCAACCUCUACAUGUAUGAUACUGUAGAACUUCAGAUUACCUAUUCAUACAAUCUGAGUUCAAUGAUUAUCAAUUUUCAUGAGGGAUGGAGACAAUAUUACACUAGCUACUUGUUUCUAACCUAAGCAUCCCUAACUUCUGCACAUAAAUAAAUGAUGCGCAAAGCAUACCAUAGCUAUAUCAAUGCCCAUUUCCUGUUUGAUGUUGACCAAUAAUGUUUGGAAGUUAGCUAUUGCAUGGUAAGAUGAUUUGAAGCUUCAUUUAAAGCUUCUAAGCCAGAGCUUCUAAGUCAUCUGGCUUAGAGAAUUUAAAUGUCCUCCAAAAGUCUGGAAUCACUGUUGCAUCUCAGCCUGAUUGAUAUUUGUUAUUGUUAACUUGGAAAUAUUUUGUUAAUCUUUCGGAUUGAACAACGUCGUGCUAUGAUCAUUAUUCAAGAAAUGACCUCAAGAACUUGUUGCAGUUGAGUGAUUUUUUGGUAAUGAUGAAAAUUAUUCAUGUUUAGGAACAGCUCUUUAGGGGAAAAGCAUAUAUGGGCUGGCUGGCCCUUUUUGGUGUAUUUGAUGAACCAUUUCAUAUCAUGCUGGUAACUGCAGGUUCUUUCUCGACCAUCUGGUUUCUUUCUCAAGCCAGUUCCCAACAUGUUCCCAAGUUCUGAUGGUGGAGCUAGUCUUCUAAGCUUCAAAAGAAAAGACAUGAUCUGGGUAUGGGUUGCAGCUAAACUUAGUCCUUUGUAGCAUUCCUAAUUCUCUGAUUGUCUUUUCUUUGUAGCAUUCUUAAUUCUCUGAUUGUCUUUUCUGUCCUUAAUGGAAUUCAUGCAUUUUUGGUUCUUUAGGUAUGUCCACAAGGCACAGAUGUGGUUGAACUUUUCAUCUACCUUGGUGAACCUUGUCAUGUCUGUCAGCUUCUUCUCACCAUAUCCCAUGGUGCAGAUGAUUCAACAUAUCCAGCAACAGUUGAUGUGAGAACAGGACGCCACUUAGAUGGGCUUAAACUGAUUUUGGAGGUUUGUAUUGGUUCUAUUGUACACCUUGCUUACAAAUUUUUUAUUUUUAAUUUUUAAUUUUGUAUGAUAUGCUCUUUGUUGGUAAAUUUCAUUUGACUUAGAAGAGAUAGUUUUAUCCCAACAGUGGGAUACAUCAUUGAGAUGCAUGGCAGAGUGAAUAUAGUAGACAAAAUCAUUGAGACCCAUGGUGGUGUGAACAUAGUAAACUUUGUCAAACACAGCUAAGAUGAGCAAAUUGUUUCAUUAGCCUUUAUCUUAUCUGCUGUGAUGAUUCAAAUUAAUGCUGUUUGGUAGGUUGCAAAAAAACGAAAUGAGCUGACUGUUCGUAUUAUUUAGUCAGAUCUCUAGCAAUAAGUUGAAGUUCAUUGUCACAUGGGUUGGGAGUAUCGUGGGCUGUGAGUAGUAGAAUGGAUUUAUGGAGUUGAUACAAGUGCCCACAAUCUCUCAUGUCAUUCUAGGAUUAAAUGGAUUGCACAUUACUGUAAAAAUGGAGGUUAAAUUUAUAUAAUUCGGAUUGAUUGUAAAAUGGAAGACAGAGAUGAGUUAGAAAAAGAAUGACCCGUGUCCUUUUUGAGCUGUUUCUAAAUGUCCCUGGUGUGCCUCAUGCUUAACACGUGCCUUUCCAAAUAAUUUUGCUUAACCUGUGCUUGUCUACUUCUUGUGCUAUUCUGUGCCUGGUCCUGAGCUGUAUUGGUAGAUUGACAUCCAGCUUGAACUUUUAGGUAUAUCUUUUGUACAUAAAUUCUGAAUACCCAUGGACUUAGCGUGAUAUAAAGUCAAGGAUCCAUUUAGCUGAGUCCUUCAAGUUUUGUUAGUAUGUCUUCGGAUUAUAAAUAUGUAACAAAAUGAGGUGUAGAAUACAUUUAAAAAGAAAAGGAUAAAAAAACAAAAGAAAUGAAAAGAGGUGUUUAGAAGUAAUAGCUAAACUAGAUACACUCUCACUAAUUAGCGAUUCUGAUGAACAGUGCCCAUAGCUUCUUUUAUACCUUGAAGUUGCAGAAAUUGAUUCUUGGUGAAUUAAGUCACUUACAGACAUAACUUUUUCUUCCAUCUAAUUUUUAUUAGGUUAGAUAGGAGAAGACUUGUUUCAGGGUGUCCUGACCCUAGUAUUAGUUUUCUUGUCAGAUUUUUCAUGAAAAUUUACAAUGCACGUGACAUACAACUUCUAGUAAUCCUAGGACUUUGUUCACAGGGUGCUUCUAUUCCUCGUUGUGGAAAUGGGACAAACCUUUUGAUACCUUUACCAGGAUCAGUUAGUGCUGAGGAUAUGGCUAUUACUGGAGCUGGUGCACGACUUCAUGAUCAAGAUGCACCAACCCUUCCACUGUUGUAUGAUUUUGAAGAAUUAGAGGGAGAAUUGGAUUUUCUUACUCGUUUUGUGGCAGUUACCUUUUAUCCUGCUAUUUCUGGAACAAGUUCCAUGACUCUUGGUGAGGUAGAAAAUAUUUUCAUAAAAUGUUAAUUGAUUUAUCUACGCACUUUAUUCUUAAAUUAGUAUUUUAGACCAUGAGCUUUGUGGAGUGGGUUUGCUGUAACUGCUGCUGGUGACAACAUAAUUGUUAAUAUUAUUACAGAUAGAGAUUCUUGGAGUUUCUCUUCCAUGGAGGGGGGUAUUCAAUAAUGAAGGCCCUGGUGCUAGAUUAAUUGAGCUUGGCAAAAAGUUUCAGAAGGAAACCGAUCCAUUUUUGUCAAAUUCAGUUACAAAUACGGUUCUGUUUUCCAAUGAAAAUGUGUCAACAUCAAUGCAAACAGAAGCUGCUUCCAAUCCUUGGGUUGACCUGUUGUCUGGAGGGGACACAUUUUCUGAUCCUCUUUCAGAGCCGUUUUCUAACCCUCUUUCUGAGCCGUUCUCUGAUCCUCUUUCUGAGUCGUUCUCUGAUCCUCUUUCUGAGCCAGUGACAAGAAAUGUUGCAUCUGGAGGGGCUGAUUUGCUUGAUUUCUUGGACCAGCCUAUAGUUGAAGAUCAUGGUGUGGAAACUUAUAAAAGAUCUUCAACACAGGAUGGCUGUUCUCUGGCUAGUGGUGCCCAGCAGUACAUAAGCUGUCUAAAAUCCCUUGCAGGGCCACGCGAGGUAUAGUACUGCUCUCUUGUGUUUUUUGCAGCUCUACAUCUUAGUAACCUCAUCUUUUUAAUGGAGUAAAUUCUAGAAGUUCAACAAAUUUUGCUUUGCUAAAUGUAUAACUUAUUAAUCAG